AUCAUGCACCUAUGAUGAAAUCACACCAUGUACCUCAUAAGUCGGUUGCCCAUAAUAACAUCCUCCGACCACAAUAGCUGUAAUUUCCCGAAUCUGAUGUCUGCAAUACAUCUCAUGAUGCAUAUAAAUCAUGUUCCAACUCUCGCAAUACUGCCACGAUGAAAGAGACGUGUAGAAACUCAUAACCACGUGCUGAAUCAAUAAUUCAUGGAGUCUCUCCUCCUGACAAGAACCAUUACCUCAUUCUGAACUGAAUAACGAUAUUUUCUCCUUAAUGUACCUUAUAUAAAUAUGAUUGCACUAAUUUCAGGUCCAAUAAUCUCGUCUCACCCAGUACAAGUUGCUCAGGCAAUAAGCUGUCUCAGACACUGCCAAAAGUCGUAUAUGACGCCCACAACGCGCCAACAAGCUACAACUCGAAUGUGUUACAUAAGGAAGAACGGACUCUGGAGAAGGACUACCCAACCCGCAUAACGAAUAAAACGGUCGAAUAGAUGUUGUGAACCACCUCAGGGAUGAAAACAAGGCACACAAAAUAAGUGUAAGGAACUAUGCUCAACAUCUCGUUGUUGCGGCGUGCAACCCGAUCCGAUAUGACAUUGUUGCGGCGUGCAACCAGAUCCGAUAUGACACUGUUGCGGCGUGCAACUCGAUCCACAUAACAUGCCCGUGGUGGCAUGCCACCUGAUCCAGACAAUAUACCUGUGGCGGCGUGCCACCUGAUCCGCACAUAAUAUCAAGAAGAAAAAUACACACAUCAAGCCGCAACGCUUAUACUUAUGAAAUGCCCGAAUAUCAACCACAAGCACGCCAAGUUCAUAAUACAAAUCUUGGGGAGAUGGAUAGUGCCAUACGCUACGAAACCCAAGCACAACUAGGGUGCAGUAAAUGACCUGCAUCUCGAGAGCCAUCCUGCUCACAUAACACCACAAGCUACACGGGGCCUCAACACGUAUGCGAAUAAUCAAGCCGUCUCAUAAUCCACAUGGAACAAUAGAGAUUUACAUGGAAUAGCUGACGACGGGAAUAACAUCUAAUGCCUGACGCCUCCUCCGUAAGCAAUGCUAUGACGAACGAACAUAUCCGACCUGACGUAGAGCACACACUCACAUUAGACCCACCAAUGGACCUCUCACCGACUCUGAUAAUACCAUACUGGACCAAUAACCUUCCAAAGAUCCACAAUGGCCCUAUUCAUGACACAUAAGAACAACCGUCAAAUCUGAAACAAACUCCCACAAUCCACAACUCAAGGAAUAGAAUGCCUCUCAAGCAUAAACUCUCGUAUUUGCGAUAUUACCAUAACCUCCAUACUUGGUUUUAGUCUUUAACAAUCAAGUGACUAACAUGCCACACUCAUACAAAUCUCCCUAUGGGGUAUGCUCCCAUGACCUUUCGCUCAGGUAGAAAAGUCCGCACAUCCAUACCACCAACCGUACUAAUUCCGUAAGGCAAAUCACAAUCUGCAAAUCAAUACACAAUGCCUCUUCCGCAGAACACCAUUCUCGGGCGACACUAAGAUAACGCCAACUUACCCUAAACAUCUGAAUACUUCCCUACUCAUCCAAGCUCGUGACAUUCUUAUCAACACCAAACUGCAACCUUGAUCCUCAACUUCCAAUUCCCAUGCCACUCACUGCACCCAUCAUGCUGCUAUACGAGAGUACACGAAUUCAUCAUAACCCCUGAACUACUAGUAUAAUAAACACUCCAUUGGCUAGAAACCUUUCACUUAACUCAUUUCAGAAGAACCAAUGCAACACGCAACUGAAUUCUCAAACCGCAGAAAAUACAAACCUCAAGUCGUGAUCUAAACCGUCGUGACUCUUCCGGAGUCCAUUUACACAAUAAGGCCAUUCGAAUCUAAUAUCGGCCAAUUCAAUCAAGGUAUGGUGGCUGUCAAGCCUGCACGUACAACCACAACCCACAUGCAUAACUUCACACCAAAGAAACUGAUCAGUGCCACAAUUAUGCCGACUCAACCAUUACUAACCGACCCAACUUCUUUCAAUUUACUCUUGACCUGACUUAGAAAUAUAAUAGCUCCAUUCAUAACAUAACGAACUCAAUUCGCACUCAGCCCGAGUGACUCGAAUCGCGAGACCACAUCGUCUCAAUACUCAUGAACCAUCUCAUACCCUCCUUAUGUGCUCAAUAACAUCUCCGACUAGUACACCCAUUCUGCAAGACCUUUCGUGAAUCCGAAGCUAUUUCUUCAUUUCCUCCCAUACUGAACCGCAUACCCGAUGAUAAUAUAGAACAUUCCAAGUCCUGUUCGUAAUCCACUAUGAAGACUCUAUCCUUAACCACACAACGGACCCGAAAUCCUUAGGCACUGGACUUUAAUUCUUGAACCCACUAGAACAGUUGUUGAGAGUCACCCACUCUGACCCGAUCCCGAAUAUAACCAAACUUCAACACUCUGCUAGCACAUGAACACCCUCUCAAACAAGCAACCGACUAAAUUCUUUUCCUUGUACAUUACAUCCACAAGAAGCAUAAACUCUGAGUCUUCCCAAAUCCUGCACCUCAAUCGAUAAGGUGAAGUAUAGAACACAUUCAUCGAGUUCAUUAUUUGAAUUACUCCUGACAUUUUUUUUUCCUAGUCAUAAUUAAUCCACCAACGCAUCGAUAACCAAAAAUCGCACAAGCAGACAACCAAGGGAUCCAAUCGUAAAUGGUGGGGCUCCCCUACUUAGCUUUAAGCUACCACCACAUAAUGUAGAGCCUACAAUGAUUCAUCCUUCUCAAUUACCAUGAUCUUGCACCGUUAACUCGCCAAAUUUCUCGAAGUCUUUUGUUAAGCUUUUCAUGAACAUUCUGAAUUAUCAGCCACGACCUCAUAUUUGACCUUCUAUCAGGUAGUAAGUAGAACUCCUCGUAGAAACUUUAUCAAAGUCACGCAACCGCUAACCUGCUCGCAGGAGAUAACCCAUCUGUGAAAUUCCUUACCGAUAUCUUCCAACGACGCUGCACUGGGUACAACUACCACGUAAUCAGUAAAUUCUCCUGAGCCCAUGCUCGCCCACCGGUUGUAUAAGUCUGUUCCUUACCCAUUGACAUCAACUGAAAGUUCAACAAUACCUUCCAAACUGAAAGCCAUGUUGCAUCCAAAACGAUAAUCAAAUCUUCACACCCCUCUUUAUUUCAAGCAAACUCCUUUCUGCCAUAUUCAAUCUUUCUUCAUGCGGUAACCACCAUUCCAAUUAUAAUUCAUGGAGCUAGUCAAUUUCUACCAUGCCUCCCAAAUCGCUCAAAUCUUCCUCAAGGUACGUGUCUAUCCAACCACAGAAUCCCUAUGCUACUCUGCCACUCCCACUUCGGUCAAACCAUCUCCUUUAAGCAAUUUCUCGACCUCCGCUUCUCAUACUUGACCUGCUAGUAAUUCAUCUGCUGCGAAACACCUACCACCAUGUCCUUUCUCAUACUUCGCUGCCCAAAUGUUGCCUCAAAUCAAAUCCAUACCUGUAGCACCGGAACUAAUGAAUUACUACCAACUCUAAACCUCCUAGAAGAUCAUCUUUCUCGAGCCAUCAACAUUAGAAAUACCUAUUCGAUUCUGAACUGUUGCACACCGCUAUCUCCGACAACCGCCCCUCAAGUACCAUUUCAUAACACUCUGCCCCGAAGGCAAAAUCAAAGAAGACCAUAACAUCGGCGAGCCGUAAUGCAUUCAGAUAAGGAUGACGACACCGCAUCACAAUGAAAAUUCCACAAUGCUCGAGAAUACCUUACUCCAUCAACCAAAACAUGAACAUCCAUAGUCCGAUUGCCUUUCCUCUGCUGGAAUUAAAUAUUGAACCUCUAAAUCAUGCGGUAACAACUCAUGAACAUCAUAGAAACCUGUGCAUAGCCUCAAAACCAUAGAAAAUACAGAUACUGAACUGAAAUGAUAGAACACCCUUCCGUAAGGCGACGAUAAUAGCCUGCCCGAACACGCAGGGAAACAUAUCCUACACCACAUCUGUAGUACUAAUACAACUCCUGAACGUCUAAUUGAUAACAAGCACUUCACGUCACAUAAGAUUGAGUAGGAAGGAAAUAAAGGCACAAGCCUCAAUGGAAUCAAACCGCAUGAUGAGGAAAUCAAGAAGGGGAGUGCUCUUAACAGCCCUGUAGCCUCUCGAAGAUAAGUACAGACAUCUUCACACCGAUCCGCAAGACUCUACUAGACUUGCCCAUGACUCGCGAGACCUAAGUGAACCUAACGCUCUGAUACCAAGCUGUCACGACCCAAAAUCCACUAUAGGUCAUGAUGGCGCCUAACGCCACAGUCGGCUUGUCCGUCAGGCAAGCCAACGUUAAUUUAUCAAUUUAUUUACUCAUUUUAUUACUUUCGAGAUCAAAAUCUCCAUUACUUAAAUAGUAUAAAAUGGAAUUUACAGGGUAAAAAGAUAAUAAUUACUUGAACUAAAAUAACGAACAACCAGUAAGAACCCCCAAAACCCGAUGUCACAAGUGCAUGAGCAUUUUCUAAAGAGUACAAUAAUAAUACAAUAUCUAUCCUGAAUGUAGUAAGAUAGAAUAAAAUAAACAGUACAAUGGAGGCUCGGUGGACUACGAUGCGUAUCCUGGAAUGCAGCUCACAUAAAGUCUCCUCAACAAGUGCGCCUACGCACCAAGGUGAUCAUCAAAUGAACCUGUCAGAUCCUGCACAUUUAGUGCAGAAGUGAAGCAUGAGUACGUAAAUCAACGCAUACCCUGUAAGUAUCUAGCCUAACCCCGAAGAAGUAAUGACGAGGGGUCGAUAUCGAUACUUACUAAAGGUCCAAUAAAACAAUGUAAUAAAACAUGAGCAGAUAUGAAGCAUACGACAAUGAUAGGGUAAAUCUGUAAGUUACAUAAUCUUCCAAUUACUUCUUUUAAAGCAAUAUUUCUAAAUCUUGUAUUCUACCUUAACAGCUCAGAAAAUGUCAAGUGUCAUUAUCUAAUAAAUAAGGAAUACCAUAUAAAUACUGGGCAUCAGUGGAGAGAUUAGCUCGUGAAUAUUCAGACUACUAGCGAUAUAACGCACGAUUCUGCCGAGGUCAUUCGGCCCGAUCCAGAAUAAUAUGUACACUGCCGAGGGUUGAGCAGCACAAACCAUAGAUGCAUCUAUAUACUGUCGAGGCAUUUGGCCCACUCCACAAGAAAAGGAAGGAAGUUACCGAAUUAUGAGGCACGUGUUUACAAUACCGUACAUGGGCACAAAAUGAAUAUAAUCUUUACCGUUUCUCAAAUAACUCGCGCACAACUCAAAGUGUUAAGGCUUGGCCUAGUAUACAUAUAUUUAUAUCUAAAUCAAUUUCAUUUUAAUUAAGCCAGCAGAACGAGUUCAAAUAAUUCAAUUAUACAUGAUAAAAUCCUAAGUCUACCUGGACAUAAACAUGCUUUAGCUACGUACGGAAUCUCGCCACCUCGUGCGUACGUAGUACCCACAAUUAGUUGCACAUAACAAUAAAUAUCACCUAGGGGUAGUUUCCCCCUCACAAGGUUAGAUAAGAGACUUACCUCGCUCCGAAGUUUCAUAACCGGCUCCAAUGCCACUCAAACACCUCAACCCGAUGCCCGUCUCUUCAAAACUAGUCAAACAAUGUGCAAACCAAUCAAAAUAUACCCCAGUACGUAUAAUCUAACAAUUUAAAAUGAUUCCCAACUCCGCUCAAAAGCCAACAAAGACAACUCUCGGGCCCACAUUCCUGGAUUCCGAAAAUUUAGGAAGAUAAACAUUACCCAUACACUACGAACUAAAAUAUAUAACUUAUUCCAAAUUCCAUGUCCAAUUUCGUGGUCAAAAUCUAAAAAUACCAAAUUCUAGGUUUUCUACCAAAAUCCCAAGUUUCUACUAAUUUCCAUGUUUUAAUCAAUACACAAACCAUGUAUUUAACUUUUAAUAGGUGGGAGUCACUUACCUUGUGUUGCUUGAUGAAAAUUUCCAUUGAUGCUCUCCAAAAGUGCCCCAACCAAGUGAAAAUGGAAGAAAAUGGGCCAAAUCCCGUUCUUAAAAGAGCACACUGCCUAGCGACCUCUCGCUUCUGCGGCCACCUGACCGCUUCUGAGGCCAAAAUACCGCUUUUGCGGUCCCCUUUCAGCCCCCUGCCUUCGCAACUGUGGACCAGACUCUGUUUUUGUGGAGUCACACCUGCGACCAAGAAUCCACUUCUGCGGUCUCACAGGUGCGGUACAAACCUCGCACCUGCGCCUCCAUCCUGCCUCGCUCCCUACUGCUUCUGCGACCCUGGGCCGCUUCUGCAGUCACGCAGGUGCGGGAAUUCCUUCGCACCUGUGGCCUCUUCCCAGCUCACUUCUAGCCGCUUGUGUGGUCCACCGCCUCACUUCUGCGAUGCCGCUUCUAUGAUGUAGCUUCCACAGAAGUGGUUGCACCAGCAACCAGAAUCCUCAAGCUUUUCCUUAAGUCCAAAAUUCGAUCUGUUAACCAUCCGGAAUCCACCCGAGGCCCCGGGACCUUGACCAAAUAUACCAACACAUCCAAAAUACAAUACAAACUUAGCCUAAGCCUUAAACCACAUCAAACAAUAUCAAAAAUCAUGAAUCGCGCCUCGAAUCAAACUUAUAAAUUUUCAAAUUUUCAAAUUCUAUAUAUUGUGCCAAAACGUAUCAAAUUAAUCUGGAAUGACUUCAAAUUUGACACACGAGUCAUAAAUGAUAUAACGAAGCUAUUCCAAGGCUCAGAACCCCAAACGUACAUCGAUAACAUCAAAAUCCACUUCAAACCAAACUUAAGAAAUUCUUAAACCUUCAAAAUGCCAACCUUCCAUAAUAAGUACCGAAAUGCUCCCGGAUGAUCCGAUACUCAACCCGAAUACACGCCCAAGUCCGAAAUCAUCAUACGAACCUAUUGGAACUUUCAAAUCCUGAUUCCGAGGUCGUUUACUCAAAAGUCAAACCUUAGUCAAUUCUUUCAACUUAAAGCUUUCGAAAUUAGAACUUUCUUUCCAAAUCAAUCCCGAACUUCCCGAAAUUCAAAUUCCGACAACACGUACAAGUCAUAAUACCUGAAGUGAAGCUACUCAAGACCUCAAACCGCUGAACGAUACGCUAGAGAUUAAAAUGACCGGUCGGUCAUUACAGACCCGACUUUAACCCGCCCCGCUCCCCUUUCAAUCUUGGCCGUUGAUCUCAAAUGAUCAAUGGCCCAAAUUAAGCCGACCCCUUUCCAUAUAUCAUUUCCUAGUAACCCUAGAGGCCCAUUCCCCACUUCAGCCACUCUACUCUCUCUAUUCCUCUCUUCUUCUUUACAAACCCUAGCCGCCGUAUCUCUAAAUCCUCUCUAAAUUCGGCCCCAAUAUGGAAUCCUUUCGUGAUUCUCUUGCCUUAUUCUGCUACUACUCAUGCGUGCAUGGUGUUACUUAGUAUUUACCUAACUUUGGUAAAUGCUACCUUUCAAGACGAGCCUGAUUUGGCUCUAAUUUUGUGAAGAUCUGGCCGAUGUUUCAUCUAUAUAUAUACUCUACAAUGAAUGAUUCUUGCAUUUUUGACCAGAUUCAUGGCCAUUGGACUCAACUAGGGUUUGAAAUUUUGAUUUCUCCUUUACCGGUUCUAUUAUUGAUUGCAUGUGAUAUUUUCUUUCCUUAUUCGUGUUUGAUUGAUUAUUUUCCAUGUUUGAUUGUUCAAUUUCUACCACUAUAUAACCCCUCCCCAAUUUUCUCUUUGGACGGACCUCAUUAUUUUUACUGCUAUUACUCUCAUAAUUCUUCUCUUUCACUCAUUCACUUACUCUGUUACACUCGAAUAUUUUCUGAAACUGUUGAAUUUUUGGCCGGCUGAAAGCCAAGGCCAUAAUACUAUUAAACGAACUCCUCCGGUGCAAGCACUGCUCGGAGCCCUUCUCGAGGCUCUUGUGAACUCUGAAGCAUUGGGGAUUUGAGGUUUCACUAUCUUCCUUCAAUUGCUACUGCUGAAUCACUACUGAUAUUCUAAGUUCCUCACUCUUUUGCUCGUUUAUCUUUGCAACUGGUUAGUGUUCUUUACCUUUAUAAUUUAAAUUACUUCCCUCCUAUAUGAUGAUGCUUAUGUGAAUUGUGUGUGCCACUAUUGUUUGGCUCAAUUUUCCUGUUGUUUAUGAAAUUUCUAAUGUUGUAUGCUUAUCACAUAUUCUAAUGACUGUCAGUCUCGAUGAGGUUUCUUCUACCAUUUUGCGUGUUCUAAUAUUACCUAAGUCCAAAGCUUCUAGAUGGGUAGCUUGUUCUUUUCUAGGUGCAAUAAAGCUCUGGCCCUCUUAAAUGUUACUUGAACUUUUGUGAUCCUUCUAUUGUGCUACCUUUGUUUUCAAUCCUUUUUUGCAUUAAUGUCUCUAUGUAGUUUUAAUGUCGUAAUUCUAUUUUGAUUCUACUCUUAGAAUCAUGAGUAGUUAACUAAAGUAAUUCCCGCUCUUUGUAUGUUUUCAUGGUUCGAAUGUUAAACCUCAUCAAUGCCUGGUGUGAGUGUAUCUUCAUACUAUGCUUUGGAUUCUUGUGUUAAAACUUACUAGUAAUUCAUAUUUGCCCAGAAAUUGAUCCAAAUGUAUUCUUCCCUCUUCAUGCUAAGUCACUCAUACAUACAACUUUGAACUUGCUCACUUUCUUAAAAUGAUCAUGCCUAUGUGAAUCCUGAACCUUUCAUACUGUAUAUUUCUAUGCUACUUGCAAGCCUCAACAUUGUACUAUAGUUGCAUGUGUUACUACCAUUUUGGUUGCCACAACACUGUUCUAUUGGCCAUGCUUGCUAGUGCUAGUUUUCUCAGUUUCAUGCCUAUUGUUAUCCUUGGUAUGUACAAUGGAACUUGCUAUAGACUUGCAUUCUCAGAAUUAGAUACAUGCCUACUAAUUAGCUGUUGUGCAGAGUUUUCAAUAUUGUUGACCUUUAAUUUCUUAAUAGGUUUUCUUAUAAAUACUUUCUGCUUGUCACAAACUGACUUACAAAUCAAAGUUAUGUUUUACCCAACAUGCUUAUGCUAAUAUUUUCUUGUAAAGUUCACCGUUGGUCUUUGUCUCUCGAGCAUGUCAUUGCUACUUGUUAACCUUCUGGAAAUUAAUUAAUGACCCUGCUUUCUUUGAACUCUCAUGCUUAACUCCUCUGUUUGUGGAUUCUUGUGUGCUAGAUUCCUACAAUCAAAUCAUGUGUAUCCCAAGAAACUUGUUACCUUGAGCUUGUUUGUUUAUCUGAAAACCCCUGUAUAUGUCCAAUCUAUGUGUUCUGCAGACUCUCUACAUCUUAUAUGUGCUUAUGUGAUAUUCAAGUGUGUCUUACCCCUGGGACGUGUAGAAUUCUUGCUUUUGUUAGUUGUGGUAUUAGGGUCCAAAUGAGCAUGUGCUCUACCUUAGAAUUUGAGUUAUCUUAAUGAUUUGGGGUUUGUAUGAGUUGCCAUUCGUGCUUUAUUAAUCUAUAACUUGUAAUGGAUGUGCAAGAGAAUUGUUUUGUUGUUGGGCAUGACUGCUGAAUCUGGUUCUUGGUACUGUGAUUUCGAGCACACUAUCUGCGCCUGGGAUAUGGGCGUAUCAGAAUUGUAUAGCCAUUUGAAGGCACAAAUGCACCGCUGGGUUAUUUUACAUUUAUGAUUAGGCAUGUAGUUAUUCCAUUUUAAGCUGUAGUAAUUUGUAUAACGAAUGAUGGGGAGUUAAUAAAAGGGGUUGGGGUAUUCUAAUACUUGCACGAAAGGGUAGAAGGCAUGCCUAUAGGGUCUAUUUGUUCUAUUUUCUAUUACAUCUAGCAUGCCCUAUUUGUUGCAUACUAAUAGGAACCAUGCCUAUAGGAAUCAUGCACAUACACUUCACUUAACUUGUCAAAUAUGCUAUACUUGUUUCCAUGUCUACUAUUCAACACUUUUAGAUAAUAUGCCUAUAGGAUACAAUAAUGCAAUAUUUUCGCUAAUCUAGAUACCAUGACUAUGAGGUUUAAUAAUUGGUCAACUGCUUCAUGUUACUUUUGUACUAUCCUACUUAGAUGACAUGCCUAUAGGGUUGAAGUGUUAUAAAAUCAAGUCUAAUUGUCAAAUGUUAGGAAUCCUGCCUAUAUGAUACUCUCACUCGCCUAGAAAAGUUGUUUAUGAAAUAAACGUUGUUAAUGCUGGACUCUCAAAAUUGUUUCACUUCCUAAUUAUGCAACUAUUAGAAAUCAUGCCUAUAGGACAAUGUCGCCUGCUUAAGACGCAUAUCUAUAAAAUCAGCACUAUUAAUUUUGAGCUUUCUAACAGUUUUAUGGCCUCAUUGCAUAAACAAUUUAGAGAUCAUGCGUAUAGGUUUGUAAUACCUAUAAUCUGCGAAUUCAAAAAUAACAAUGUUGUUUGCACGAUGCUGAAAUUCAGAAUCACCUAGAGACCAUCCCUAUAGGACUUAAUGACUCUAAGUCUUAAUUCUAAAAUUGUCUACUGCCUAAUAUAAGAAUCUGAUCGCAUGCUUUUGUGCUUAUGUAUGGAGGUCAACUUGAACCUUUCAUUGCAAUUGUGCGCAGUCCUAUCUGUUUUGAAUGUCACCUAGUUUUAUUAUUUUGAGCAACCUAAGUGAGGUCUAGAACUACCUAAUAGUAGGUCCAAGCCUACUGGACCAGAGGCAUGGGACGAGUAGUUUAUGCAUAGGUUACAGUUUAGAAUUGAAUUAGAGCGCCUCUAAGUAAUAACUUCAACAUAGUAAUUAGGUAGCAGAAGAUGAUAACAUGUGCCCGCUGAAUAAUAUGAGCAACUCCUACCUCAAGAGAGUUGCGAAGUAUUAUUUAUGUUGCACAGGGUGAUCCUUUAGGCUAAAGAAUUUAGGACCCCCUCCCUAUCCUUUUAUAUACUUGCUGGUUCACACUUAGUCAUAGAUUGACGCAAUUGUACUCUUUAUGAUUUUUUAAGACUUGUAUCAUUAGUCAUAUAAUUUAUUUUUAUGUUAUAACAGAGUUUUUAACUUCUACAUCUUUCUUUUCUUAUUUAAUCACCUAGCUUAAUUAUCUAAUCCACAUAGUAUAAAUUUUAGCCGGGACCCACAAUUAUGGACCUCGAAGAGGGACUAACACCUUCUCUUUGAGGUAAUUUGAGCCCUUACCUAAUCUUUGGUAGCGUUAACUAGUCAAACAGAGUUAUUUGCAAAUAGAUGCCCUAACGCACCUUAAAAUCGUUAGGUGGCGACUCUUCUCUUUUAAUACCCAUUUAAAAGAGUUGUCACACGUCGAAACCCGCUUUUGAGAGAAAAUAGGGCGCGACAACAUGGUGACUCCGCUGGGGAUAUACUUAGGCUCUUACCAUAACGCAUUUGACUAAUGUGGAUUAUUUCCCUUUAUUUGUCUAAAUUACUAUGACAUGCACAUCGUUUCCCUUAUUUCCCUUUAUUGCUAUGACAGGUACGCCCUCUCUCGCUCCUUUCAUCUUGUCUAAAAUUGUUAUAUCAUGACUCUCCCGUCCCUAUUUCCUUAUUUGCUUCAUUACAUUCACGCACAUUUUCAUGAGUUAAACCGACUUCUUUCUUUUGUCCUUCUUUUCUUUUCUCUUCUUUUUCAUCUUUACCGUGUUAUUUACUGUUUUAUGCGCUUUUAUCAUGCAAAUACUUGGCAACGUGUUACUAUUUCUGCAUAAAGCAUGCUCCACAUCAUACUUCACUCGUGCUCAUUAUCAACAUAGCGACGCUUGAUGAGUGUCUGCACUUUUCUGAAUUCAUCCUUUUAAAUCGGAAAGGCUUAUUUGCAGUAGACUAGUCCAUCAGCGGUGCAGUCGACAGUCCCGUGCAUUUCCCUCUCAAGUUGUCCACUUGAGAGUACCAGUCUAGACCCUCCUAGAAACCCUAAUCUAAUUUGAAAUAUACAUGCAUCAUGCUGAACCUAGUACGGAUUGAGGCGUCAGUGACAUGACAACCCGCUUAGAUAAACCUUGUCCAAAGUCCGAUGGGAUUUCCAUAAUCCCAAAGGACACUAUCAUAUUAUGUGCAUUACUUGGAGAAAAUGUGCCAACAUGUUGAUCAUUAUUGCGUAAGUAGUCGAAUAUGGAAGGGGAAAAGGCUAACCUUUAUUUGUUUGCAAAAAAUGAAGCAUGAAGUCCUCAAGUUAGGUAUGGUCCAAAAUAUCCCGCCUUUGCUGAACAUUCAACCAAACAGAGAACUGAUUGAGGCUGCUACCAUGUUCUGGGAUGAGAAGAGAGUUGUUUUUCUAUUUGGAAAUAUAUAAAUGACUCCUCUCCUAGAAGAAAUAGGGGGUUUCGCCAAGUUACCAUGGGAUAGUCCGGGACUACUGGUGCCAGAAAAUUGCACUCCCUAUGGUUUUCUGAAAAUGUUGAGUUUUAAGAAUAAUGAUGAACUGCUUUGUCUAAAGAAAUCAUACAUCCCUUUUGAGUUUCUCUACGAGCGUUAUGGACAUAGCAAAUCAUAUCGCCUUCAUCAUGACGAACUAGCCAUUACCUCUUUGGGAUGGGUGCACUGCCAGGUUUAUGUUUUCAUUGUCUGCUUCUUGGGAUUGUUGAUCUUUCUGAUGCAAGGAGGAAGGAUUCAUACCCGCUUAUCCAUGGUUUCCAGGACCUUAAUGGAUGGCAUCGAAGGACAGACUUACACUAUCAUCCCCAUGAUCUUAGCUGAAAUGUAUCGUGCUCUAGAUCGAUGCAAGCAGGGGUUCAGACACUUUGAGGGUUGUAAUCUAUUGCUACAAGUUUGGUUGUUGGAACACUUUCAGAGGGGAGAGUAUCAACAAGAGCUUCUGCGAAGGCCACUGAACGACUACAUAGCCAACCAUCACCCAAAGAAAAUGACAUUCGUUCCAAACAGAUUUGCAAAGCUUGGAAAUGUUGUAAGCUGGGUAUGUUUAUUCAACAAUCUGACGGACGAGCAAGUGCAUUGGAUGUUUGAAUUGUUUCCUAGUAGUGAGUUCAUCAUCAGAUCAAAAGAAACUACUCACUUGGUAUUGAUCGGGCUGCGAGACAUCUACCUUUACGCUCCUAUAAGGGUAAUGAAGCAAGCUAGAAGAAAACAAGUCAUACCUCGGGUUUCCAACAUGGUUCAAUACAAGGAAGAUUUCAAGGGAGAUAUCAUCCCAUUUAAGUUCAAAGCACAACACAUGUGGAACCAAAAUAUCAUCGUGGAAGGAGAAACUAUUGAGCCAGACAGGUAUCACGCAGGCCAUAUGUACUACUAUCUAUCACGCCGACCUUACUGACUUGGUUACCUUUUGUUUUUAUUUUCUUAUUUAUUCUCAUUCCCAAAGGUUGGUUCGUGCAUACUGGCAUCAUCAGCAUACCACACUAGAUCCAGAGGUCCUCCACUUCCUCUUCCACCUAGCAACAUAAAAAGCAAAGGCAAGGGCAAAAGCGAAGAUGGAUGACAUAAGUGGUAUUCGGAAAGAUAACGCUACCGCGGUAGAGAAUGUUGAAACUUCAGAUGGUAGAAGCACCCCAGGGCAGAAUGAGUUGGUCUUACGUUUAGAGCAGAAAAUCCUGGAGCUACAGGGUGAGCUUGAACCGAAAUCCGGCAAACCUUUCCCUUUCUCUUAAUGUUCCUAACAUCAACCAGCAAAACCCAACUACCCAAAACCAAACACCACCACAAAACGCACAAAACUAGAAUCCAUCACCUAUAGCUCUGAAUCCUCCCGCACCACACCAGUAUCAUAAUCCUGCACCUCCCCGAAACCUCAACCCACCAUUAGUGCAAACCCCUCAACAACACCUCCAUCACCCAACUCAAUACUCACAAACCACUACUCAUCACACUCCCCAAAAUGCACCACAAUCCACUCUCGAUCCCCAAAACUCAAUCAACGAAUAUCCAUAUAUCCAAGUUCCAGGAACUCAUCAAAAUAACCCGAUAUAUGUGGAAACCUUAUCCCAUACCCCACAUCUAACCCUAUAAAUACAUGAACUGACUCAGAAGGACCUGCUCAUUCGAAACAUGGCAGAGGAACUCAAGAAACUUACAGGGAGAGUCUAGAGUGUUGAAGGUGGGAAAGGCGUUGAAGGUUUAAACUAUGAAGAUUUGUGUAUUCAGCCAGAUGUAGAACUUCCGGAAGGCUACAAACCUCCCAAGUUCGAGAUGUUUGAUGGAACUGGUGAUCCGAAGGUGCAUCUAAGAACCUACUGCGACAAGCUUGUAGGAGAGGGUAAGAAUGAACAAAUCCGCAUGAAACUGUUCAUGCGAUGUCUUAUAGGAGACGCCUUGUCUUGGUAUAUCAGUCAAAACCCGAAGAAGUGGGCAAAUUGCAUAAGUAUGGCAUUAGAUUUCAUGGAACAAUUCCGGUUCAGCACAGAAAAUGCACCAGACAUUUUCUAUAUCCAAAACCUCAAGAAGACACCGACAGAAACCUUCCGUGAGUACGCUACUCGCUGGAAAUCAGAGGCCGCAAAGGUAAGGACAACACUUGAAGAAGAACAAAUGAACAAGUUCUUUGUUAGAGCUCAAGAUCCACAGUAUUAUGAAAGGUUGAUGGUCAUCGAGAAUCACAAGUUCUCAGACAUCAUCAAGUUAGGAGAAAGGAUAGAAGAAGGAAUCAAGAGUGGAAUGGUGACCAAUUUUGAGGCACUGCAAGCCACAAAUAAAAUCUUGCAAUUAGGAGGUAUCUCAAAGAAAAAAGAAGUGGGUGUUGUGAUGAUAGCUAGGGCCCUAAGUCUCCCCUCACAUACCAAACACCUCCACUCGCAUAUCAACCCUCACCCCCAAAAUACCAAUACCCUGCCACCACCUACCAUACCUAUGACACUCAACCUGCAUAUUACCAUUCACCUCCACACGCCCGCCAAAACUACCCAAAUUUUGACCGUAGAACUCCUAGACAAUACACCCCAAUUGCUGAACCCUAGCCCAACUGUAUGAGAGACUGAAGACCGCUGGUUACGUCACCUCUAUUCCUAUUGUUGCUGUUGAGAACCCUUCCCAGUGGAUCAAUCCCAAAAAAACUUAUGCCUAUCAUUUAGGCAUGAAAGGUCAUACCAUUGAAGAGUGAUGUAUGUUAAAAGACAAGAUUCAGACACUGAUCGACACUAAGGUUAUACAAGCAAAAGAAGGCAGCACCAAAUGUCCGCAAUAACCCUCUCCCGAAUCAUAGGGGUGAGGGGGUGAACGUGAUAGAAAUUGAUGAGUAAUGGGAUCAAGAAAGGUCCAUCGGACUCAUUCGGGAGGGAGUCACUCCUAAAAUAUCUUCGGUCACCCUCACGCUAGUCGUCGUACAAACCCAGACACCAUUUGAGAUCGAGGUAACUACACCCUUCACUGUAAUGGUAGCUCUCACACCGUCUUACAAGUCUGAUGUCGUCCCAUAGGAUUAUGUUGCGGAAGCGAGAAGAAACGGAAAAGCCAAGAUGGAAGAAACGGGUGUCGCACAAGAUAUAACUAGAACUGGCAGAGUUUACACACCUGAGAAUCUGGGGGGAAUGAGCAAAGAAGCUGCAUCUAAGCCGACUGUUGUUGAAACAGGCACUGACGAUCUUUGGAGGAAGAUACAAGCAAGGGAAUACUCUGUUGUUGACCAUCAGAACAUGACUCCAGCUCAGAUAUCCAUCUUAUCACUGUUGCAAAACUCAGACGCACACAAGAAUGCCUUGAUGAAAGUGUUAAGUGAAGCUUAUGUACUCGCUGGAAUAACUAGUGGAGAGAUGGCUAAAAUGGUUGGACAGGUACUGGAGAGUCACAAAAUUACUUUCCAUGAAGAUGAGUUAUCGCCAAAAGGGUUGAGUCACAACAAGGCAUUGCACAUCAUAGUGCAAUUUGAGGACAAGUUCAUCGCCAGGUCCUGAUAGAUGGAGGAUCGAGCCGGAAUAUAUGCCCGUUGACCACUCUAAAAAGAUUAGGUAAAGGCCUGCACAAGAUACGGAUGGGAAGCAUGAAUGUGAAGGCAUUCGACGGAUCUCAGAGAGCCAUUGUCGGAGAAAUCAACUUUGAUCUACAAAUGGGUCCGACUUGGUUUGAUGUCGAAAUCCAAGUGCUAGAUAUAUCUGGUACUUAUAACUUGUUGUUGGGACGACCAUGGAUACAUGCAGUGGGGGCAGUGGCUUCUACUGUGCACCAGGUGGUAAAGUUUGAGUGGAAUCAUCAGGAGGUGAUCAUUCAUGGAGACAAAAGCAACCCUAUCUACACCAGCCAGACUGUUCCAGUCAUAAAAAAUGGGAGGUAGUUAGGCGGAGAAACAUAUCACUGCAUUGAGCGGGUGAACGCAACUGAAAAGGAUCGAUGGUGGAGCAAUAAGAUAGAAAGCAUAUUUUUGUGGACGGGAUAUGAAACAGGCAAAGGUCUUGUCAAAAAGCUUCAGGGGAUCACUAAACCCAUACAACCACAGUAUCAUGGCAUGACCUUUAGACUCGGGUAUGAAUAUACCGUAGAAGAACAUCAGGAUUGGAUACCGCUAUGACGCACCCAUUAUUAUCCGCUGGAACAACCCAUACCACCUCUACACCAGACAUUCCGUCAGGCUGACAUAAUGUGGGGAUCCGAGAAAUAUGGGAUUUUUGUCGGUAUGAGGAGGCUAUUUCUGGACGAAGAAGACAUGGACUAUGAUGUAAUUGUUGUUGUUGAGGAGGAGGAGGAAGACCUUACCAUUCAGACAGUGGGAGAAGGAGUUGUUCUCAAGAACUGGACCGCUACACCAUCCCGGGCUCGCCGAGUACCUAGGUAGCCUGGCAAAAUUAGCAUGACUUGUUUUUACAUUAUUUUGAGAAUUUAAGACAUUUUCAGUAUUUUAUUUUGGAAUAAUUACUCAAGCCAUCGAGUCGUACUUGUUGACAGCUUUAAGCUUUAUUAAUGCAUUAUUGCUUUUCGUAUUUAUUAUUAUCUUUCUACAUUCUUUUCAGCGUAAUUAAUACAUAUCCCGAUGAACCUACGGCUAUGACAUGUAAUGAGACAAUGCAACAUAAGGACAGUGAUUCGGAAGAAUUGGAAGAUGAAAUAAUACCUGAGGAAAUUGUCAAAGAAGUAGAAAAUUUUGAAAACAAACUGAAGUCUAAUUUGGACGAAACUGAGGCCAUUAACUUAGGGGAUGCUAAAAUAGUCAAAGAAGAUCGCAUAAGCAUUCAUCUAUCACCGUCAGAGAAGGAAGAGUAUAUCAGGUUCCUAAAGGAAUAUAAGGAUAUUUUCGCAUGGUCCUACGAUGAUAUGACUGGGUUAAGCAUAUCCAUAGUAGCUCACAAGCUACCUACCAAUCCCAUGUGUCCACCGGUAAAGUAGAAGCUCAGAAAGUUCAAGCCAGAUAUGAGUCUGAAGAUAAAAGAGGAGGUCACCAAGCAAAUCAAAUCCAAGGUUCUUCGAGUGGUCGAAUACCCGACCUAGUUAGCCAAUAUUGUGCCGGUUCCGAAGAAAGAUGGGAAAGUUAGAGUAUGUGUCGAUUACCGAGAUCUGAACAGAGCAAAUCCGAAGUAUGAUUUCAUGUUGCCUACCAUACACAUACUAAUCAAGAACUGCGCCAAGCAUGAACUCCAAUACUUCAUGGAUUGCUUCGCAGAAUAUUAUCAGAUUUGGAUGGACGAAGAGGAUGCCGAAAAGAUCGAUUUAUCACACCAUGGGGAAUAUAUUGUUACAAAAUGAUGCCGUUUAGUUUGAAGAACGUUGGGGCCACCUAUAUGAGGGCCAUGAUGACUAUCUUCCACAAUAUGAUACACAAGGAAAUAGAGGUGUGCGUGGAUGAUGUCAUCAUCAAAUCCAAAAGAAGUUCAGACCAUAUAGCAGACCUGAAAAGGUUUUUCGAUCGACUUCGAAAGUACAAUUUGAAGUUGAACCUAGCAAAAUGUGCCUUCGAAGUCCCUGUAAAUGGCUUGUUGUUGAUAAUCCAUGAUGAUGUCUGACAAUGAAAGGAGUGUGUAUGAAUUAUGAAAUACGGUCGGCGUUCCAAGAACGAAAUUACACUUAAUACCACUAGUUCCAAUGAAAUCAAAAGAUGUGUGAAAGAUUAUAAAACGAACUGUAACUCCUUUUUAUAAUAAAUGUUUUGGGAGUAUCGUUUAGUCAACGAGGAAGGGUAGGUUGAAAUAACCUAACCCCAAAACUACACAUGCCGGUGUAGGAGUGAUUGAGGGGUAAAUCCCUGUAUUGACGUGUUGAGAUUAUUCCCCCUUAAAUGGGAUGAGAUUGAUGUGUUGAGAUUGGUCUCCUUAAUUAGGAUGAGAUGAUUGCUAGCAGAAAGUGAUGUCGAUCCGCAUGGCAUUGUGGUGACACAGCUUAGCCAAUCGGGCUGAGAUCGGACGUCAUACCGCGCACAUGGUGGUGUUGUGAUUGGAUGUCUCGGGGUGAGAUGGCUUAGCCGAUCGGGCCGAGAUCGGACUCCGUUCUAAUAAAUAUGUGGUAUAUCGGUACUAAAGAUCUCCCAAUUUAGAAAUAUUGGAAUUUACUUGAACAUUUAUCUUCUCUUAACUUGAUACUUUAAUGUUGUUUGAGGCUCUCAUUGAUUCCAUGUUUCCUUCUCAUUUUGCUGUUACUUAUUCUAUUGAGAGGUUUUUUAGUCUUACAUACUAAUACUAUUCCAUAUGUACUAACGUCCCUUUUGCCUGGGCGCUGUAUCCUUAAUGGAUAUAGGUGAUUCCACAGCAGGCGACGUUGAUCACUGAUAGUAGUACACCCUCUUCUUAGCUGACUUGGUGAGCCCUUUUUCAUUUCGGGGUCUUGUACCUUUUGUCCUCUAUGUAUAGUAUUUUGAGGUAUAGCCGGAGCCUUAUCGCCGGCAUCAUCAUACUACUCUUGUGUAUCCAUUAGAGGCUCCGUAGACAUAGUGUGGGUUGUAUCUUGGUUUUGGGAAAGUUAAACUAAAGGUGUUGUAUUUGUAUCACAUGUUUCCACUUCCAAACUAGUAAUGUAUAAUGUAAUAUAUUUUUGGAAAUUAUAAAUGAAGUAACUAGUGGUAAUGAAGUUUUUGUUAUUCAUGCGAUCUCCUCAUUGUCUAGUUAAUGGAAUACAUCUUCACUUUGUUCAUGGGUACGGUCAGGUAGAAGGCAUCAAGUAGGCUUUCUUGACUGGGAUAUCUCGGUUGUGCGCCGGUCGUGCUCCCCAAGGUCGGGGCAUGAUAAGCUUGGCAUCAGAGCCUAAGGUUUUAAAGUGUCCUAGGAAAUCGCGGAGCCGUGUCUAGUAGAGUCUUUAUCGGUGUGUUGUCGACUACAUCUAUAAUUAGGAGGCUACUUGGGAAUUUAGGAAUAUCACCCUUCUUUGAUGAUCUAGAACGUGCAAUAGAGCAAAUUGUACGACUGUUCCUCCUUUAACUCGUGCAUUGAUCUAAUUUUCAGUAUAUGGUGCCUAGGAAGAAGGCAAGAAGGCAAGAAAUGGCCAUAUAGCCAAUGCUACCCCAGGAGUAGCAGUUGAUCCUAUACCUGAUGAUGCUGGUGAGCACCCGAGGGGUAAGGAUAUUCCCCCAACUACUACUGCAUCGCCUGAUUCUGCUACUCCUGCUCAGACUGCACCAAUCCCUACUUCCACCGAGGGCGCAGCUAUUCCACCUUCAGUAGAUACUCUGGUUCCACCUCCAGCCCUAGUUUCCAGUCCCGGUGUUUCUGAUGGGGACCUUAGGGGAGCCAUACAGAUGUUGGCUCAGAUAGUGGCUUCUUAUGCCAGGAGAUUGAAUGUUGCACCUACUUCUUCCAGUCAGCCAGGGGAUUCUGCUCAUUCCAGGGUGAAUAGGUUUCUUUAGUUGUAUCCUCCAGUGUUCACAGGUACUGAUCCUAAGGAGGACCCCAGGACUUUAUUGAUGAGAUGCACAAAACUCUCAGAGUUAUGCGAGCUACCGAGAUAUAGGCAGUGGAGUUGGCCUCCUACCACCUGAAAGAGGUGGCCUAUUCUUGAUUUGAGAUGUAGGAGGAGUCCCGUGAGGAGGGGAGCCCUCCGACGAGGUGGAGUGAGUUUGUCGACGCCUUCAUUGACCAUUUCUUUCCUGACGAGACUAAGGCGACCCAUGCCACAGAGUUUGAGAGCUAGAAGCAAGGUAGCAUGAGUGUGUGGGAGUACAAUAUGAGAUUCGCGCGCCUGUCUAAGUAUGCCAUUUACAUGUUUCCCACUAUAGAGGCAAGAGUGUGCCGGUUUGUUCAGGGCCUCAGCCCCUUGGUUAUUAAUGAGGCCGCUACAUGUGCCUUGAAUUCUAAUAUUAACUAUGGGAAGAUGGUGGCAUUUGCUCAAGCCACGGAGACCCUCAAAUUGAAGAAUAGAAGGGAGCGAGAGAGUAGCAAUAAGGCUCGGUCUGCGGGCAACUUUGGUGGUUCUUCCAGUGGUGGUGGUGGUGGUAGGUCAACAUUUAGGGGAGGGUCGUUAGGUCCAUCCCAGUCCUUUGUUCAGUCUUCAGUUGGUACACUGCCAGCAAGGUCCAGUCAGAGGGCAAUAGGGGAUCCUACCAACAGGGUCGGCCUGGAGGGAGAUUCCAAUAGCAGCGGAGGCCCCCAAGCCCUAGGUGUGGGAAGAUGCAUUUCGGGGCUUGCUUCAUGAACCAGCCCAUAUGCUACGGGUGCGGUAUUAGGGGUCACAUUUAGAGGGAUUGCCGUUCAUCCCACCAGAGUGUGGGUAGAGGUACGGCAUAGCCAGCCAGUUCUGCAACUAUUUCAUCCGCAGUACCUCCUCCAGCUCGAGGCACUCCAGCACCCGCAGAGUGUGGUGCAGCUAGGGAUGGUGCACAGAGUUCGGGAGGACCCAGCCGGUUCUAUGCUAUGAGGGGUCGCCAGAGUUCUGAGGCUUCUCCAGAUAUUGUCACAGGUAUUUUGAUUGUUCAAUCCAAUGAUGUUUAUGCUCUCAUAGAUCCUGGUUCCACAUUGUCAUAUGUCACUCCUUAUGUUGCUAUGGAAUUUGGGAUAGAACUAGAACAGCUUCAUGAGCCAUUCUCUGUAUCUACUUUGGUUGGUGAGUCUAUUAAGUCCGCAUGGGUUUAUAGGGAUUGUGUUGUCACGGUGCAUGGUCGGGACACCAUGGCCAAUCUCACUGAAUUGGGGAUGGUUGAUUUUGAUGUAAUAAUGGGGAUGGACUGGCUUUAUUCAUGUUUUGCCAAACUUGAUUGGCGAACCAGAACCGUUAAGUUUGAAUUUCCAAAUGAGCCAGUUAUUGAGUAGAAGGGGGAUGAUGUAGUGUCGAAGGGUAGGUUUAUUUCUUACCUUAGGCCAUGAAGAUGAUCAACAAGGGGUGUAUUUACCAUUUGGUCCGGGUUACGGACACCGAUGAUGAGGCACCUACACUUGAGUCUGUACCAGUUGUGAAUGAAUUUUUGGAGGUUUUUCCUGAUGAGCUACCUAAGAUCCCACCAAACUGGGAGAUUGAUUUUGGGAUCGAUGUGAUGCUAGGCACGCAGCCUAUAUCCAUUCCACCCUACAGAAUGGCACCAGUGGAAUUGAAGUUACUAAAGGAAUAAUUGAAAGAUUUAUUAGAGAAGGGUUUUAUCCAGCCGAGUGUGUCGCCUUGGGGCGCAUCGGUUCUCUUUGUAAGAAAGAAAGAUGGAUCACUGAGAAUGUGUAUUGGCUAUCGGCAUCUCAACAAGGUCACAAUCAAGAAUAAGUACCCACGACCAAGGAUAGAUGACUUGUUUGAUCAGUUGCAGGGUGCUAAUUAUUUCUCCAAGAUUAACUUAAGGUCGGGUUAUCACCAAUUGAAGAUUAAGGAGCAGGAUAUUCUGAAAAUAGCUUUCAGGACCCGGUAUGGGCACUUUGAAUUUAUGGUGAUGUCUUUUCGGCUAACAAAUGCCCUGGUAGCUUUCAUGGAUCUUAUGAAUCCUAUCUUCAAGCUUUUCCUCGACUCCUUUGUGAUAGUGUUCAUUGAUGACAUUUUUGUAUAUUCACGAAGUCAGGAGGACCAUGCCUAUCAUCUCAGGGCAGUUUUGCAAACUCUGUAUCAGCACAAGUUGUAUGUAAAGUUUUCAAAAUGUGAAUUUUGGCUCGAAUAUGUCACAUUCUUGGGUCAUGUCAUCUCUAUUGAAGGAAUUAAGGUUGAUCCUCAGAAGAUCACAGUUGUGAAAAAUUGGCCUAGACCUACAACUCCAAUAGAGAUUAGUAGUUUCUUGGGCUUAGUAGGGUAUUACAGGAGGUUUGUGAAGGGGUUCUCUACUCUUGCCUCUCCAAUGACUAAGUUGAUGCAGAAGGUGGUUAAAUUCCAUUGGUCAGACGCUUGCAAAAAGAGCUUCUAGGAGUUGAAAUCAAGAUUGACUACAGCACCGGUGUUGACCUUACCAAAGGGUACAGAUGGGUUUGCGCUAUAUUGUGAUGCUUAAGGAUCGAACUUGGAUGUGUAUUGAUGCAACAUGGAAAGGUGAUUGCUUAUGCUUCUAGGCAACUCAAGAAUCAUGAGAAGAACUAUCCAACACAUGACUUAGAGCUUGCGGCGGUGGUUUUUGCAUUGAAGAUUUGGCUUCCUUAUUUGUAUGGGGUCCAUGUGGAUAUAUUCACAGACCACAAGAGCCUUCAGUAUAUUUUCAAGUAGAAGGAAUUGAAUCUGAGGCAGAGAAGAUGGCUUGAGUUACUUAAAGAUUACAACAUCGAUAUUCUAUAUCAUCCGGGGAAGGCUAAUGUUGUGGCGGAUGCUCUUAGCCGAAAAUCUAUGGGUAGUUUGGCUCACUUAGAGGCAUAUCAAAGGCCGUUGGACAAGGAAGUUCAUCAGUUUGCUAGUUUGGGAGUUCANNNNNNNNNNNNNNNNNNNNNNNNNNNNNNNNNNNNNNNNNNNNNNNNNNNNNNNNNNNNNNNNNNNNNNNNNNNNNNNNNNNNNNNNNNNNNNNNNNNNNNNNNNNNNNNNNNNNNNNNNNNNNNNNNNNNNNNNNNNNNNNNNNNNNNNNNNNNNNNNNNNNNNNNNNNNNNNNNNNNNNNNNNNNNNNNNNNNNNNNNNNNNNNNNNNNNNNNNNNNNNNNNNNNNNNNNNNNNNNNNNNNNNNNNNNNNNNNNNNNNNNNNNNNNNNNNNNNNNNNNNNNNNNNNNNNNNNNNNNNNNNNNNNNNNNNNNNNNNNNNNNNNNNNNNNNNNNNNNNNNNNNNNNNNNNNNNNNNNNNNNNNNNNNNNNNNNNNNNNNNNNNNNNNNNNNNNNNNNNNNNNNNNNNNNNNNNNNNNNNNNNNNNNNNNNNNNGAAGGAUGGUACGCUAAGGUACCUAGGGCGAUUAUGUGUUCCUAAUGUAGAUGGCCUCCGGGAAAGAAUCAUGAUCGAGGCUCACACUUCCAGGUAUUCCGUGCACCCAGGAUCUACAAAGAUGUACCAUGAUCUUAAUGAAGUCUAUUGGUGGAAGGAUAUGAAGAGGAAUGUAGCAGACUUUGUGGCAAAAUGUCCAAAUUGUCAACAAGUAAAGGCCGAACAUCAAAGGCCCGGUGGGUUGGCACAGAUGUGGAAAUGGGAGAUGAUCAAUAUGGACUUUGUGGUGGGGCUACCUCGCACGCCUCACAAGUUUAACUCGAUUUGAGUGAUUGUGGACUGACUCACGAAGUCAGCACACUUCUUACCUGUUAAGGCUACCGACACAGCAGAAUAAUAUGCUCAGUUGUAUAUCAAGGAAAUAGUCAGGUUGCACCGCACUCUAGUUUCUAUUAUCUCAGAUCGAGGGACACAAUUCACAGCUAAUUUUUGAAAGAAAUUUCAGCAAGAUUUGGGUACUCAGGUGAAUCUUAGUACAGCCUUUCAUCCACAGACAAACAGGCAGACAGAGCGAACUAUUCAGACGCUUGAGGAUAUGUUGCGCGCUUGUGUUCUUGAGGAUUAUUUUCCACUCAUAGAAUUUGCGUACAACAAUAUUUACCACGCUAGCAUUCAUAUGACACCGUUUGAGGCCCUGUAUGGUAGAAGAUGUAGAUCUCCCAUUGGGUGGUUCGAGAUUGGGGAAACGAGGUUGAUUGGGCCAGAUCUCGUGUAUUAGGCUAUGGAAAAGGUUAAGGUCACUAAGGAAUGGUUAAAAACUACUCAGAGUCGCCAAAAGUCCUAUUCGGAUGUGUGUCGUAGGGAUUUAGAGUUCAAAGAGGAUGAUUGGGUAUUCUUGAAGAUUUCCCCCAUGAAGGGUAUAAUGCGGUUUGGGAAGAGAGGGAAACUGAGUCUGAGGUAUGUUGGACCGUACAGAAUCAUUCAGAGGAUUGGUUAGGUGUCUUACAGGCUUGAGUUACUACCAGAGAUGUUGUUUGUACACCUGGUGUUUCAUGCAUCUAUGCUGAAGAAGGUAAUUGGAGACCCGUCACUUAUUAUUCUGGUUGAGACUGUCGAUGUUAAUGAAGAAUUGACUUAUGAAGAGAUUCUAGUUGCCAUUCUUGAUAGGCAAGUCCGAAAGCUGAGAAACAAAGAGAUUGCCUCAGUGAAAGUGUUAUGGAGAAACCAACAGGUCGAAGAGGCCACUUGGGAGGCCGAGGAAGAGAUGAAGAAGAAGAAGUACCCACAUUUGCUUGAAUAGCUAUGUAGUUGUGUUCUAUGAAAAUGUUAAAAGCUAACUUUCUACAAAUUAUGUUUCCCUUGUACAGCUUAUGUUAAGGAUACUCAUUUUUGGUAAUAUAAUGUUUAUGGCAUUGUGGUCGGUGUUGUUUCCAUGUUGUGUUACAUUGUUGCGUUAUGGUUAUGCUGUUAGGACUGGUUUUUAGGAUUCUACGACAAGUGGAUAUGCCCAAUUACAGAGGAGACUCUAGAAAAAAAUUUGGAAAUUUAGGGAGUUAGUCAAAAUUUGGAACUGCUGUGUGUGAAGUAAUAGUUGAGUCACAUUGGAUGCUAAUAGCAGAGUUUAAUCUUAUUCGAGGACGAAUGAUCCUAAGCGGGGGAGGAUGUAAGGCCUCGUAAGAUUUUACCUAGAACCCAGCAACAUCUAGGUUGGUUUAAACAGCUAUUUUGGAGAGAGGGUAUUAUCUUAGAGAGAGAGAGAGAAGGAAGCCCCAACCCCUUUGCUCAUCAAUUUUUGCCCCAAUCUUGAAGAUUCAAGGGAAUCACUCACUAGACCAUCAACUAUCCGGGUAAUACUUUGUUCUAAAAACCUUCAUGCAAUUAUUAUGAAUUAAAAUAAGUUGUAGAGUUAGAGGUAGGCCAUGCAUGUGCCAAUAAGGGGUAGUAUGUGAGGUUGUCGAACUAAUAUGGGUAAACUCUUGGUGUUGAAUUGGUUGUGGGGUGAAGGAAAUCUUGUAGAAGAACUUUGGGGUUUGAUAAAAUGCUUAAAUGGGCUAAACCCAUGAACCUCUUCCUAAUUAUGGUUCGAUUUUGUCGUCUCUCUGAUAGAAUAAAGUUGCUAGAAUUUUUGAAACAUUGUAGUAAUUUAAGGAAAGCUCAAGCGAGGUAUGUUGGCUAAACCUCUCUUUUAGAAUCGAAUCCCAUGAUGUUCUCGUAAGUCUCAAGUGUGAUUGGCCCAUGAUUCUUAUUCCUCACGUCCCGAGUUAUUCCUAAUAAAUCCGAUUAUUCCAAAUAAGCAUUGUGUCGGAAAUUAUAUGCUCAAAAUAUGUUUCAAUUGCUCCUAUCAUAUUAUGAUCUCCUUCGGGAAUGUGUUCAAGUAUGGUUUGUGUAUUAAAAUGUUAUGAUUUUAAUUCGUGUUUCAAAUAAAAGUUAUUAUGACAAAUUGCAAAAGAAAACUCAAUGUGCUUAAAACUCUUAAUGCCCAUAUGUGUACUUAAAGUCUUGAUUAGAAAUGGCUUGUUGUUGAUAAACCAUGAUGAUGUCUGACAGUAAAAGGAGUGUGUAUGAAAUAUGAAAUACGGCUGACGUGCCAAAAACGAAAUUACACUUGUGGCCACUAGUGCCAAUGAAAUGAAAAGAUGUGUGACAGAUUAUGAAACGAACUGUAACUCUUUUUUAUAAUAAAUGUUUUGGGAGUAUCGUUUAGUCACCGAUGAAGGGUAGGUUAAAAUAACCUAACCCCAAAACUACACGUGCCGGUGUAGGAGUGAUUGAGGGGUAAAUCCCCGUAUUUACGUGUUAAGAUUAUUUCCCUUUAAAUGGGAUGAGAUUGAUGUGUUGAGAUUUCUCCCCUUAAUUGGGAUGAUAUGAUUUCUAGCGGAAGGUGAUGUCGAUCCACAAGGCAUUGUGGUGAGACGGUUUAGCCGAUCGGGCCGAGAUCGAACGUCAUAUCGCGCACAUGGUGAUAUUGUGAUUGGAUGUCUCGGGGUGAGAUGGCUUAGCCGAUCGGGCCGAGAUCGGACUCCUUGCUAAUAACACAGUGGUAUAUCGGUACUAAAGAUCUCCCAACUUAGAAAUAUUGGAAUUUACUUGAAAGUUUGUCUUCUCUUAACUUGACACUUUAAUGUUGUUUGAGGCUCUCAUUGAUUCCAUGUUUCCUUCUCAUUUUACUGUUACUCGUUCUAUUAAGAGGGUGUUUAGUCUUACAUACUAGUACUAUUCCAUAUGUACUAACGUCCCUUUUGUUGGGUCCCUGCAUCAUUAAUGGAUGCAGGUGGUUCCACAGCAGGCGGCAUUGAUCAGUGAUAGCAGUACACCCUCUUCUCAGCUGACUUGGUGAGCCCCAUUGCAUUUUGGGGUCUUGUACCUUUUGUCCUCUAUGUAUAGUGUUUUGAGGUAUAGCCGGAGCCUUGAUGUUGGCAUCAUCAUACUACUCUUGUAUAUACAUUAGAGGCUCCGUAGACAUAGUGUGGGUCGUAUCUUGGUUUUGGGAAAUUUAAACUAAAGGUGUUGUAUUUGUAUCAUACGUUUCCACUUCCAAACUAUUAAUGUGUAAUGUAAUAUAUUUUUGGAAAUUGUAAAUGAAGUAACUAGUGGUAAUGAAGUUUGUGUUAUUCAUGCGAUCUCCUCAUUGUCUAGUUAAUGGAAUACAUCUUCACUUUGUUUAUGGGUACGGUCGGGUAGAAGGCAUCAAGUAGGCUUGCUUGACAUGGAUAUCUCGGUUGAGCACCGGUCGCGCUCCCCAAAGUCAGGGCGUGACAAAACCUGUGCAGUUAUAUAUCAAGAAGUAUCAAAAUAACAGAUAAAGAAUCAAAUAUAUCAACGGGAUAGGAACAUGAGAAAGGGGUAACAGACGGAAACAUAAAGUAAAGUAUCACUAAGUAAAUCACUUUCAAUAAUAAAUAGCGAAACCAAAAGGCCAAUUUCACAUUCAUGCUUUUAAACUAAUCCUCACAUUCAUGCUUUUAAACACAUUCAUGCUUUUAAAUUCAUUCCAAAUGUCAAGGUAAAGAGCAAUGAAAUGAACAAAAUUGCAAGACAUCACCCUUCAUGCUUUUAAACUCAUCCUCACAUGAUAAUAUAAAAGCAAGUUCACGGUAUCAUCCUUCAUGCUUUUACUCUGUGCUUUUACUCUCAUCCUCAUAUAAUAAUAUAAAAGAAAGUGCAUGACAUCACCCUUCAUGCUUUUAUUCUCAUCAUCACAUUAUAAUAUAAAAGCAAUUGCAUGGCAUCACCUUCCAUGCUUUAUCCUCAUGUUAACUCAAGCAAUAAUAUCAAUAUGUAAAUAAGGCACGGAAACACCCUUCGUGUGCAAUCACUCUUCCUCACAAGCGCGGCAACACCCUUCGUGCAUUUUUCUCUUCCUCACCAAGCAAUUAAAUAUAAAACAUUACCUAGCAAGGUGGGAAUAAAAUUCAACAUCAACAAUAGAAGUUGAACACAAUUCAUCAUAUGAAAACCUUCCAACAAUUAGCACCAACAACCAAUCAACAAUUCAAUGAUCCCAACAUAGAAAAUAACAUUAACACGAGUAAUUAAGAAUUAAACAAUCUAUCUAAAGCAUGAAAAAUAUAAUACACAAAUAAGGCUAAUUCUACCCUCAUGCUUAUCCAUGGCCAACGCAUAUACACCUGUCACCUUGCAUAUACAUUGUUCCCAACACAUAGAUCACACAGCAAAUAGACUCGAUUCAACCAUAUUUUCCUCAAAUCAAGGUUAACCAAAAAACUUACAUAUUUUUGAAAUACAAUCAACAAUCCAACACGAUUUUUCCAUUAGAACAAGCCUCCAAAUCAAUCGAAUCUAGUCAAAUAUCGUUCAAAUAAUUCAAAACAAGGUUCAAUCCUAAUCAUGAUUGAAAAAGUCAAUAAAAAGUAAACUCGGGCCCAUGUGGUCAAAAUUUAAAAUUAUGACCAAAUCACAAUUACCCAUUCACCCCCGAGUCGGAAUAUCUGAUUUGUUUCAAAAUCUGACCUCAAUUUGGGGUCUAAAUCUUAAUUUUACAAAAUCCCAAAAUUCUAUCCAAAAUCCCCAAUACCUACUUUAAAAUUCAUAGAUUUAAUAUUGAAAUUCAUGUAAAAGUAAUGAAAAUUGAUUGAAAACAAGUUAAAAUUAUUAAUCUAUGAAUUUGAGAAGAAAUUGCUCCCCAAAAAUCACUUCUAUGGAGUCUAGGGUUCAAAACUGGUGUAAAAUAGGCUAAGUCCCGAAAUCCCAACAUUUUACCCAGCAACAGAUGUUGCAAUUGUGAACUCUUGUUCGUAAUUGUGAUGUUCGCAAAAGAGAACAACUGGCCGCAAUUGCGAACCAUUCUCUGGGCCUCCAAUAUCGCAAAAGUGAUUAAAUCCUCGCAAACGCGAACCCUGGGCAGUCCACAAAUGCAAACAAUGCUUGGCAAAUGUGAAGUUGCCCCCUAAAUCCACACUGUCGCAAAUGUGACUGCUUCAUUGCAAAUGCGAAGCCACCCUGUAUGAAUAUGUGAUAAAAAUUUCACAAAUGCAAUGUGCUAGCCCUCAUCCCAUCUUCACAAAUACAAGAAAUCACUCGCAAAAGCAAUGCUCGCAUUUGCAAGCAGAAAUGCGAGAUUUGCAGACUAACCACACCAGAGUUCUUUAGUUGUUCCAAAACACUUCUGAAACUCAACUGAGCCCCUCGGGCUAUAAUCCGUACAUUCACACAAGUGUAAUAACAUCAUACAAACUCGCUCUCUAUCUCAAAUUAACAAAAUAACAUCAAAUAUAAAGAAUCUAUCAUAAAAACUCAACAUUUUCAAGUUCAAAACUCAUUUUCCAACUUUUUACAUAACGUGCCGAAAUGGCCUCAGGUCACCCGGGACCCCAACCAAACAUGCGUACAAGUCCAAAAUCAUCAUACGAACCUACUGAAAUCGUCAAAAUAUCAAUCUGAGGUCGUUUACCAAAAACGCCGACAGUGAACAACUCUAGUCAUUUUUAAAGUUAAAAAUCACAUUUUCUUCAAAAUCUCACAUAUAAACUUUCCAGAAAUUAACACAGACCACGCACAUAAGUCAUAAAUCAUCAAAUAAGGAUAUGCGAGGUCUUGGAACAAAGAAAAAGGAUCAAGUACUCAAAAUGACCUAUCGGGUCGUUACAUUCUCUACCUCUAAAAGAUACUUUCGUCCUUGAACGGACAUCGAAAUGUACAUGGACUGGUAAAAAGGUGCGGGUAUCUACUACUCACAUAGGACUCAGACUCUCAAGUAGUCUCCUCAAUAGGUUGACCUCUCCAACUCACUUUCACAAAAGCAAAACUCUUAGAUCUUAAAUUUCAAACAUGCCAGCCUAGAAUGGCCACCGGUUCUUCCUCAUUGGUCAAAUUCUCAUCAAGCUGCACUGUGCUGAAGUCCAAAAUAUGCGACUUAUCUUCAUGAUACUUCCGAAGCAUGAAGACGUGAAAUACCGAAUGUACCCCCUCUAGGCUAGGAGGCAAUGCAGGCCUAUAAGCAACCUCUCAUACUCUCUCAAAGAUUUCAAAUGGGCCAAUAAACCUCGGGCUCAACUUGCCCUUCUUCCCAAAUCGCAUCAUGCCCUUCAUAGGAGACACUCAGAGAAGAACCUUCUCACCUUCCAUGUAAGCCAAAUCUUGAACCUUCCGGUCCGCAUAACUCUUUUUCCUGGACUAAGUUGUACGAAGUCGCUCCUGAAUCACGUUCACCUUCUCCAAAGCAUCACGAACCAUGUAUGUACCCAACAGGGCUCAAACCAACUAACUGGAGAACGACAUCGCCUCCCAUAUAAGGCCUUAUAUGGAGCCAUCUGGAUACUCGAUUGAUAGUUAUUGUUGUAAGCGAAUUCCGCUAGAGGUAGAAACUUGUUCCACUGACCCCCGAAAUCCAUAAAGCAUGCCCACAACAUGUCCUCCAAAAUCUAAAUAGUAUGCUCAGACUGUCCGUCCAUCUGAGAAUGAAAUGCGGUACGCAGCUCAACCCGCGUGCCCGUCUCACGCUGCACAACUCUCCAAAAGUGUAAAAUGAACUGCGUGCCCCGGUCCGAAAUGAUAGAAAAGGUAUACUAUGUUGGCGGAUAAUCUCCAGGAUGUAAAUCUAAGCCAAUCACUCUAAAGAAUAGGAUGUCAACACUGGAAUGAAGUGUGUGGAAUUAGUCAACCGGUCCACAAUAACCCAAUAAAUAUCAUACUUCCUCAAGGUCCGUUAUAAGCCUACCAAAUAGUCCAUGGUGAUGCGCUCCCAUUUCCACUCCAGUAUCACCAACAUUUAAGUCAACCCACCUAGUUUAUGUUGUUCAUACUUCACCUGUUGAUAAUUCAAACACUGAGAUACAUGUCCAACAAUGUCUUUCUUCAUCUUUUGCCACUAAUAGUGUAGCUUCAAGUCAUACAUCUUCGUGACACCUGGGUGAAUGGAACCGUAAACUAUGAGCCUCCUCAAGGAUAAACUCUCUCAACCCAUCAACAUUCGGAACACAAAUCUGGCCCUGAAGCCGCAUAACACCAUCAUCUCCAAUCACCACCUUCUUAGCACCACCCCGCUGCACCAUAUCUUUCAACACUAACAAGUGAGGAUCAUCAAAAUGGCAAGCCUUAAUGCACUCCAACAAUGAUGACUGGGCAACAACACAAGCAAGAACCCUUCUAGGCUCCGAAAUAUCCAACCUCACGAAUCGGUUUGCGAAAGCCUGAACAUCCAUCGCUAAUGGCCUCUCCAUUACCGGUAAGAAUGCCAAACUUCCCAUGCUCUCUGCCUUCCUAUUCAAGGCAUCAACCACUAUAUUAGCCUUGCCCGAAUGAUAUAAUAUGGUGAUAUCAUAGUCUUUCAAUAACUCCAAGCAUCUUCACUGCCUCAAAUUAAGAUUCUUCUGCUUGAAUAGAUGCUAAAGACUUCGAUGGUCGGUAUACACCUCACAUGGAACGCCGUAUACAUAGUGCCUCUAAAUCUUGAGCACGUGAACAAUAACUACAAACUCCAAAUCAUGCACAAGGUAGAUCUUCUCAUGGACCUUCAACAAACAAGACGUGUAGGAAAUUACCCUACCAUCCUGCAUCAAUACCGUGCCAAGUCCAAUACAUGAUUCAUCACAAUACACAAUAUAAGAUCCCGAACCUGUGGGCAACACCAACACAGGGACUGUAGUCAAGGUAGUCUUGAGCUUAUGAAAUCUCUCUUAACACUCGUCGGACCAUCUGAAAAGAGCACCUUCUGGGUCAAAUUGGUCAAUAGGGCUGAGAUAGAUGAAAACUCGUCCAUGAACGGGCGAUGAUAACCUGCCAAACCCAAGAAGCUCUGAAUCUCUUUAACUGAAGUAGGUGUAGGCCAGUUCUGAACUACCUCUAUCUUCUUAGGGUCCACCUUGAUACCCUUGGAAAGCACAACAUGACGCAAAAAGGCAACUAAGUCUAACAAGAACUCAUACUUCAAAAAUAUGGCAUAUAGUUGACGAUCCAUCAAAGUCUGAAGUACAAUCCGUAGGUGCUACUCAUGCCCCUCUCGACUACGAGAGUAAACUAGAAUAUCAUCAAUGAAGACAAUCACGAAGGAAUCCAAAUAAGGCUUGAUCACUCUGUUCAUCGAAUCCAUGAAGGUUGUUGGGGCAUUAGUCAAGCCAAAUGACAUCACCAAGAACUCGCAGUUACCAUAACGAGUCCUAACAGUUGUCUUAGGGACAUCUGAUGCCCUAGUCUCCACCUAAUGGUAGACAGAUCUCAAACCAAUCUUGUAAAAUACCUUGGCACCCCGAAGCUGGUAAAAAUAUCAUUAAUCCUAGGCAAUGAAUACUUGUUCUUGAUAGUGGCUUUGUUCAAUUGCCAAUAGUCUUUGCACAUACUCAUCAAUCCGUCCUUUUUCUUAACAAACAACACCGGCAUACUCCAAGGUGAAACACUAGGUCUAAUGAAUCCCUUGUCAAGUAAAUCUUACAAAAGAUCCUUCAAUUCUUUCAACUCAGCUAGAGCCAUAUAUUUCGGUGGAAUAGAAAUACACUGAGUGUCUGAAACCAAGUCAAUGCAAAAGUCAAUAUCCCUGUCGGGUGGCAUACCCGACAAAUCUGUACGAAAUACCUCAGGAAACUCACUCACAAUCGGUACCAAAUUUAUAAAAGGAACCUCUGCAAUAGAAUCUCGGAAAUAAGCCAAAUACACCAAAUACCUCUUCUCGACCAUACGUCGAGCCUUCAAAUAUGAAACCACCUGUCACGACCCAAAUCGGAGGGCCGCGACGAGCACCCGGUGCCUUACUCAACCGAGUACCAAUGUAACGUAUCUUUCGUAUCACACCAUCAUGGGUAAAUGAUCUGGAAAGGUUGUCAUGAGAUAACUAGAAUUAAACAUAUGAGAAUACUCGACAUAGGACGACCCAAUAUGGCAUACAAACUUAUACAUGUGACAUAUGUGCCUAUAAGGCUGACAUGAUCAUUUGUACACUCAAAACAUAGAACGACAAGUCUAUACAAGUAUCCAUAUACAUGAUAUCAGUCUACAAGCCUCUAAGAGUACAUGAACAUCAUAAAGGUCAGGACAGGGCCCCGUCAUACCAAUCAAUACAUGUCCAAAUCAUACUGACCAAAUAGGCAACUCCGGAGCAAGUGGAGUGCAUCUACACCUUCUGCUAAGCUGAUAGCCUACUAGGAGGACUGUUAACCUGUUUAUCGGGACGUCGGUAUAAAUAAAGUACCGAGUAUGUAAGGCAUCAAAAGUAAUAUAUAAAAGACAUGAAAAAAACAUGGAGUAAAGGACUCAACCUAUAAUUCUAAAUAGCUCAGUGAAUUAUGAAACCUUUAUAGUGUUAUGUAUAUGCGUAUAAAUGUCAUAUCAUGCAUAGGUAUAUGCAUACAUAACAUCCUCAAACCUCUAAGGGCAUACCAUCAUAUCAUUUCGGCCUCUGUGGGCGAAAUCAUCAACGUAUACCAGUUGAUCAGGUGGUGGUGCAUAUAUAACGCCAUAACCUUUCCCCAUACCCCAUAUACAUAUAAUAUAUGCGUAUAUAACGACAUAUGUUCAUGGCUCAAUAUACAUUUAUAAAUGAAUGCAAUGCAUAAGAAGUAAGUCAAUAAGAUCUCUCGGGAUGUCAUAAGAUCAAUAUGCCUUCGGUUAAUAUCACGAAGUAAACUUUAUCAACUUCAUAUUUUUUGAGACCCAUGAAUAGAUGAUAUAAUAAUAGUACAUAUGGGGAAUCAAGAACAUAGGCAACCCUAGUACUUCUAAGAAUAGAGUCAUUUUUGAAAGUUGGGUGUUUGCUCGUUUUGUUGUAUCAUUUGGAUUAUGCCAAAAGGAAAUAAGGGAUAGCCUUAACAUAGCUUAACUCCGUUGAAUCAUUAAUACCUUCCAAGAAAUUCUUCAAACAACUCAACUCAAUCUACCAUAGCAUAAGGAGAUUCAAAAUCAGUAUUGAGUAAAGGCUAAGUCCGUAACAUAAACUAGUAGCUCGUUUAUGUAAAUUUGGGCAGCAUCUCCCCUGUAACUAGGGGACGUCCUCCAAUAUCAUAUAUCAANNNNNNNNNNNNNNNNNNNNNNNNNNNNNNNNNNNNNNNNNNNNNNNNNNNNNNNNNNNNNNNNNNNNNNNNNNNNNNNNNNNNNNNNNNNNNNNNNNNNNNNNNNNNNNNNNNNNNNNNNNNNNNNNNNNNNNNNNNNNNNNNNNNNNNNNNNNNNNNNNNNNNNNNNNNNNNNNNNNNNNNNNNNNNNNNNNNNNNNNNNNNNNNNNNNNNNNNNNNNNNNNNNNNNNNNNNNNNNNNNNNNNNNNNNNNNNNNNNNNNNNNNNNNNNNNNNNNNNNNNNNNNNNNNNNNNNNNNNNNNNNNNNNNNNNNNNNNNNNNNNNNNNNNNNNNNNNNNNNNNNNNNNNNNNNNNNNNNNNNNNNNNNNNNNNNNNNNNNNNNNNNNNNNNNNNNNNNNNNNNNNNNNNNNNNNNNNNNNNNNNNNNNNNNNNNNNNNNNNNNNNNNNNNNNNNNNNNNNNNNNNNNNNNNNNNNNNNNNNNNNNNNNNNNNNNNNNNNNNNNNNNNNNNNNNNNNNNNNNNNNNNNNNNNNNNNNNNNNNNNNGAUAAUGAAGUCAUUCAUCAAUGAUUCCAUCCUUAUACCAUAUAUUUAUAAAUAAGGAAAAAAUCCACAACUCCAACCAUCUUCAAUUAGCAAUUGUAUUCACUAGUUUAUGUCUAGUCCAUCCAUUUAACUUAAUCAACAUCAAUAUAACCUUAAGCACGUGCAAAAACACAAUACACAUACCUCCUACAGUAUCUUCAAGCCGAAAUCCAACUUAUAUUUACCUUACAACAGCCCCCAAUGGCAACACAACCUCAAAGAGGUAUUGUUCUUCACUAGAACUAACUUUUGAUGUUGAAAUAUGGUGUAAUCACUUUGGAAUCACUUCAAACCCUUAUGGUAUCUAUUUAGGAGGGUCAGGAGAAGUUUGGAGAUGAAGUAAGUCGACCACCGCCUAAGUGAGCAAAAAAUAGGCGUCCUAAUCAUUUAUAAAGUAAAAUAGGUCAACCACCGCCUAAGUGGGUCCCAUUGGGAGCUGCCUACGCGGUCUCGCAUUUCUGAGCUUAUAUCAAUUGUCUUACAACGUACUCUUACAUAUGAAAAUAUGGGGUGUAAACACCACCCUACUAAUGGAGUGACCAAGGGUCCCUCUCCACUCUAAUCUAGGCAAUCCUGACAUGACUAAGGUCACAUUUCUUGGCAUGACAAUCCAAGAUAGCGUGAUACGGGGACAACCAAUCCAUACCAAGAAUGACCUCAAAAUCCACCAUGUUCAGCAACAAAAGAUCAACUAUGGUAUCAAAGCCAUUAAUAGUAACAAUGCAAGACCUGUAAACCUGAUUUACUACUGUAGAAUCUCCGACCGGUGUAGACAUAGAAAAAGUAACAUCAAGAGAAUCACGAGGCAUACUCAAAUGCGAAACAAAAUAUGAAGACACAUAAGAAUUUAUAGAACCCGGAUCAAACAAUACGGAAGCAUCUCUACGAUAGAAUGAGAUAAUACCUAUAAUAACUAUAUCGAACGAGUAUACCUCAGGUCUAGCUGGAAAUGCAUAACAGCGCGGUCGUGCCCCACCAACCUGGCCUCCACCCUUGGGACGACCUCUCACUAACUGGUCUUCACCUCUAACUGACUGCCCCCACCUCGAGCUUUCUGACCUAGCCUCUAGCAGGUUGUGCGGGUAGUGGGGCCAUUGGUGCCGGAACUAUGGCACGAGUACCUUACUGUAGCAUACUACUCUGUGACCAAGGGAAAAUCUUCGCAAUAUGCCUCAUAUCCUCACAUGUAUAACAAGCCCUCGACUGACGUGACUGCUGACCCUAGAAUUAUCCCUAUCGACCAGAAUAACCACAAGUGUAACUCUAUAUUAGAGGUGCACUAACUGGAGUUGGAGGCGCAUUGUAUGCUAGGUGCUCAGAAUGAGAUCCAUAAGUUCUGUGGAUGCCUGAAGUACAAUGGGAGACCUGUAGAGUUGACUGACCCGGCUCAAUAGGAUGGCCUCUACAAAAGGAGCCCCUACCUCCAAACAAGGCACCACUGAAUCCUUUAAAAUGAUGGGGCCUCUUGUUUGAGGUCAUCUCUCUACCUGGCUUCUGAUGCGCUCGAUCCUCCUGGCUAUCUCCACUACCCGAGUAAAAGAAAUCUCAUCUUCAGUCUCCAUCUAAAGUCUGAUGCCAUAUGAAAGACCAUCAAUGAACCUUCGCACCUUCUUCCUCUCAGUAAGGAUCAGGAUAGUUGCAUGGCAUGACAAAUCCAUAAAUCUGGUCUCAUAUUGGGUAACAGUCAUGUUACCCUGCUGAAGUCGCUCAAACUGACUACGCACUCCUCUCUCUAGGUGAAGGGGAUAAACUUCUCUACGAACAUCUGCGAGAACUGUUCCCAUGUAAGAGGAGGUGACCCCAUUGGCCUGCCCUGCACAUACACCUUCCACCACCUAUUGGCAGAACCAUGCAUCUGAAAUACUGUGAAAUCAACUCCGUUGGACUCCACUAUAUCCAUGUUGUGCAAGAUCUCAUGGAAACAAUCUAAGAAGUCUUGUGGGUCCUCAGAAAGUGUACCACUAUAGUGAGGGGGAUACAAAUUGGUGAACCUUUACAACCUCUUCAGCUCAUCAGCUGACAUUGCGGGUAUGUCCCUAGGUUGUGUAGCAACUACAAGCUGAACUGCCCCAAGUGGUAGAGUUGUUGGGGUCUGAUACCCAUGAGCCAUCUACUCUGGAGUGUGGGUAGCAGGAGUCUGGGCACCUCCCCUAGCCUGAGAAACGGCUGGUGCCACAGGAAACACAUUGGCCUGAGCCAUACUCUCCAUGAGUCCAACCAUGCGGACUAAGGCAUUUUAAAGCGCUAGAUAGCAAUGAACCCCUCUGGGACCUGAGUUGGCCCUACUAGCUCAGUCAAAUAAGGAUCUCCUCAUCCUACUUAAUCUGAGGCUCGACAACAGGUGCCUCUACGCGUGCUCUAGGUUGAGCUCUAGCUCUACCUCUGCCCCAACCCUUACCCCUUGUAGUGGCUGCAAUCUGGAGCUUCCGCUCCUGAUCAGUUGCGGAUGAUGUGCGCGUGCUCACCAUCUGUGAGAGAAUAAGUGAAGUUUGAUUUUCACUCCGUGAUAGAAUAAAGUCGCACGAUAGAAAAAGAAAGAAAGGGAAGUUUCCUAAAGCCUUAUAGCCUCUAGAAGAUAAGCACAUACGUCCCUGUACCAAUCCUCAAGACUCUACUAAGCUUGUUGAUGACUCGUGAGACCUAUACAACCUAGGGCUCUGAUACCAACUUGUCACGACCCAAAAUCCCAACCAACCGGGGUCGUGAUGGUGCCGAACAUCGCUUGCUAGGAAAGCCAACACACAAUAGUAAAAAUAUGAAAGAAUUGCAAUAAAUGACUAACAAUGGAAUAAUAACAUAGCGUAAAAAAAUAAACAUAAUAAGUCUAAAACUAACAUAUAGUGCAAACCCUCCCAAGAUGUGGUCACAAGUACAUGAGCUUCUAUAGUAUACUAAAUACAAUGUUUACAAAGAAGUACAACAUAGUCCAGGAAAUGGAAACAGUACAAUAGCAUUAGGAAGGUGACUCUAAGGCCUGCGAACGGAAUACAGCUCUACCUUCAAUCACCCAUCUAGUAUCCGCUAAGCACCUCUUGGGAUUCUGUUGGUACCAAUAUCCGGAUCAGCACAAGUAGUGCAGAAGUGCAGUAUGAGUACAACCGACCCAAUAUACUCAGUAAGUGUCGAGCCUAACCUCAACGAGAUAGUGACAAGGCUAAGACAAGACACCUAAGAUAAACUUGUGCAGUUAUAUAUCAAGAACUAAUAAAUGAUCAAAUAAAACAACGGGAUAUGGACAUGAGAAAGGGGUACGAAGCAUAAAGUAAAAGUAUUACUAAGUAAACAUCUUUCAAUAAUAAAUAGGGAAACCACAAAUCCAAGUCCACAUUCUAAAUGUCAAGGUAAAGAGCAAUGAAAUCAACAAAAUUACACGGCAUCACGGGUCGUGUUUUUACUCUCAUCCUCACAUGAUAAUAUAAAAGCAAGUGCACGACAUCCCCCUUCAUACUUUUACUAUCAUCCUCACAUGAUAAUAUAAAAGCAAGUGCACGACAUUACCCUUCGUGCUUUUACUCCCAUCCUUAUAUUAUAAUAUAAAAGUAAUUGCAUGGCAUCACCCUUAGUGCUUUAUCCUCACGUUAACUCAAGCAAUAAUAUCAAUAUGUAAAUAAGGCAUGAAAACACCCGUUGUGCACAAUCACUCUUUCUCACAAGCACGGCAACACCCUUCGUGCAUUUUACUCUUCCUCACUAAGAAAUCAAGUACAACACAUUACCAAACAAGGUGGGAAGCAAAUUUAACAUCAACACUAGAAUUUGAACACAAUUCGUCAUAUAAAACCUUCAAACAAUUAGCACGAACAACCAAUUAACAAUUCAACGAUCUCAACACUAAUAUCUCAAUGAUCCCAACAUAGAAAAUAACAUGAACACGAGUAGUUAAAGAAUUAAAUAAUCUAUCUAAAGCAUGGAAGACAUAAUACACAAAUAACAUGGCAGAAAUAAGGCUAAUUCUACCCGCAUGCUUAUCGUAUGGACAACGUAUAUACACCUGUCACCUUGCAUAUAUGCCGCCCCCAACAUAUAGAUCACAUAGCAAAUAGACUCGAUUCUAUCCUAUUUCCCACAAAUCAAGGUUAACCAAGACACUACCCUCUUUUUGAAACACAAUCAACAAUCUAACAUGAUAUUUCCUUUAGAACAAGCCUCCAAACCAAUUGAAUCUAGUCACAUAUCAUUCAAACAAAUCAAAACAAUCUUUAGAAACUACCCACGAAUGAAAAAGGUUUAAUCUUUAUCAUAAUUGAAAAAGUCCACAAAAAGUCAACCCGGGCCUACGUGGUCGAAUUCAAAAUUAAGACCAAAUCUUGAUUACUCAUUCACCCUCGAGCCCAGAUAUGUGAUUUGGUUUGAAAUUCGACCAUAAUUUGGGGUCUAAAUCUCAUUUUUACAAAAUCCCUAAAUUCUACCCCAAACCCCCAAUUUCUACUUUGAAAUUCGUAGAUUUGAUUACAAAAUUCAUGAAAAUAUAAUGGAAAUUGAUUGAAAAAAUGUUAAAGUUACUAACCUAUGAAUUUGGGAAGAAAUUUCUCUCCAAAAAUCUCCUCUAUGGAUUCUAGGGUUCAAAAAUGGUGUAAAACGAGCUAAGUUACAAAAUUUCAACAUUUUACCCAGCUACAGAUGUCGCAAUUGCGAACUCCUAUUCAUAAUUGCGACGUUCGCAAAAGCGAACAACUAGUCGCAAUUGCGAACUAGUCUUUGAGCCUCCAAUAUCGCAAAAAUGAUUAAACCCUCGCAAAUAUGAACCCUGGGUAGUCCGCAAAUGCGAACAAUGCUUCGCAAAUGUGAAGCUGCCCCCUAAAUCCACAGUAUCGCAAAUGUGACUGCUUCAUCGCAAAUACAAAUCCCCAUAUCUGCACAUGCGAUACAAACUUCACAAAUGCAAAGUGCCAGCCUCCAUCCCAUCUUCGCAAAUGGGAUAAAUCACUCGCAAAAGCGAUGCUCGCAUUUGCGAGCAAAACCUCGCAAAUGUGAGAUUUGACUAACCACACCAUAUAUCUUCAGCUGUUCCAAAACACAUCUGAAACUCAUCCGAGCCCCUCAGGCUCCAAUUUAGAUAUUUACACAAGUGUAAUUACAUCAUACAAACUCGCUCUCUAGCUCAAAUAAUCAAAAUAACAUCAAUAUCAAGAAUCGAUCAUAAAAACUCAAGAUUUUCACGUUCAAAACUCCUUUUUCCAACUUUUCACGUAAUGCGCCGAAACGGCCUCGGGUCAUCUGGGACCAAAACAAACAUGCCUAUAAGUCCAGAAUCAAUACGAACCUACCGGAAUCGUCGAAACAUUGAUCCAAGGUCGUUUAUCAAAAACGUUGACCGUUGUCAACUCAAAUCAUUUUUAAAGUCAAAAAUCACAUUUUCUUUAAAAGCUCACAUAUAAAGAAUCCGGAAAUUAAUACGGACCAUGCACACAAGUCAUAAAUCAUCAAAUAAGGCUAUAAGAGGUCUUGGAACACAGAAAAGGAAGCUAGUACUCAAAACGAUCUAUCAAGUCGUUGCAUGAAAUAAAUAAAGGCAUGAACAAGUGGAAGCAUGUGACGAAUAAAGACAUGUAAAAAGUGAUGGCGUAUAUUUAACAAGAAAGGACAUGUAGCAAGUAAAGCACAUAACAAGUAGAACUAUGGAACAAAUAGACAUGCAAUUAAGUAGCACGCCCCUCAUGCUUGAAUCCAUGACAAUGCAUAUACACUCGGCACCUUGCAUGUACGUCGUCCCCACACAUAAAUCAUGUUGGAAAUAUACCAAUCAGGUCCUAAUUCCCUUAAAUUAAGGUUAAUCACGACACAUACCUUUUUACAAAACACAAUCAACAAUCCAACACAGAUUUCAUUGUGGAACAAGCCUCCAAACCACACGAAUCUAGUCAAUUAUAGUUCAAACAAGUCAAAACAAGCUUUAGAAACUAACUCCGUACGAUAAAGGUUCAAUCUAUAACAUAAUUGAAAAAGUCAACCGAGCCCACAUCGUCGAAAUCCGAAAUUAAGACCAAAUCUCGAUUAUCAAUCCACCCUCCAAGCCCGAAUAUGUGAUUUUUUUAAAAUCCGACCUUAAUUUGAGGUCUAAAUGUCGAUUUUACAAAAAUUCUAAAUUCAAUCCAAAACCCCCAAUUGCUAUUCUAAAAACCUAGAUUUGAUGAUGAAAUGCAUGAAAAAGUAAUGGAGGUUGAAUAAAAACAAGAUAAAGUUACUAACUUAUGAAGUUCAGAAGAAAUUGCUCUCCAAAAAUCGCCUAUAUGGAGUCUAGGUUUCAAAAAUGGUAUAAAAUGAGCUUGCAAUUGCGACGCCCGCAAAUGCAAACCCAGUACAUGAGCCUUCCUGUUAUCGCAAUUGCGACUCACCCUUCGCAUUUGCGAAGGUUCCUCUCAUUGCAAAUGCGGAUCAAACUUCACAAAAGCGAAGCUGUACUGAGCCUUCCAAUGUCAUAAAUGCGACACCAAAAUCGCAAAUGUGAGGUCCCUCAAGCUCGCAAAUGCAACGUGUUCUACAUAAAUGCGAAAUUCCCAAUUCCAGCCCAUAAUCGCAAAUGUGAGCCUAACUUUGUAAAAGUGACCACGUCCAACUCUAGUCCUAAAAAGGAUAAGCGGUCGCUGCAAAUAUAAUCCGGUCUAAGAGUCCGAAGUCGAAUCCCAUAGAGAACUAAGGUUUGGCUACAACUGUUCACCAUCAUUAAGAAGAUAAGCUUGAACAAUUCAUAAGUUAGAAAUAUUAAGAUUCUUAUGUUUAACUAAUUAACUAACAUAUUAAAAUAAUAAAUUAAUAACUAAAGAUACUAAGGGUUUGAGACAAGAUUACAAAGGUCUAGAUUUAUUAUUAUCCCAAUUGUCGGCGUCCUUCCCGCUACGUCUCUUAUAAUAAUCGCCUAAGUAUUCUCUAUUAAUCAUGAGCACUGGACUUAUCAUAAUUCUCUCUCGAGCAACUACAAUAUUGUACUAGUCAUAUUCUCUCGAAUUACGCUAGCUCGCACUUUUUCACCGCUCACUAUUAUCACGUCAAAGCUUCGUUAUCUCUAAUCACAUUUUUAAACCCGACGUAUUGAUGUCUCAUAUACGUUAGGAGUGACGUUGUUCAACAACCACCUAAAUGUGUACUCUUUUUCAAGCAAUACAUAAUAAAUAGGCACCGUUAAGUGAGAGCUCUUCAAUUAACUAAAAUAAGCACAUAGUUGAACAAGUAGAAAAAUUCAAAGACUCAAUUAUAUCAAAACGUAUCAAGAAUUCAUCCUACAAAAGAUUCCAUCAAAACCCUAGAUAACAGAACUAGCUACUUAUAGAAGUAUGCAAAACUACAAUACCAAAAUUCAUAUCCAAUAAUGAAAAUAUGAAGAAGAAAGUGAAAAACUCGUAGAAGAAUCUCCGCCUUGCUCCUUGCAUGUUCUUGCCUCCUUAGGUCGAAUUCCCCCUUUAAAAGUGUGUUUAAAGACUAUUUACAUGGGAUAGGUUAGCAUAAGGCGAAAUAAUACAAGCCAACUUUGGAACAGAGUUUUCAGGUUAGCUCGUUUACUCUCUCGUGCGCACGCGAGAGUGAACGAGUGAAGUACUUCUCUCUUUCUUUGCCUCCCAAAUCUCUUGUGCACUUCCACGCCUUUUUAGCUUAGUUUGCUGGUUUUUUGCAAGCUUUCCUUAGCUAGCUCGUUCACUCUCUUGUCUACACGCAAGAGCGAACGACCAAAGCUCUUUUCUUGUCUUUUGAUCCCGAAUCAACUUCUUUUGCUCACCUUUCAUCCAACUUGCUCCUACACAUAAGAAUGCACGUAAUGAGCAUAAUUCACUACAAAACUCAUGUAACCUCCGUAACCACACAAGUUAUGAGAUGAAAGUACACCAAAAAAUAUGCAUUUUUAGCUGUUUAUUAAAAAGCAAAGCACACAUUUGCGAACAGGUCUUCACAAAUGGGAGACUUGCGGACUCACAUCACCAAAUUUCAUCAGCUAUGCCAAAACUAUCCGCAACGCAUACAAAACUCAUUCGAGCCCCUCGAGCUCCAUUCCAAACAUUCACACAAGUGUAAUAACACAAUACAAACUUCAUCGCAAGCUCAAAUUAUCAAAAUAACACCUAAAAUCACGAAUCAAUCACUAAAUUUCAAGAUUUUCAAGUUCAAAACUCAAUUUUCCAAUUUUUCACAUAAUGCGCUGAAAUGGCCUCGGAUCACCUAGGACCCCAACAAAAUAUGAGUACAAGUCCAAAAUAUCAUACAAACCUUCCACGCCCUUUUAGUCCAAAAUAUCAUACAAACAUGCGUACAAAAUAUCAUACAAACGUACAAGUUCCUCAUACAAUGGAAAGAAACACCUUUCAAAACAUACUCAAGCAUCCUACCAAUGACAAUGGUUUAUACCAACACUUAGAGCCCAAGAUAAGAACUAUUGACAUCUUUCUUCAAAAUUAGACUCAUGCCAAGACUAUUUAAAAUAUUUGUGCGGCUUCUUCUGACAUCCUAACCUCAAAAGAUGACUUCAAUACAUUUCCUACUAUGACUCACUUCUUGUGUCAACUUAAUAUGCCUGGACUUUACCAAUCCUUUGUAAAUCAUGUGCGCUCACCACAACCAAAGACAGAAAUUAGUCCACACACUCAAUAUGUAUUCAAGUAUAAUUUAAGGACUUACAAAUCGAAAGAAUUCACUCACUCUCACAAAACAAUUCAUGUGCAUCCCGAGGUCGUACCAUAAGCUUGCCCGUAGUGUAUGUCUCUACUAAUCUAAGCUUGUGAAGUCCAAGAUCAAUUAGAUCUUUCCAGGUUGUAAUAUAGGCUAAGAGAUGGGUAGGAUAUAUUUGGGUAUAGUGACUAACCCUCCUAAGCGCAUUAAUACACUACACUUAACUUUUAAGUCCACACUCUUCAUGACCAAUGCAAGCAAUGCCACAAAAUCAUAUAUAAUUUGGUCCUUCUUCUUUAAGCACAACUAUGCAUUCACUAGCCCGAAGUAAGAGGAAUAGGAGGUGUCUUUUCUAUUUUUUUUUCUUUUUGUAUUUUCUUUAAUUUUUUUCUCUUUUUUUCUUUUUUUUCAACACUCUCCAAACUUGGAUUGCCCGAAUAAUGAGCUUUCAAAACAUACGUUCACCUUUAGGCCUUUCUAUGGUUCCACUCAAAAGCUACUCCAACUCUCACCUUACUCUUCUAGUGAUUUAAGUGCUUUCAGAGGUAAGGGUUCAAAAAGAUCUAAUUAAGAACAAAAAGGGAAUCGGCUUGUAAUGUGGGUGCCAAAGAAAAGGUUUAUAGGCUCAAAUGAGCUAUCUAAGGAUAAUUUUAUAGUGGCAUACUAGCUCAAUGGACAAUCAAAGAAACGCCUACAUCAUCUUCUAAACUCACAAAGCUUACUUAUUUCGCUUCGAUUAACACACGGGGCAAGUUCUAGACUAAUACAGGAUAUCACUAAAUGUAAUCAAGACCUUACAUCACACAAUGCACAUGAUUCACUCCAGACGGCUCAAACCCGACACUCAAGUUAAACAAAUAAGCACAGUCAUCUCAUUAAUUCAACACAUGGAAAGUAAUUACAGGAGACAACAAAUGAACUUAAGCGUCAAAAGAAAGUCAUAUAUAUUUUCAAGGCAUGUGGCCACAUAGAACACAAAGAAGAUAAUCAACUCAAAUGUUACAGCUCUAAGUCCCCACAUAAAACAUGUCAAAAAGCAUAGAUACUCAAGUUCUCCUCAUUCCAUUAUCGCUUUUAAAAAGAAAAGGAAAAUAUUCUUGUAUUUUUUUCUUUAGACUUUACUCCCUAAAGGAAACGGCCUAAGAAAUCCAUCGUCGGAAAAAGUCCAAAUCUUUUGAAAAUUUUACCUAAAAAAAACUACUGCCCGGUUCAAAGAGUCAUCCCUUGGAAAAGAACCGCGGCCAUAAGAAAAAACAAGAGGGAUUAUUUCUACCUAAUUAUUUUUUUAUAUUUUUUUUAACGUACAUUACAUAGCACAAAAAAUUACCCAGACAAUCUUCUCUCUCUCACACUUAAAACUGUGCAUUGUCCCUAAUGCACACCAUAAAUAACAAGAGGAUAAAAUAAAUUCCCUGGUAGGCCAAAGGCCGAAACAUUAGCAGCUCAUGGGGUACUCAGACUUAUCCCGGGUAUUGAUCUUUUAUGCGGGCAUCCCACACUUAGUUCCAGCCAUCUUGCUUUCUUUUGCUUCCUUCCAAUGGCAUUUCUUCUCAUGCUCCUAGAAAAUCAAAACCUAUACUAAAAAAUUAACACAAUAAAAAAAAAUUAAAAAACCUAAAAAUUAAUGAAAUCAAUAAAGUUGGGUUACCUCCCAACAAACGCCUGAUUUAACGUCGCUGCACGACGUGAAUCACUUUUUGCCUCCACCUCGAACUUUUGAAUCGGACCCCAAGUUUUGAUUCAAGAUUAUGAUUAUGCUCUUGGGGCGAUAGAAUAAAUCUAUCUAGCCCAAGAAAAUAAUAUAAUAUUCUACGCUUCUUGGCCUUUAGAUGGGAUGUGUUAUCCUGUCUUUAUGGCACGAAAAAACGUCAGAAUGCAGGCACUUUGUUCCUCAUCCCUUGACUCCUCAAUUGGCUUGGAUGACUCUAUUUUCAUAUCAUCAUCCAAACACAAUAUGGAAAAAUAUUUGGAGUGAGGACCAAUGCGCUCAAACACAUGAAUUUCAGGACUUUCAACAUCCUCAACAUCAAUUAUACUAGAGUCAACAAAAUUUAUAUCCUCAAUGUCCUUGGCUGACUCUAGUCUCACGACUUCAACAUCGACAUCCUCAAAUUGUAGUUGGCUAGGUUGUUGAUGUUCUACUCUGACGUCUUUCAUUAGCACCUCACUUUCUGCAUCUAAUUCAUGCUCUUUUUGGUUACUAUCCAUAAUAUUGGUCUGUUGAGCAUUAAAAGCUUUAACUAGUUGACUCAUUUGAGCCUCCAAAUUGCGAAUAGUUGCCUCUUGCCUCUCUAUCUGCAGUUGUAUUUCAUCAUUUUGUUCCAUGACGCAUUUUAAAAUAUCCUUAAUCUCUUUCAGGUUAUCAUCCCCGGGUUCUUUAUUCCUAUUAACUUCACAAGAAAAAAUAAAACCAUCAGAGUAAGGGGUUGGGGGAGGAUAAGAAAUAUAAGCACAACCAUGAAAGUGACCAUCUUAACCAGCACACACAUCACACACAUUCCACAAAUAAGAUUGAGUUGGUGCACAUAACUCUCUCUCAAGAACAUUUUGAAAAUUUUGCCACGGGUGGUUUCCUUCACAAUAUGUAUAAGGAUCAAAAGUAAAAUUACCAACACCUAAACUCCCAUAAUUCCAAGAUGUCAUGUUUCUCAAAUCAACAAGGAAAAUAAAAUUAAAUUUAAAAAAGAACAAAACAAAAAAAAGUUAAAACUUGAAACCUAACAAUAUAUACAGCUAUAACUAUACCGUUAGUUCCCUGGCAACGACGCCAAAACUUGAUCACACCCAACUCUAGUCCUAAAAAGGAUAAGCGGUCGCUGCAAAUAUAAUCCGGUCUAAGAGUCCAGAGUCGAAUUCUAUAGAGAACUAAGGUUUAGCUACAACUGUUUACCAUCACUAAGAAGACAAGUUCGAACAAUUCCUAAGUUUGAAAUAUUAAGAUUCUUAUGUUUAACUAAUUAACUAACAAAUUAAGGUAAUAAAUUAAUAACUAAAGAUACUAAAGGUUGGAGACAAGAUUACAGAGGUCUAGAGUUAUGAUUUCCCUAAUUGUCGACGUCUUUUCCGCUACGUCUCUUAUAGUAAUUGCCUAAGUAUUCUCUACUGAUCGUGAGCACUCGACUUAUCAUAAUUCUCUCUCGAGCAACUACAAUAAUGUAUUAGUCAUAUUCUCUCGAAUUACGGUAGCUCAUACUUUUUCACCACUCACUAUAAUCACGUCAAAGCUUCGUUAUCUCUAAUCCCGCUUUUAAACCCGCCGUAUUGAUAUCUCAUAUACGUGAGGAGUGACAUUGUUCAACAACCACCUAAAUAUGUACCCUUUUACAAGCAUUACAUAAUAAAUAGGCACCGUUAAUUGAGAGCUCUUCAAUUAACUAAAAUAAACACGUCGUUAAACAAGUAAAAAAAUUCAAAGACUCAAUUAUAUCAAAACGUAUCAAGAACUCAUUUUACAUAAGGUUCCAUCAAAACCCUAGAUAAUAGAAUUAGCUACUCAUAUAAGUAUGUAAAACUACAAUACCAAAUUUCAUAGCCAAUAAUGGAAAUAUGAAGAAGAAAAUGAAAAACUUGUAGAAGAAUUCUCCGCCUUGCUCUUUGCGUGUUCUUGCCUCCUUAGGUCGAAUCCCCCCUUCAAAAGUGUGUUUAAAGACUAUUUACAUGGGAUAGGGUUAGCAUAAAAUAAUACAAGCCAACUUUGGAAUAGAGUUUUCAGGUUAGCUCGUUUACUCUCUCGUGCGCACGCGAGAGUGAACGAGUGAAGUACUUCUCUCUUUCUUUGCCUCCCAAAUCUCUUGUGCACUUCCACGCCUUUUUAGCUUAGUUUGCUGAUUUUUUGCAAGCUUUACUUAGCUAGCUCGUUCACUCUAUUGUCUACACGCAAGAGCGAAUGACCAAAGCGCUUUUCUUGUCUUUUGAUCCCGAAUCAACUUCUUUUGCUCACCUUUCAUCCAACUUGCUCCUACACAUAAGAAUGCACGUAAUGAGCAUAAUUCACUACAAAAACUCAUGUAACCUUCCGUAACCACACAAGUUAUGAGAUGAAAGUUCACCAAAAAAUAUGCAUUUUUAGGUUGUUUAUCAAAAAGCAAAGCUCACAUUUGCGAACAGGUCUUCACAAAUGCGAGACUUGCGGACACACAUCACCAGAAUUCAUCAGCUAUGCCAAAACUAUCCGCAAUGCAUACGAAACUCAUUCGAGCCCCUCGAGCUCCAUUCCAAACAUUCACACAAGUGUAAUAACACAAUACAAAAUUGAUCGCAAGCUCAAAUUAUCAAAAUAACACCUAAAAUCACGAAUCAAUCACUAAAUUUCAAGAUUUUCAAGUUCAAAACUCAAUUUUCCAAUUUUUCACAUAAUGCGCUGAAAUGGCCUCGGGUCACCUGGGACCCCAACCAAACAUGCGUACAAGUUCAAAAUAUCAUACAAACCUACCAAAAUCAUCAAAAUACCGAUCCGAGGUUGUUUACCAAAAACGUUUACCAUGGUCAACUCUAGCCAUUUUCAAAGUGAAAAAUCACAUUUUCUUUAAAACUCACACAUAAACUCUUCGGAAAUCCAUAUGGACCACGCACGCAAGUCAUCAAUCAUCAAAUUUGAGCUAUGAAAAGUCUCAAAAUGUAGAAAGGGGAGCUAGUACUCAAAAAAUCAUAUUGGGUCAUUACAUUCUCCAUCUCUAAAAGAAACAUUCAUCCUCAAACAGACAUAGAAUUUUACCUGGACUGGUAAAAAUGUGCAUGUAUCUACUCCUCAUAUCAGACUCGGACUCCCAAGUAACCUCCUCUAUCGGCUGACCUCUCCUACGCACUUUUACAGAAGGAAUAUCUUUAGAUCUUAACUUUCGAACCUGCCAAUCUAGAAUAGCCACCGGCUCUUCCUCGUAAGUUAGAUUCUCAUCAAGAUGCACCAUGCUGAAGUGCAAAACAUGUGACCUAUUCUCAUGGUACUUCUGAAGCAUGGAAACGUGGAAUAUCGGAUGUACCCCGCUAGGCUAGGAGGAAAUGCAAGCCUAUAAGCAACCUCCCCAACUCUCUCUAAGAUCUCAAAUGGGACAAUAAACCUCGGGAUCAACUUUCCCUUCUUCCCAAAUUGCAUCAUGCCCUUCAUAUGCAAAACCUAGAGAAGAACCUUCUCACUUUCCAUGUAAGACACAUCUCGAACAUUCCGGUCUGCAUAACAUUUUUUCCUAGACUGUUGUGCGAAGCCAUUCUUGAAUCAAUUCAACCUUUUUCAAAGCAUCACGAACCAAGUUUGUUCCCAAUAAUCUAGCCUCACCGGGAUCGAACCAACCAAUCAGAGGCCUUGUACUAAGCUAUAUAGAUGCUUGACUGAUAGUUGUUGUUGUAGGCAAACUCCUCUAGAGGUAGAAAAUAGUCCCGCUGACCCCCGAAAUCAAUAGAGCAUACUCUCAACAUAUCCUCCAAAAUCUUAGUAGUCUGGUCGUACUGUCCGUCCGUCUGAGAAUGAAAUGUGGUACUCAGCUCGACCUGCGUACCUAACUCACACUGCACAGCUCUCCAAAAGUAUGAAGUGAACUGUGUACCUCAGUCUGAAAUGAUAGAAAUGGGCACACUGUGCAGGCGGAUAAACUCCUGAAUGUAAAUAUGAUCCAAUUGCUCUAAAGAAUAGCAUGUCAUCACCGGAAUAAAGUCUGCGGAAUUAGUCAACCGGUCCACAAUGACCUAAACAACAUCAUACUUCCUUGAGGUCCGUGUAAGCCUACCACAAAGUCCAUAGUGAUACGCUCCCAUUUCUACUCCGGUAUCACCAACUUCUGAGUUAACCCACCCAAUUUUUUAUGUUCAUACUUCACCUGUUGACAAUUCAAGCACCAAGAGACCCAAAAAGGCAACUAAGUCUAACCAGAACUCACACUUCAAAAACUAGGCAUAUAGCUGAUGACCCUUCAAAGUCUGAAGUACGAUCUGUAGGUGCUGCUCAAACUCCUCUCUAUUGCAAGAGUAAACCAAAAUAUCAUGCAAAUCCUUCUUCCUCUCCUUGUACUAUUCCAUCAACUUCCUAACAAGGUGGACAGAUUCUGCAGUCGAACAUCCCAGUAUGAAUUCAAAUUGGUUCUCAGAAAUAGAUACAGUGCUCCUUACCCUCACUUCCACCACUCUCUCCCAUUCUUUUAAAGUAUGACUAUGCAACUUAAUACCCCUAUAGUUGUUAUAAUUUUUGGAUAUCACAUUUGUUCUUGUAUAACAGAAUCAUCAUACUCUAGCUCUUUCUUCGGACAUCUUCUUCAUCCUAAAAAUGAUGUUAAACAACCCAGUCAGCCACUCCAAGCCUGCCCUACCCACAUAUCUCAAAAGUACCACCAAAAUUUCAUAUGGACCGGUCGCUUUGUCCUGACUCAUCUUAUGCAUAGCCCCCACAACCUGCUUAAUAUUUAUGUGCCUACAAUACCCAAAGACUCGACGACUUUUGGAGUGAUCCAAAUCACCCAUCACAUGUUCAUGUCCCCCUCUUCAUUUAGGAGUUUAAAGAAGUAUGUUUGCCAUCUUCAUUUAAUUUGUGCCUCUUCCAAGAUGUGCCUCUCUUGUCUUUGAUGCACCUCACUUGGUCCAGAUCAUGAGCCUUCUAUUCUCUCACCUUGGCCAGGCUAAAUAGCUUCUUGUCCCUGCCUUUGUCCCCUAGUUCCUCAUAAAAAUGAUAAAACACUACAGUCUUAACUUCCGUAACUGCUAACUUUGCUUCCUUCUUAGCCUUCUUAUACCACUCUCUAUUCGUCCUCUUCUCUUCUCGUAUGUGCUCUCAACUAACUUCAGAAACACCGCUUUCUUGGCUUCUACUUUUACUUGAACAUUUUCAUUCCAUCACAGUCCCCUUUUUCACAACCAAACUAACACUUCGAGAUACCUAAUACCUCUUUCGAAGCUUCCCUAAUGCAGUUUUCCAUCCUGGUCCACAUACUACUCACAUCCCCCUACUCCUCUAAGCCCCCAUAGAGCCAGAAAUAUCUCCCCCAAUUCCUGAGCUUUAUUUUUAGUCAAGACACUCUAACUAAUCUUCGGUCAACCCCACGCAACCCUCUUCUUCCUUCUCAACAUGAUCUCUAAGUCCAUCACCAAAAGCCUAUGCUGGGUCGCGAGGUUCUCACUUGGGAUGACCUUGUAAGCCGUGCAUAGACUUCUAUCACACUUCCUGGGGAGGAGAGAAUCAAUUUGCGUGUUGGCCACCGUACUUUGAAAGGUAAACAAUUGAUCCUCUCUCUUCUAGAAACUAGAGUUCACUAUUACCAAAUCAAAAGCUUUAGAAAAAUUCAACAGUCAAGUUCCUCCUCCAUUUUUAUCCCCAAAACAAAAACCGUUGUGCACCUCGCCAUAACCCCCAGCAGUCGUUCCAAUGUGUCCAUUAAAAUUCCCUUUUAUGAAAAGAGUAACUUUAAAAUCAUAUUUAUUAAUUGCCAUGGUUUGGUAUUUAUAAAUUUUCUAUAACUGCAAUAAAUCAUUGAAUCUAUAGCAUAAUCCAAAUACACGAUCUUAAACAAUAAAUACAUCAAUUCAAAAGAACACUCCACCGAAAUAUCAAAAUUUUCUCUCCGUACAGAAGACACUGGUGAACUGUAAAUUGUCACGUCGGAAUACACACUACUCCACCGUCCGGUGGUGGAAAACCACCAGACUACGCUAAAAAGAAGCGUGUUUCCAAUGCGCAUAAACCCCAACUGGACGCCCCCCUCAAUUCAUCCCCAGCAGCUACAGAUUUCAAAAAAGGUGGAGUGAAUACUGUAGCAAAAAAUUGCUUGGGCUUUUCUGCAAAAUCGCAACUUGUUUCUGGGCCAAAUAUAGUGCAUCCAAGCCAUAGAGGUUUCUCUCCAACUCAAAUAACAUCGACCCACAAAAUUUCAGAUCCUUCCACCACUGGAACCCUCGUGGUCGAGGAGAAGAAAAAUGUCGAUGACCACCAUAGGGUCGGGCAUGGUAUUACAAGUACCCAAAUUGGCCAAGACCAAUGCCAAUUGACUCCACUUGAUGAGGAGAUUGGUACCAAAUUAUGAAACAACAACUUUAUUGAGCUAACUGUCACAGCAAUUCAAAAGACCAAAUCUGCAGACUUACAGGCACCAGGUGUUCGAUAUAAUACCACUGACAAUUUAACUAACAAUGCAAAGGAGCAAAGUGGUAUUCAACUGUACCAAAGUGGUGUUGAAGUUAGUAGUCAAGUACUAAAACCAAGGAAGACCACUCCAAAUUGAUGAUCAUGUAAUGUCUCCUCCAACAGAACUUCAGUUGGUGGAGUAUGGUGUGCCAAUUGUACAGGCCACUUUAAGCUAGCAAAUGGAGAAGAAUGCAUCAAAGGAACUUGAUUCAAACAUCCCCAAGCAACCACAGCAAUCUCAUGUAUCAUUGCCCUCAGCUUCAGUUAUAUCUGCCAACUAAGAUGAACAACUAAAAUCUAAGCAUGGUCGACCAACUGAUGCCAAUAAAGAAGGCCCUGCUAAUGGUAAUGAACCUAAAUUUGCAACCUUGAUCAACAUUAAUCAGGAGACCCCUCCUGUUAUUCAACAGAGUUUGGAAGGAAGAACCCAACUAAUUUUCAUAGACCAAGUACCUCUUAAACACCAGCCAGCAACUACAAAAAGUACCAUUCCUAAGAUCUCCUCAAACUUUGACAAACCAUCUUACACUAAACCUCCUGUAUCACAACCUUAUCCUAAGCAAACACCCACUACUACCACCACUAAUAAAAAACCAAAUGACACCAAUGCUAAACCUAAACAAUCAUCUAGCUUACCAGCACCACCUCCACCCACAAUCAAACAUUCUUAUGUUACCAAACUGAGGGCAAGGCAUGAAGCUGAACAUGAACCAAUUGAGUUUACCCCUCCUAAAAUUACUACCAAGCAAGUUCAACCAGCAAUUAUUUUCAAUAUAUGGUCAAACUAGCUGCAAGAUGCAAAUUCACAAUGGUGGGAAAAUUUUCAAACACCAUGCAUAGAAUGGAGACUAUUAGGGGAAGCUUUGUGUCACAAACAGAACUAAAAAGGGGUGUCAAGAUUGCUCAUUUUAAUGCAAGAACAGUUUACAUUGAUCUUGAUAAUGAAUAUGAUCAUGUCACUGUAUGGACUAGACAAUUCAUGUAUAUCCAAGGUCAAAUGAUGAAGUUGGAAGCAUGGACACCCACUUUUAACCCAGCUGAAGACUCACCCAUUGUUCUGAUAUGGGUGGUGGUUCUAGAAUUACCUUGGUAUUUUUAUUACAUAGAGAUAUCAACUGUCCUCCUAUCUCCAGUAGGUAAAGCUCUUCAUUUGGAUCUGGCUUCAUUUCAAAAGACUAAAGGAAGUGUAGCUAAGAUAAAGAUGCAGAUUGAUUUGACCAAGCCAAGACCAUAUCAUGUGUGGUUGGUAAUUGAUGAAGAUGAAAAUGGGGAUGGGAAGUGAUUAGAAGUAAAGUAUGAAAAUAUCCCAGAUUACUGUCUUUAUUGUAGGCACCAGGACCAAAACUCACAUGCAUGCCCAAUUAGAAUAUAGGAUGAGGAGAACAAGAAAAGGAAAGAGAAUGCUAUGAUUGAGGGCAAUUAGGAAACCAAACAAACGCAGCUCUAUGUGGGGCAAACUUCAUCACAAAAUCAGAGUAUUCAAAAGGAGAAGCAGGAUAGAAGAACUAGAGUUGAUAGUAAUCAAAAGGGCCAGGAACAGCAAAAGUCAGGUGUUACCUCUCCAAACAAUGAAUGGCAAAACAAAAAGAAGAAACACUUCAAAGGGCCAUAACAACAAAAUAAAAAACAGCUCCAACCUAUCAUACCAAAAAGGAAUAUAUAACAACAGUUGCAGGCAAAUGAGACUACUAAACACCAAAAGGAUAAAGAGAGCCAAACAUCAGGUAUAAAUACUACAACCUUGAAAGACCCUCCAAGUGCUCUAGAGAAAGGAGAUAUUUCUAAAAUUCAGAAAUGUCAUACACCUCCCCACCCCUUAAUAUUAUUGUUGAGGAAGUCAAUGGAGGAAUGAAGAAUUGUCAGGAGAACACUCUAACCUUGCAGGAUGGGGAUCCAAAGGGGGGCUUCCUCAUGUUUUGCAUGGGUGUGCUUCAACACAUGUGAAUGACCAUAGGAUUGACUCUUUAACCCCUGCUACCAAUACUCUUACACAUGGGAAUGCAGUUGCUUCAGAGGUUACCAAUGACGAGGAACACUAUGAAGUGAUCUAUUCUAGUGAGGAGGAAUAGGCUUUGAGGAGGUUUAUCAAAGGGAAAGGUCAUGUUGCUUCAGAUAUCCAAACUCAACUCCCCAAAUCCAAUAACAAACCUAGACAUGAAAAAAAAAGCUAUGAUAAAGAAGAAUGCAGGAAUCAGCAUUACUGAACAGACACAGGAAGGCCUGAGGAAGCCAAUCAGUUAACUUCUACAGGGUAUACAGUCCCACUAGCUGCUUAUCAGAAUGACAACCUACCUCAUUCUUAACCCCUAUUACCCAACAAAGGUAUCAUCCCUGUUGAAGUAUCACAUGAUGCAACUGAUAAGGAUGAUCCUUUUAGCAAGAUUAUACCAACAGAAACACCUGGCCAUGAAGAGGAUGAGUAUAGACCCAUACAAUUAGAAGAUGAAAUAGGCAUAUACUCUGAUGAUGAGGAUGAUCCUAGCAAAGGGAUAGAUGAAGAACAGUAUUGUGAGCUUCUGGUUGCAGCUGUGAAUGGUGCAACUGAACAAGACAAUGUUUUAGCCUCCCAAACUAGAUCACUAAGAAAGAGACCCUCACCCAGACUCACCAGAAGUAGAGUUGCUUCCAGUAGUUCUGUUCCACCAAAAUCCAAAUCCCCUAUCAUCUUUAAAUGAGCAGCAUAAUAACUUGAAAUGUCAGAGGUAUCAGAACCUCUGGGGUUAUUGAGAGACUCAAAAUACUAAAACAAAUCAACAAAUUAUCCUUCAUUACUAUCCUAGAACCAUUCCUUCAUAAUCCAAAUAUGUCAACCAAUCAUUCUUAUAACAUCCAUAUUGACUACUUCAGAAUGUAGUUGUCAAUGAGCCAAGCUGCUUCCAAUAGUAGCAACAAAAUAUGGAUCUUCUAGGAUCAGGAGUUCACUAGUACUCUUUUGGACCAAGAUGAACAACAAAUGACAAUUGAGAUAAAGCAUGUAGAAGCUGGAGAUACCUUUCACGUCUCUGUGAUAUAUGUAAAAUGUAAACUUUCUCUGAGAAUUCCUCUAUGGGAGAAUUUGAAACUAAAAUCUACUCUUUGCAUUGUGCCUUGGUGUGUGAUUGGAGAUUUUAAUGUCAUUACUUCUAUGGGUGAGAAGAUUGGAGGGAUACCAUACCAAAUGAAGAAGAGUAUUGAUUUCAUCAGCAUGAUUGAAGAAUGUGGUUUAACUGAUUUUGGUUUUUAUGGCCCAAGAUACACAUGGUCUAAUGGAAGAGGACCUGGUUCUAUAGUGUGGAAGAGAUUGGACAGGUGUCUUGUUAAUGAUCACUGGCUAACCUCUUUCCCUACUACUACUAUUGUCACACAUUUGGCUUCAGCAAGUUCUGACCAUUCACCUCUCCUAAUGGAAAUGCAUGUGAGACAAGAUAAUACCAAGAAAUACUUCAGGAUUUUAAACUGCUGGGUGAAGAAUGAAAGUUUCAUGCCACUGGUUCUAGAGGUGUGGAGCAUGCAGGUUACAGGAAGUCCAAUGUGGGUCUUUCACCAAAAACAUAAAGCCUUGUCUAGUGCUUUAAGUAAAUGGUCUAGACAGCAAUAUGGGGACAUCUUUCAGAAAUCAAAGGAGUAUGAACAGAAGGUUAAGUUAGCAGAAGAGAAAUGGGCUACUACCAAUGAUCUAACUAAUAGGAUUACCUUACCUGAACUUCAAGCUCAGUACAUUAAACACUUGAAACAUGAAGAGGAGGUACUGAAACAGAAGACACAACUACAAUGGUUCAAAGAAGGUAAUGCUAACUCCAGCUACUUUCACAGUUUGAUCAGAGGUAGAAGAAAAAAAAUUUUCAUCCACAAAAUCAAGGAUAAAGAAGGAGAUUGGAUUCAGGGUGAUGAAGCUAUUGAGGAAGCUGCUUGUGACUAUUUUGAAGAACUCAUCACUGAACCUUGAGGACAUAUUAUAGAGGAUCUUCUCAAUUUUAUUCCAACCAUGAUCACUAAUGAAGACAAUGCUGAACUCUCCAGAGAUCCUGAUAUGGAAGAACUUAAACAAGUUGUUUUUUCCAUGAGCCCAACCAGUGUUGCAGGCCUAUAUGGGAUGAAUGGCAAAUGUUUUCAAUCCUGCUGGGAAGUGAUUAAAAAUGACUUGCUAAAGGUGGUUCUUGCAUUUUUUGGAGGAAGUGAGAUGCCCAGAUACAUGACCAAGCAUGCCUUAUUCUUUUACCCAAGGUGGAAUUUCCUAACUCUUUGACUGAAUUUAGACCCAUAAGCCUAAGUAACUUCAUCAACAAAAUCAUCUCUAAACUGAUUGGUACCAGACUUGCAUCCAUACUGCCACACAUCAUCUCAGCUAAUCUGUCUGGUUUUGUCAAAUGGAAAAGCAUUUCAGAGAACAUUAUGCUUGCUCAAGAAAUUGUCCAAGGAAUUACGAAACCAAAUAUUGGAGCUAAUGUGGUCAUUAAGCUAGAUAUGGCAAAAGCUUAUGAUAGGGUGUCCUGGGCAUUUACUUGCCUUAUGCUUAGGAGAAUGGGUUUUAACGAACUCCUCAUUGACAUGAUCUAGAGAAUCAUGUCCAACAACUGGUUUUUUGUGGUUAUUAAUAGUUUCAGGCAUGGCUUCUUCAAGUCUACUAGGGGAUUAAAGCAGGGAGACCCACUGUAUCUAUCUCUCUUCAUUAUUGGGGCAGAACUACUUGCCCAAAUACUCAACAAACUCACUCAUGAUCAAUUUUUAAAUGGGUUCUAUAUGGAGAAUAGGGGUCUUAAUCAUCUGAGCUUUGUUGAUGAUGUGAUCAUCUUCACAUCAGGGAGCAGGGUGUCAUUAUUGAUAAUCAUGAAGAUCUUGGAGGAUUAUGAAAACACCUCAGGGCAGAAAAUAAAAAAGGUCAAGAGUCACUUCAUGACUCCAUCUUGUGUAUUCAUGUACAAUGUCAAUAGAAUUCAACAGAUUACAUGUUUUACCAGAAGGGAAUUUCUAAUCACUUACCUUGGAUGCCCAUUCUACAUUGGCAGGAAGAGAAUCAUACAUUUCAAUGACUUAAUUUCCAAGGUAGUUAGCAGAAUUAGAGGAUGGCAUGGUAGAAUGCUCUCCUAUGGAGGAAAAGCUACCCUGAUCAAACAUGUGUUGCAAUCUCUACCCAUCUAUCUUCUCUCAGCUGUGUCACCUCCUAAAUCUGUUAUGAAGCAAAUUGAGAGAGGCUGCUAACUUUUUCUGGGGUAUGGACAAAUAUAAAAAUAUAUAUCACUGGUCUUCAUGGGAUAAAAUGUCCUAUCCACUUGAGGAAGGAGGUGUUGGCUUUAGAACAACUGCUGAUGUGUGCAAGUCUACGGAAUUCAAACAAUGGUGGUCCUUUAGAACUAAACAAUCCCUAUGGAGUAAGCUUCUUAGGGAUAAGUACUGUAAGAGGUCAUAUACAGUAUCCAAGAAAUGGAAUUCUUGACAAUAUCAAACCUAGAAAAAGAUGAUGAUCAACAAAAAAGAAGUUGAACCUCACAUCCUGUGAAGGCUACAUUCUGGAACAGCCAGUUUCUGGUGGGAUAAUUGGUUAGGCACAGGUCCUUUGAAAAUUUUCACAAAUGAAGGAGGUAGACUUGGAAAUAUUCAUGUAUCUCAUUUUUAGGUUUCAGGGAGCUGGAAUAUUCAGAAGCUCAAUACUUGUGCCCCGUCACAAAAAAUCAGAGAAAUUCUUCAAGUUUCCAUCAACUACCUACCUCAUAAACCUGACAUACCAACAUGGACUCCUACUACUUCUGGGAACUUCAUAUAUGCUUCUUCUUGGGGUAUAAUUAGGAAGAGGAAAGAGGUUCUCUUCACCAACAAGAUGACAUGUCAUAAACAGAUUCCUUUCAAAUGGUCAUUCUGCCUCUGGAGAGCACUCAGAAACAAACUACCUACUGAUGAUAGAGUUAUAUCUUUUGGACAUCCUAUUGUCACUAUAUGUGUGCGUUGCAUCAGAUAAUAUGCAGAGUCAGUAGACCACAUAUUCAGCAGGGGUCAUUUUGCUAAAGCCAUCUGGAAAGUCUUUACUGCUCUAGCUGGUUUUUCCCUACAUGACAUGCCUCUUCAAUCGCUCCUGAUGAAAUGAUGGAUUCAAAAAAGCAAGAAUGAGGUACACAAAUUACUGUUGGAUACCUUCCUAUCAUUAUUUGUUGGAACUUAUGGAACAAUAGGUGUAGUGCGAAAUAUGGAGCAAAGAAAUCCUCAAGGCUCAGAGUUCUUUUCUCCAUUAAAUAUGAUACCAACCUUCUCCUCAAAGCUAAUUACCCUACCAUCACCUGGCCAUUUGAAUGGAGUGAUCUUUAUCCCUUGGUUAAAGACCUGCAAUUUCAUGCCAACAUCCUGCAAGUGAAAUGGUAGAAGCCUGAGAGUAGCUUUGUCAAACUUAAAAGUGAUGGUAGCGCACUCAGUAAUCCAGGAAAGAAUGGAGCUGGGGCCAUUAUCAGGGAUUCUGAGGGCAACUUGAUACAUGCUUUAGCUAAGCCUUUAGGUGAAGGAACCAAUAACCUAGCAGAGACAAUAGCAGUAGUGAUGGGAAUGCAAUAAUGUCUGGAGAAUGGUUUUAAUCAGAUCUGUCUGGAAGAUGAUUCUGCUAUGCUCAUACAAUGGCUCAACAAUUCAGCAGAACCUCCUUGGAACCUUGAAGUUAAUGUGAAAAACCUCAAGGCACUUUGUAGACAAUGUGAGGAGUUCAAACGUUCGCAUGUUUACAAGGAAGCCAACUUCCCUGCGGAUUCUCUAUCCAAACUCAAUCAUAAUUUAACUAUCAUGACUCAUUACCACAACAUGACCGAGUUGCCUAUUCAUAUAAGGGGAUAGAUCUAUAUGGAUAAGAUUAGCACUCCUUCCUUCAGACACAAAAUGAGUAGGAGGAUCAAAAUUCCACCACAACUGGCCUCCAGUUCCUCACAUGGAUAUGGAUGACAGAAAUGAAAUUAGGGGAGCAGACCUAAUAGUCCAAAUUAUUGUGAUCAUAUAUGGGAGCAUAUUUAUGCAAGAAAUGAAAUAUGUUCAAACCCACUGGGAGAAGGAUAUAGUAACAGACCUCCUCACUAACUUUAUCUUCUUUUUUGCAGGUUUCAGCUUACUUAAUUCACUGGCUCUUUCUCAGUGUGCGGUAUUAGCAUCCCUGAUGCUCAAUCUGCUGAGAAAAGGCCAGUGUUUUUAGCCAAGCCUUUCUACAAUAGAGAUAAAAAAUAUUAUAACCACCAUGGUCGCUAAAUGGCAUACACAUCACACCAUACCACUUGAUCAGCAUAAAGUAAUCCUAAACCUUCAAGGUCAUAGGAUGAGUAAAUUCAUGCAUGUACCAAUAAGAAUUGUGGGAAGAUUGUUGAGCUAAAAUAAGUAAGGAUUGGGUUGUGGAGUAAAGGAAAUCUUGUAGAUGAACCUUGUGGUUAAAUUUGCACACCUAGUGUCUAAUAAAAUGCUCAAAUAAGCUGAGACCAUGAAUAUCUUCCUAAUUAUGGUUCAAUUUUGUUAUGCCUCAAAAUAGAUUAGGAUUGCUAAGAAUUCCGGAUAAUUCUAGAGUUAAGGAAGAUCGGUUGAGGUAUGUUGGCUAAACUUUCUCUCUUGAAAUUGAAUUCCAUAAUGUUUUCGUAAGUUUCAAAGUAUGGGUUGCGUAUUAAAAGGUUAUGGCUUUGAGUCGUGUUUCAAUGAAAGAUAGUAUGCCAAAUUUUGUGAGAAAUCUCAAUAUUCUUAAGACUCUUAAUUGUUCAUAUGUGUACCUAAAGUCUUGAUAUGGAAAUGUCUUAUUGUUGAUAAUCUAUAAAGAUAGUUGGAAGUGAAAUAAGUUAAAUGGGGAUAUAGAGUGUGGCCAACGUACCAAGAAUUUAAGUUAUGAUUGUGNNNNNNNNNNNNNNNNNNNNNNNNNUGACUUCGAAGAUAGAAUUACCUAAAAGCUUUUGUACUCAAUUCAUGCCCAUUAGUGGUUGCUUUAACUAAUGCUUUGCUUUAUAAAUAUAUCUAGUGUGAUUCAAGUUAUAUAUACUCAUGUGUUGAACUGGUACAUUGUCAUUGCUAGGGAAGAGCAUUGUAAGAAAAAAUGAUGUAUUGAUUGUUUAUGAUUUUCAUGUGUGUUUCUAUUGUUGGAUGGUAUGCCUCAUUCUUUGGGAAGAAACCAUUUGUGUUUGAAGUUUCCAUUUCAAAUGGAUUUGAAGUAUAUGAUUUCUGAAAUAUCUUAUAUGUUGAUACUUGAUGGUGAUCUUUGAAAUUGAAAGAGGUGAAAGUGUGGAAUAUGAAAUACGGCCAUCGUGCUAGGAAUAAAAAAUCUUGUGAAUGGCCUAAUGAGCCAAGGAAAUAUUGUCAUUGUGAAUGACUGGGAAUACUAAUGAGAAUUUAUACAAUGUGGAAGAUGUUCAGGUGAGUACAAUUGUAUUUAUCAUAUUUUUGUUUGCAAAUCAAAUCAAAAAUAUUUUUGGGAGCAUCAUUAGCAAAAUCGAGGAAGGGUGGGUCAUAAGACCCACACCUGAAACUGCACGUGCCGGUGUAGGGGUGGAUUGUGAUUAUUCCCCUUAUUUGGGAUAAAAUUGGAACCUUUGAAAAAUUGUGAUAUUAUUCCCCUUAAUUGGGAUGAAAAUGGAACCUCUGUGGAUUGGAAAAGUCAACCCCCACGACAUAUGUGGGAAGGUGGCCUAGCUGAUCGGGUGGAGUUCAGACGCCAUGUUGCGCAUAUGGUAGUACUACUCUUGGUAAAAACUUUCUUUCGCAUCACAUGUCAAACCACAUUAUUUGUGGGGAGAUGGCCUAGCCGAUCGAGCGUGAUCAGACUCCGUGCUAACAAAAAUGGUGGUAUAUCGAUGCUAAUGAUCUCCCAACCAAAAUUGUAUAUGAAGUUCGUAUUUUGAAAAUUAUUAUGUUUUAACUGAAUAUUUGGAUAUUGUUAAUUAUGACUUGUUAUUUCUAUGUGUUGUCUUUUCUUAUGUGGGCAUUCUAUUUUGAAAGAGGACUUUUAGCUAUGCAUACUAGUGCUAUUCGACAGUACUAACGUCCCUUUUUCUGGGGGCGCUGCAUCUUUAAUGGAUGCAGGUGGUUCAAUAACAGGCGGCAUUGAUCAGUAUUAGCAGUGCACUCUUUUCAGCUGAUUUGGUGAGCCCCACUUCAUUUCGGGGACAUGUAUCUUUUGUUUCUUACGUAUUGUAUUUUGAGGUAUAGAUGGGGCCUUGUUGCUGGCAUUUCCAUAUCACUCUUCUAUUGUAUUUAGAGGCUCUGUAGACAGGUUGUGGGUUAUGGUUGAAGUUGAAAAUUGAACUAAAAAUGUUGGUAUUUGGAAAUCAUAUUUUUCAUUAAUUCUAUAAACUCGUAAUAUUUUGGAAAUUAUGAAUGAAGCUGUUAAUGAGAAUGAAAAAGGAAGUUGUUAAUAAAAUCUUUUCAGUGAAUGAUUAAUGGAGUACAUCUCCUCUUUAUUAAUGGAUGAGUUUGGGUAGAAGAAAAUCUAAUAGGCUUGCUCGGCCGGGUUCUAUCGGUUGAGUGCCGGUCGCGCUCCCCGAGUUUGGGGCAUGAUAGGUCUGCCCCUUUUUGCUUUGCUACUCUCAUUGGAAGUUGUCCAAUGGAAACCCCUUCAUUCAUCUUAACAUCCCAACUCUUUUUCCUUAUGUGUUCCUUCUUCUUCCUUCCACUAUACAUAGGAGAUAAAUCCCCUUGUAUAGCUGUCUGUGUGCGACAAUGUUCCAGUAUCUCUUUUUCCUCUCAUUCUUCAUACAUAUUUUCUCCAAAAUUUAGUGCAUCAGUUGAGUUUUGUCCAAAACUUUGUGGCACCAAGGCCUCUGAGUCAUUUUUUUUGCCACCACAUCAAUAACAUUGUGUUCCACCUCUGUUUUCUAUUUUGUAGGUACUAUUUCUUAUGAUCUUCUACACCUCUUGACCUACACUCAGUGUGUGGUAUUAGUAUUUUAAUGCUCAUUCUACUGAGGGUUGAUCAAGGGUGCAAAUUAUGCCAUUCUUCAGGCACACAUAGUCUAUCAUACCUAAUGCAAUGCAGUUGGAACUUGCUAGUCAACAUUAUGUGCCCAAGUUUAUUCUUAGAAUAGGGUAGAAACAGAAUGGCAACUCCCAAAUAUCCAACUGCUAAACACAGACACUAUAGCACAGAGAUUAAAAAGCCACAACUCCCAUCUCUAUGGGGCUCAACUCACAUGUGCUCUCACACAGGCUACCAGUCACUACUAAAUCACCAUGCAAUUUUCAGUAGCAUUCCUAUUCUCCCCAGCUACAAUCUACAACCAUCACCAGCUCUCAGAAUCUAAAAGAACCUAAGAGCCUUGCCUUAUUUGCACAACAACGAGUCUCAGGGAAGUAAUGCCCAAAGCCUGCAGCCCCCCUUCAUCACUAACUGUAGUGUCAUAGUAAUUCUUCCCAGAAAGAGGGGCAAUGUUGCUCUUUUAAUGCUAACUUGUUUGUUGUAUUUUGCAGGUACAUUAACUAGGUCGAGAAUUUUGAAGCACUCUCAAUGUGUGAUAUUAGCAUCUCACAUGCUCAGUCGGUUGGGAGUACAUCAAAUUUCUUGGACAUACCCCUCUGAUCAUGCAAUACAAACACACACACCAUAGUCAUACAACACUGAUAGAUGCAGGAAUUAUUACACCUGGCCACUAUUUUCAGCAAUCUCUUUUAGCCUCUUCAGUGCUUUGGUUCACAUGCUAUAUGAACACAUUGUUGAGAAUUGGUCCUGGGCACAUCGGAGUCUCUACAACAUGCAGCCACAACCACCAGUGUUAUGCUCCACCUCUUCUGUCAUGGACACCAUACACACAACUUACUGCUUUUCCACUUUUGGAUAUCUAUAUGCUUCUCUUCAACCUGGCUUUCCUUGCUGGCAAUGCUAAAGCUAUGAUGAAGAUAGGUUCUUGGUGUUAUAGAACUGACCUCCAUUCUUGGAUGUAUAUUUAUUUUUUGUCACUUCAUUUGGCGAUAGUUUGUCCAAGCUUUAGAUAUAGUUUCUCCCGUAAAUCGAAGGAGUUCUUCCAAUCUUUUUGCAUAGUUGACCUUGGUUACUCUUGUUCUUGGGGUCCAUUUGCUUUCCCAAUAUGGAAAGGCAUAUAGUACCAUCUCAUAGGUCUAACUUCACUUAUUGUACAGGAUUUAAUUGGUUGUCAUUUUUGGACAAUCAAUUGGCUAUCCACCAUAGGUUUGGAGGUAAGGUUCAUGUCUCCUCCGAUGGUGUACUUGCUGAUUUCAUAUUUAUAAAAACUAAUCCUAGGCACAAAGCCUAGUGGAUUGUUAAAAAAAAUAUAUCAAUUCAUCACAUCUAAUCAUUUAUCUAGUACUGAAUGAUUUACUCUUUUAGUUUCAGGGGUGACAAAAAGACCCCUAGAAGAUGUCUUUCUUUUCAUCUCUUCACCAUAUGCAUCAUGAUGCUUAGGUGUUCGGAUACUUUCUCGUAAAUGUUUAAUAUGAUACUAUCACAGACUGAAAUCCUUAUAGUAUUUGAUGUUUCAUAAACAGAAAAUGCCUCGAAGAUACAAUGUCUUUACAACAUUUUCAAACUCAUAGUUGACGAAUUAAAAAUACAUUUUAGCCUCUUCAGCAUCAAUUCAAUUUUCCGAAAGACUAGAUUUGGAAAAACAAUCGGAAGCACCUUUAUCUCUAAAUUUUUAUGUGAUAAGAGAUAUUUAAUGAAGUUUCCAAAAAUAUUAAUUCUAUAUAUUCUAUAAGUUUAAAAUUUUGAAUAAUAAAUUAUUAUUAACAUAAAUAUGGAAACAUAUGAUGGAUUUCUUGUAUAAUGUUCACAUAAUUUAUUUUUGUUUUCAUUAUUUAUACUAUUACCAGACAAAUAAAGAAAGGAAUGAACCAGAUGUAUCCAGCAUUGGCACACAUACCCGAGAAAAUACUUGACAUCAUAAUUCGGAAGGUAAUCAAUGACGACAAAAGAAAUUCACUUAUGUACAUUAAUGUAAGUAUUUGAUCAAUAGAAAUUUAAUUAUGCUCUUUUAUUUAUGGAAUGAUAAUUUUGUGAUAUGGCAGUAUGCACAAUGCAUCAAUAUGGAUGUUCUGAAUAUGUAUAGUAUCUUAUCUCAAUAAUUUAUAGGAUAAAUUAUAAAAUUUAAUAAUUUAAUAUCAAUACUGAUGUAUACAAUGUUGGCCUAAAUUUAGCAGUAGAUACAUAACGGACAAAUACUGUAGCAUAUUAGUAUGACUGUAAAAAUUACGAAUUAGUUGUACACCAAAAACUUCUACUAAAAUGAAAAAACGAGCUUGAGUUCCUUGCUAGUUUACUAAUAAAUGAAUGAAGAUUUCACUGAGUAAUACUUAUAGGUAAGAAGUAUUAACAGGUACAUGCAUAACUUACCCGGUCAUUGCUUAACCCUUUAAUGAAAGGUAUUCUAGGGCAAGAUUAUAGCAUAUAUGCUUUCAAUUCUAACUGUUUACCCGUAAAACGGUAUAAUUAAAUUUAUACGUGAUUUUUAGACAAGUGAACUAAUUUGAUCCUGAAAUAAUACAAUAAUUGAAGAAAUACACAAUACUUAUCCUUGGAAUGUAGAUGAAAUAGCAAAGACGGUGAUUCCGUGAACACGGUUUCCGAACACAGCAAUGAUGAGAUCAAAAAGCAAGAAAGUGAAAUUGUAUAAAGCUUUGUAAGAACAUAGUAUAUGUUCUUGUCAGAAAAUCCGUGUCCUCUAUAAUGGUAACUAAGCUCACUAUUUAUAGCUAUGCCUAGGGAAAGAGGUCCUAGGAUCGUGCCCUCCUUUAAUGCCAAUUAUGAGGGUCAUUGAUGAAGAUGUAAACGGUGCCAAAUUCUCUGUAAUGGACCGUCGCUCUUAAUGCUGCAGAAUAUUCCUUAGUAAAUGCCACCGGGCGCAGAGCAUUUGAUACACCUUCAUGAACGUUAUCCUUUCCGGUGACAAGUAGAGUGGCUGUGCUAGGUCCUUAGCCAUCCCAUCUCGGAUUCCAUGUGUCCUCCGUUUAGUCAGCCACGUGUCAUAUCAUAUUUUACCCUAUAUAGAUAGUUUUCCUGCUUUCCGGUGACAUAACUUUGUGUUACCGAGAAGUUGGUAGAAACACCUUGUUUUACGGGAAUUACUAUAAAUCCCUCUGAAGGUCUCUGACAGUUGAUUAGACGCACGUCUCUCCGCAUUUAAUGCCCUGAACACGCGUCAUCCCACGAUUCAGCACAACUUUUGCCGAUUAUCGAGGUAAUCAUGGCCAUGAAUUUAGCCGCCAAAAUUUUACUUAUACACAACUUCCUUUUCCUUUGCGUUUCACAAUUGAUUGAGCUUCUGAUUUGCAUCCUUGUUUUCAAUCCCUUUUCUGAUUUUCUUCAAACACAAAACCUUUUCCAUCUCCUUUUUCAAUGGUUUCUUCCUCUAAACGUGCUGGUUCUUCAAAGAAUAAGAAUAUAACCGAGGAUUUCGUUCCUCCAACAGUGGGUUCCAUCAUCCCAAGAAGGCUUAGUACUUCGAAGGAUUUUGAAAAGAAAUUUCCUACUGCUAACCCUCGUUCAUGGGCUGUUAGUAGGUACCCUUCUUCUAUUCAUCUUUCCAGUAUUCCUGCUGUGAAGGAGGAUUGCCGCUGCAAUGAGUUGGAAAUCAUUGCUCCUGAUCUAUCGGAGCGAGUGACCCUUCCCAAGGAAGGUUUUACAUACUUUUUCAUGUAUCCCUUUACUUUGGGUGCGUUUUCUUUGAGCAGAGAGCUUGAUUCCAUGAUUGCGGAGUUUUGCCUUCGCUACCAGGUGUGUUUAGCAUAAGUAAGUCCUUCAGUGUGGAGGACGGUCACCUGCCUCCGACGUUUGUGCCAAGAAACUGGAGAGGAGCUAACCUUAGCUCAUAUGAUCUUUAUUCUCCCAAAAUCUUCCGCGGGGGAAUGAUAAACCUUUGCAAGCGUAGCCACCAUGCUUUGUUUUCUAGCAUGGAUGAUGACAACGACCGUGGGUGGAUAGAACGGUUCGUUGCAGGUGCCACCAACGACAUCAUUCUGACAACGGCUUCAUUCUUUUUGGUUGCUUGGAACUGCACUCAUAAGUUCUUCGUAUAGUAUUCCUCUUAUUAGACAUUCUUCUAUGGCUGUAUCAUCUCUUCACCCUUUGCAUGUUUCAACAACUCGAUAGAUCCCACCGGUGCUGGAAGGUUUGAACUGGUGGGUUUAGAAGAUCUUGGACGUCACAACGCCCGAAAGUCAUUCGUGGAAAGAACUGUCCCUUAAAUACGGGUGGAAGGUUAAAAAUUAUGAUAACUUUAAUUUACCUUGCUUCCAUUUUUGUUUAUGAAGAACUUAGUUGAACCCUUGUGACUUGUUCACGGAAUUAGGUCUACUUGCGGGCUCUAUUGCUAUCACCGAGGAGGAUGUUCUGGUUGAUCCUACUGAUGCAGCGAGGCUACUUCAGGAAGCACUUACUCGAACAGGUAUCUCCGGGCCUGUUUCGGGAGCAAAUAUUUCUUUACGGAGUCCCCGGCUGGAGGAUAAACAAACAAAGAGAAGACGCUCCUCCGCAGUCGGGGAAAAGAAUAAAAGGGCAAAGAUUGAUACCCAAGAAUCAUCUCCGAUGGCGAUGAUGACUGGUCCUCCUUCUAGGCUGGUCAUAGACACCGUGAUAAUUGAUGAUGAUGAAGAAGUUGUUGAUGAGGGAGCUUAUUUAUACAUAAGGCGAUGAUCCUCAUCAUCUCAACAAGAUGAUCGACCUAUUGAGAUAGUUACACCAACUGAAGACGAUGUAUCGUCACUUUGGGGAGAAUGUGAUUUGGUAGAAUAUGCUAACUCCCAUUUUCGGGUCCCAAUUUCUGCAACCGGUGCUACGGCGCUGAGUACCAGGUCCUUUCUGUCUUUGGUUGGCGAGCAUCAAACAACCAGCAUUGCAUUUGAUGCAGUUGCUUCUCACUCUUCAACUCUAUCAGCUUCAUAUUUACCUUCACCAACACCAGCAACUGCUACAUCAUUUCCAUCUUCGUCUACUCUUCCACCAGCGGUUGCUACAUCAUCUCCAUCGGCCGCACCUGACCAUGAAGAAGGUGUUCCUCUUCCACAGUCCCUAGUUCAUGGGAAUUUGGGGUAAAAUUAUGCUGCUCCUUCUGAAGAUCCACAAAGGAGGAGGAACAUCAAUCUUUCGGUCUCUACCACGCCCGGUGGAACUUGCUAAUUACCUGAAGCCUUUGGAUUCAAAAAAAGACUGGGAAAAGAUUCAGACACUCUCGGGAGAGUGUUUGUUGAACAAUGCUAUGCAUAACGCCGCACCGGUACGUUCCUUCCUUCCUCUGUUAUUUCUUCUACUUUGAAUGAAUGUAUUGUAAAUUUUAACUCUUCUUAUUUUAUAGGCCAACUUUCUUGCUUCUGAGGGCCUUCAAAGGUUGAUUCGUGAGAAGGAAGAACUUACUUAUAAAUGGGAUUAGCUUUUGGCAGAACGGGACCACACUGUUCUCCGCCUCUCGAAACUGGAAACCAGAGUUGCUGAGGUUGUUAUUUUGGAGGCUCGUUUGCAGCAAAGUGAGAAAGAAGUGAUAACCCUUAGCCAAGAAAUUGGGCCGCUGAGGGUUAGAUUUGAUGAGGCCAAGGCCAAAUGGGCAGAAGACCAGAACGUCGUUCUUGCUGCAACAGAUCGCGAUGCUGCCUCCGCUGAAAGAGUGAUUAAUUUGGAAGCAGCCUUGAACUCCAAAAGUGAAGAGCUUUCUGCCGUAGAGGCGAAACAUGCCCAGCUAGAAGAGAAGUACCGGAAAACUAUCGAGCAUAAUAGGCUCUUUAGUUCAACUGUACGCGAGCUCGACGGCAGCCCCCAAUCUGCUAGAUCUACCCGGGAAAACCUUUCCACCGAGGUCACUCAACUUAAGAACUUAAGCACCGCGCGGCUUUCCUCAUUGUUGAAAAAAUGUAUUCCAUGUAUAGCAUGAGGAGAAAACCUUGGAAAAGGCCAAAGCUGGUAUUAUUGAUGUUGAUGCCGAAAUUUCUAAGGCCCGAGAGCUUGAGUUGGCUGCAAAAAAUGGACUCCCAGCGCAGUCUGAUGCUCCAGGUUCUUCCGAUUCCGGUUCCGAGUUUUUGAAAACUGAAGAAGGAUCGAAAAGCGAUGAGGCCGAAGACCAAACUGGGGAAAGCAUUGAGCCAUCGGCGGAACCACCUACUCUUCCCGACAAUGCGGAUACUUCUCUUCCUCCUGAUUCUGGAGGCGCUGCAGUUUAGCUUUUUCUUUAUUUUCCCAUUUUAUACUUAUAACGUUUUGGCCCGUUCUUGUAAAUAAAGACAUUUCUUUUGUUCAAGUGUCGUUUGAGUCUUACUUUUGUUUAAAUAUCCAUGCAAGCUUUUAACUUUUGCAUUUGCUCAAGUAUUCUGCGCAAGUUGUUCAAUUCGCGCUUCACUAUGUGUAGUCUCGGAUGCUUUUCUUCGAAAAAUUUUGGUUCCAAGUAUUAUACCUUUUACGCGAGGGUUUUUAUGAAUAUUUGCGCAAGUUUUCCUUUUACGUGAGGGUUUCUAUGAAUAUUUGUGCAAGUUUCCCAUUUACAUGAAGGUUUCUAUGAAUAUUUGCGCAAGUUUGCUUUUUGCGUCCUUUUCAUAUGCGACUUCGGGUGUAUUUUUCCCCGAUGGAAUUUUGGAUUCCGGGCAUUGAUUCUUCCGGAACCAAGACUUUAACAUGAGGGUUUUGAUAAGAGAGGGCCCUCUUAUGUUUACGGUGCUCUUGAAGAGGACGUCUCCUGUUCAUUAUGGCACUAACAUUUGAAGUACUUGUUUAACUUUCAAAUGACAAAGUUAGCUCAUCGUUCAGACAAGAAACAGGAUAAAAGCAAAAGGAUUUUAUUUUAUUUCUUCUAUUUUCAGAAAUUACAUAAGCAUUUUGCUAUGUAGAAAAGAAAUUGCCAUUACUUGUGGCCAUCUUGUACAACUUGUUUCUACGGGGCUGGUUGCGCAGUCCCCAGUCCCGAUGAUGCAUUUUGUUUCCAGAUUUUCAUUUCUAGUUGACGUGGCAGCCAUUGUUAUCGCAUCCUCAUAUCAUCCCCCUCUCAGUGUUCGAAUGCGAAGAAUGCGAAUUGGAACACUGGAAGUCUUGUAUCUUCGAGUGUCCCACCAAUGAAUUGCUAGGUAAUCCUUCACUUGGCAACAUAUUUUGUUUCCCUUAGGAAUCCAUGCUAUCGAGCGAAAGAAUACCUAACAGUCCUCUGGCGGUUUAUGCCCGUGAACGUUCGGGUAACCUCUAUUCGGUAGCAAACUUAACUUUCCAGUGGGAAUUUACUAUCGAAUCAAAGAUUACCUAAUUGUCCCCGAGUGGGAGCUUGUUCGUUUGCCUUGCUAUCAAAGGUCUUAUUGUUGUUGUCUUUGUAGUAUACUUUAUGUCACUGCCUCGUUAAAAACCUUGCCAGAAAAACCCAAUUGGGACAAAAACGGAACGAAGGGAAAAAUAGUGCAGCACAUACUUUCUGUUUAAGCGUCGUUCAUCAGCAAUAAUAUCUUUUGAGGCGUGCCAUGUUCCAGUUGCUGGGCAAUUUGUCUCCAUUCUGGUUCUCCAACUCGUAUGAACCUUUCCCAGUGAUAGCUGAAAUCCUAGCUUUCCCGCGUUGAGCUCCCGUAUAUUUUGUGUUACUUUCCUUAGAACCAAGUCUCCUACUUUGAAAAAAUGGAAGUUGGCUCUUUGAUUGUAAUAUCGCUCCAUCCUCUUCUUUUGAGCUGCCAUUCUCACAUGCGCCAAGUCCCUACGUCCCUCAAGCAGUUCCUAGCUGAUUAGCAUUGCUUCGUUGUUCGAUUCUUCAUUUGUCCGAGAAUAUCUGCAGUGGGUUCACCCACUUCAACCGGGAUUAGGGCUUCAGCACUGUACACGAGGGAAAAAGAAGUUUUUACUGUACUUGAUUUGGUCGUUGUUCAGUAGGCCCAUAAAACUCUGGGCAACUCUUCGGGUCGUUUUCCUUUUGCUUCUUCUAACCUUUUCUUGAGGUUUUGAAUGAUCACUUUGUUUGUCGACUCCUCUUGACCGUUUGCGCUCGGAUGAUAAGGCGAAUAUGUGAUUCUCUUUAUUUUCAAGUCUUCGGGGAACUUUGUAACUUUUGCACCGAUAAACUGUGGCCCAUUGUCGCAUGUUAUCUCUUUUGGUAUUCCGAACCUGCAAAUUAUAUUUUCCCACAGGAAAUCGACCACUUCGCAUUCUCCGAUCUUCUAAUAAGAACCUGCUUCCACCCAUUUAGAAAAAUAAUCAGUCAAAAUUAAAAGAAACAUUACCUUUCCGGGAGCCGGUGGCAGCGGUCCGACGAUGUCCAUGCCCCAUUUCAUGAACGGUCAUGAGGACAAAACCGAAUGUAAGGGUUAUGCCGGUUGAAGUACUAGUGAUGCAUAGUGUUGGCACUUAUCAUAUUUUCGUACGAAAACUUUGGCGUCCUGUUCCAUGCGAGGCCAAAAAUAUCCUGCCCGUAUCAAUUUCAGCACCAAAGACUCUACACUUGAGGGAUUGCCGCAUAUCCCUUCGUGGAUUUCUCUCAUGAUAUAGUCAGCUUCUGAAGCUCCUAAAUAUCGGUCCAACAGACCUUGGAAAGAUUUUCUAUACAAUUGGAGUUUCCUGAAGCUAUAACGUACAGCUUUGGUGCGUAAUGCCCGUGAUGCUUUGGGAUCGUCAGGAAACUUUCCGUGCUCGAGGUAGUUGAUUAUUUUAUUUCUCCAGUCCCAGACCAGACUAGCCGAAUUCACCUCAUAGUAACCACCCGUAUCAAGGACUGAGCUCAUCAGUUGUACCACCAUUCUAGACUCUGGUCCCUUUAUUUCCGUUGAUGAACCUAAGUUCGCUAAUGCAUCCGCUUUUGCAUUAUCCUCUUUCGAGAUAUGAGUGAUUGACCGCUCACGGAAUCGUGCCAAAAGAGCCUGGACCUUUACCACGUAUUGUUGCAUACGUUCUUCUUUGGUAUCAAAGAUCCUGUAUACCUGAUUUACCACUAGCUGUGAGUCACAUUUGAUUUCGAUAACCUCGGAAUCAUGUCCCCGGGCCAAUUCGAGCCCUGCAAUCAAAGCUUCAUACUCUGCUUCAUUAUUAGUUAAAGGGAUCGUGUUGAUGGCUUGCCUUAAGGUUUCCCCCGAAGGCGUGAUUAAAAUUAUUCUGAGUCCGAACCCUUUUACGUUCGAGGCUCCAUCCGUAAAUAAGGUCCAAAUCCCUGAUGUCGAUUCCGACACCAUUACUGUCUCGUUGGUUGCCAGAGGCAGCAGUCCCGGACUAAAAUCGGCCACAAAGUCAGCCAAGACUUGUGACUUAAUUGUAAUCCUCGGUUUAUAUUCUAUGUCGAAUUCACUCAUUUAGACGGCCCAUUUGGCCAAUCUGCCCGAGAAACUCGGGUUUAUGAAGGAUGUUCCGCAAAGGGAAAGUAGUCACCACAGCUAUUGGGUGGCAUUGAAAAUAGAGCCUCAGCUUUCGAGCGGUGACUACGAGAGAUAAGGCCAGUUUUUCCAAAUGUGGGUAGCGAGUUUCUGCUCCCGUUAAAAAUUUUCUAACAUAAUAAAUAGGAAAUUGCGUACCUUCGUCCUCCUGGACUAAAAUCGCACUUACCGCAACUUCUAAAACCACGAGGUAGACUAGAAAUGUUUCGCCUUCUUUUAGUUUCGAGAGCAAUUGAGGGCUUGAUAAGUAUUUCUUCAGGUCCUUCAAAGCCUGCUGGCACUUCGGCGUCCAUUCGAAAUUAUUCUUCUUUUUGAGCAAUGUAAAAAAGUGAUGACACUUUUCUGAGACCAAGAAAUAAACCUACUCAAAGUUGCUAACCUUCUUUUGAGUCUUUGGACUUACUUCACAUUUGAUAAUUGAUCCAGAAUAUCGUCUAUGGCCUUGAUUUUGUCGGGGUUUACCUCAAUUCCCCUUUGUGAGACUAGAAACCCUAGGAACUUACCGGAGCUGACCCCGUACGCGCACUUUUUGGGGUUGAGUUUCAUGUUAUGCUUCCUCAGGAUAUCGAAUGUUUCUUGCAGAUGCUUAAGGUGGUCACCUAUAUUCAAAGACUUAACGAGCAUAUCGUCUAUAUAAACUUCCAUAGUUAUUCCUAUUUGCUUUUCAAACAUCUUAUUUAUGAGCCAUUGAUAAGUGGCUCCGGUAUUUUCAACCCGAAGGGCAUUACAUUGUAACAAUAUGUACUAAAAUUUGUUCUAAACGAAGUCUUUUCUUGAUCUUCCGGGUUCAUCUUAAUUUGGUUAUACCCGGAAUAAGCAUCAAGGAAACUCAUCAACUCGUGCCCAGUCGUGGCAUCAAUCAUUUGAUCGAUAUUUGGAAGUGGAAACGAAUCUUUCGGGCACACCUUAUUAAAAAUCUUUUAUAGUCNNNNNNNNNNNNNNNNNNNNNNNNNUUUGACAGAUUUAUUCCUGGCCUCGGCAAUAGGGCGCUUCUUCUGUAGUACCGGUGGUACUUUGGGAUCCAAACUCAGCUUGUACAAGGCUAUUUCCGUCGGGAUACCUGUUAUAUCCUCGUGCGACCAUGCAAAACAAUCAGCGCUAAUUUUAAGGAAUUCAAUAAAAGCAGACCUGAGCUCGGGGUGCAAUCCUAUCCCCAAUUGAAAUUUUCUUUCUAAGAAUUCUUCGAACAAUGCCACUUGCUUUAGUUCCUCUGCCAUGGAUUUCGUUGCAUCUGCCUCUUCCGGAACUUAGAAAUAUCUAGGCACCUGAUACUGUUCUGACGAUUCUGCCUCUGGAAUAACCUCUUCUAACUCGGGAGUAGGCACCAGUUCCUGUAAUUGCUAUGCCGUGCGCUCCUUCCCUUUGCUACUAGAAACUGAGAUUGCAUUCAUCUCCCUUGCUGCCGGUUGGUCACCUCUUAUUUGCUUGAUUCCUUCGGGCGAUGGAAACUUCAGCAAUUGGUUAUAUGUCGAAGGUACAACUUUCAUCUCGUGUAGCCACGACCUUCCUAAAAUGAUGUUGUAUCCAUAUCACCAUCUACUACUUCAAAGAGAGUUAUUUUCAUUACUCCUUCAGCGUUCGUGAGCAGCAAGACCUCUCCCCGGGUCGUCACGCUCGCAAGGUUGAAUCCAGCGAGGAGUUUUGUUGCCAGAAUAAUGCUUCCGGUGAGUUUAGCUUGUUCCAAUACUCUCCAUUGUAUGAUAUUAGCCGAACUACCUGGAUCUACUAGAACACGCUUAAUUUCGAAAUCUAACACAUUUAAAGAGAGUACCAGUGCGUCAUUGUGUGGUAACAGCAAUCCGUCUGCGUCUUCCUCCGUGAAAGUGAUAUCGUCCUCCCGGAGUCUUUUGCUCUGAGUUAUUGAUACUUUUAUCUUUUUUGCCACCGAAAAGGUGACCCCGUUAAUCUCAUUCCCCCCAAAGAUCAUGUUGAUCGUCUGGCGUGGGGUUUCUUCUCCUGCUUUCGAAGAUUCCGCGUUGUCUUUGUUGCGAUCGUAAUUGUUCUUAGUCGAUCACUCAAGAAUUCUCGGAGAUGACCAUUAUUCAAUAGCGUUGCCACCUCCUCCCGAAGAUGUCGGCAAUCCCCUGUCCGGUGACUGUUUAUCCUGUGGUAUUCGCACCAUAAAUUGGGAUCCCUUUGGCUGGAAUCGGACCUCAUAGGUCUUGGGAACCAUGCUCUUUAAUGUUCCUCCUAGCUGAUACCAGUUCCACUAUGCUAAUAUUGAAGUUAUAUUCUGAUAACCUGGGGUAAGAAAAAUCUCGAGACCCCGACGUUUCUUCAUCUUGAAGUGAUCUAUUGUUUUGACCAUGAUGAGUCCCUCUGUCAACGGUGGACUUGUUUGCUGCUCGAAAAUUUCUAUUCACGGCUUUUGGUAUGCUUGUAGGGCAAAAACCAACCCUUCGAAGUCCACUUAUACGCGUCGUAGUCAUCCUUUGAUUUUUCUCUGUUCUUCUCCCGUCCUUUGGCCGAUGAUGUAGAACCGACCUGGUCAUCUUCGAUCCUUAUCUUUGACUCGUACUGGUUGUGAACAUCUGCCCAGGUUGUUGCUUGAAACUCAAGCAGGCUCUCCUUCAGCUUCCAGGAAGCAUUUGAACUUCUCGAAUUCAAUCCUUUGGUGAAUGCUUCAGCUUCCCAUUCAUCCGGGACGGCCGGGAGCAACAUUCUUUCUUUCUGAAAUCGGGUAACAAAUUCUCAUAAUAAUUCAGAUUCUCCUUGUGCGAUUCUGAAUAUGUCGGCCUUCCAGGCUUGUACCUUUCUGACCUCGGCGUGAGCUUUAAUGAAAGAAUCCGCGAGUAUCUCAAAGGAAUCUAUGGAAUGCUCGGGCAGUAAUGAAUACUACGUUAGGGCUCCCCUCGUGAGAGUUUCGCCAAAUUUCUUUAGCAACACAUAUUCAAUUUCGUGAAGAGCUAGAUCAUUUACUUUCACCGCCGUUGUGUAGGUGGUAAUAUGUUCCUGUGGGUCUGAAGUUCCAUCAUACUUUGGAACUUCAGGCAUUUUGAAAUACUUCAGAAUUAGUUCUGGUGCCACACUUGGCUUUUACGGUAAUUGAACAUAUUUCUUCGAGUUCGGGCCUUUCAAUACUGGUGGUGCGCCCGGAAUUUAGUCCAUGCGGGAGUUUACUUCCCCCAUGAACCGUAAAAGCUCAUCUUUGAAUGAGUUGUUUUCGUUGUUAAAACCUUAUAUGCUCCCCCCAGCCCCAUCGGAGCCAACUUCACCUCUGGGAGUGUUGUUGUCGACUCUCUGCAUUGUUUGGUCUGUGGGAACAACGGGAGGAAGUGGAUCACGCCUGUUUGCAUUAUUCGAAGCACCUGAUAGCGCCUACUUUAGUUCCGUCAUAACAUGAUCCCGUCGCAUGAGAUGGCCUAGAAUGAUUGCUUGUUGCUCUUGCAGGAUCAUCACAGCAUCCGUUACUUGCUCCUCGUCAGCAUUAUCGGGAGUUAUCUCCCGAACCCGUCAAGGGUACUGCCUGUCAUACACUAGUGUGGCGUCAUUUCCCUCAUUGCGGGUGUCACUAAUUGAAUCCACGAAAAGAGGUUGAUCCCCUUGAAUUUCAGGGUUGUGUACUUCGUUAACUGUGUUAUCUGCCAUUUUUUGCAAUUUUUUCUAAGAUAAAAUAAUCAAAACACGUUAGUAAAAAAGGCAAGGAUCAAUUUAAUUGCACGACUGUCUAGGCCCCACAGUGUGCGCUAAAUUGUUUAUCCGUAAAAUAGUACAGUUGAAUUUAUAUGUGGUUUUUAGAUAAGUGAACUAAUUUAAUCCUGAAAUAAUACAAUAAUCGAAGAAAUACACAAUACUUAGCCUUAGAAUGUAAAUGAAAUAGCGAAGACGGUGAUUCCGUGAACACGGUUUCCGAACACAGCAAUGAUGAGAUCAAAAAGCAAGAAAGUGAAAUUGUAUAAAGCUUUGUAAGAACAUAGUAUAUGUUCUUGUCAGAAAAUUCGUGUCCUCUACAAUGGUAACUAAGCUCACUAUUUAUAGCUAUGCCUAGGGAAAGAGGUCCUAGGAUCGUGCCCUCCUUUAAUGCCAAUUAUGAGGGUCAUUGAUGAAGAUGUAAACGGUGCCAAAUUCUCUGUAAUGGACCGUCGCUCUUAAUGCUGCAGAAUAUUCCNNNNNNNNNNNNNNNNNNNNNNNNNAAGAUCAGUUAUUUUAUAUUUAUGAUAAAAUUAAUGAAACACAACUUCUUUUUUAUCUUUAACUAUAGAAUGGUACGACGAAGGGUACUUUUGGUAAUACAAAUAUUUUAUGGGCUUUUUAGUAUUUUGGUUCAACUUUAUUUCAGACACAUGUUUUAUUCGUCAAGUACAACUGAAUUUCACUCCAUUGUUUUGGCCUAUACUCUUUUGUUGUCUCAAGGCCUGUCACCUCUCGUCUUUUCCUUCAAUUGACUAUAGACUCUGUAAUACUGUCAUCUUUUUUAUCUACCGUUGUCAUCUAUGUAUUACAUCUUACUCAUAAUGCUUCACUAACUCUCUUCUUAUUUUUCUGCUAAUAUUUUUGUCUAUCACAUUAUUCUGAGAGCUUCAACAAGACAUUCUUUUGCUUUUAGCUCCCCUUUCUCCAUCCACUGGCUCUUCGGGUUGCCUAAAAUUCUCUCUCCACUAGGGACGGGAGCCACACUAAGAUAAUAUUUAUCCCUUCAAGGCUUCCAGUGCCUAUCUUUGUAGUACUCAUAUUUAGCCAUACUAUUUUAGAGUGCACCAUCUGGGUAUCUCACAAGGAGAUCUAUUAGCACAUUUGCAAUAUCCUUCGGACAUGUCAACCAACGCAAACAAGCCAUCCACUAUAUUGGGUCACUCUAACCCCAGUCGGAUCCUAAUAUCCGUCCAUCUCUUAUACUACUUAUGUUUGCUUUCAUAGGGCAUAAAUAAGAUGGGUGUGGCCAAUUGUAUAUACCUCUGUUAUUGUUGAAGGUAACUCAAAAGGCUUAUAUUCCUCUGCCUGAAUUGUAAAUACUGAUAAUCUUCAUUAGCUGGGUACCUCGUACCCUUUUUCACCUUGCUUCUUUUACUUGUUGAAACUUAUAUCAACCUCCUGAAUCUCUCAUUGCUUUUCAUCAUAUAGGUAGAUAUUCAUACCUUAAGGCUCCUUAUCAAGAAUCUUACACACAUGUUCUGCCGAAAACUUCACGUUUACUCAUCAUAAGCAUGAUGCAAAAUCGAGUUCCUCUGACUCAACUCUUCCACAGCUAUAUCUCUUACCAACCAUCUUUCUGGACGGAGGAUGCAUCAUAUUAUCAAUAAGAUAGAGUUUAGGAAAUUGAGUUCUUAAAACUAAGCUCUACCACACGAUCUAGAGUAAAAAGAAAGAGUGACAGUCCUAAAUGCCAUGUAGCCUCCUGCUUAUAAGUGUGGUGCACAACACACCCAUAAACAAGACUCUACUAGACACGGCUUGUAGACUCCUUAGGACAUAACUGUUUUGAUACCACUUUUGUAACGACCCAAACCGAUGGGCCGCGAUGGGCACCCGGUACCUUACUCAACCGAGUACCAACAUAACGUAUAUUUUCGUAUCAUACUAUCAUAGAUAACUGAGCCAGAUAGGCUGCCUUGAGAUAAUUAGAAUACAACAUGAAAUACCAACUUAUACAUAAUACAUACAGGCCUAUAAGACCAAAUUUUCACUGAACAUAGGCCGACAAGGCCGUACAAUCUUUCACAUAUACGACAUAUGUCUACAAGCCUCUAAGAAUACAUAAAUAUCAUAAUGGUCAGGAUAGAGUCUCGCCAUACCAAUCAACACAUGUCCUAAUCAUACUGACCAAUAGCAACUCCGGAGCAAAUGGAGAGCACCAACAUCUUUCGCUGAGCUGAUCGCCUACUUGGAGGACUCUCGACCUGUCUAUCGAGACCUGCGGGCAUGAAACGUAGCGUCCCCAGGCAAAAGGGAUGUCAAUACAAAUAAUGUACCGAGUACGUAAGGAAUGAAAAUCAGUAAAUAAUAGACAUGAGAGAAAUAUGGAGUAAAAGACUCGACAUGUACGUCUGCAUAGCUCUGUAAAUCAUUUUACUUUUAUAAUUUCAUGCAUAUGCAUAUAAAUGUCAUACCAUGCAUAGUUAUAUUAAUAAUAUCAUCAAGCCUCUGAGGGCAUCCCAUCAUAUCAUUUCGGCCACUGUGGGCAAAUCAUCAACGUAUACCAGCUGAUCAGGUGGUGGUGCGUAUAUAACGCCAUAACCUUUUCUCAUAUCCCAUAUACAUAUAAUAUACAUAUAUAAGCGUAUAUAACGCCAUCUGGUCAUGGGUCAAUGUACAUGUAUAAAUGAAUGCAAUGCAUGAGGAGUACGUCAAUAAAAUUUCUCGAAAUGUUAUAAGACCAUUAUACCUUUGAAUAAUGUCAUAAAAUAAACUUAUCAACUUACGUAUUUUCUCAGACCCAUGAACAGAUGAUAGAAUAAUAAGACACAUGGGGAAUCAAGAAUAUAGACACCCCUAGUAUUUCUAUGAAUAGAAUCAUUUAUGAAAGUUGCGUAUUUUGCUCGUUUCAUUUGCAUCAUUUGGAUCAUGCCAAAAGAAAGAAGGGAUAGCCUUAACAUACCUGAGCCGAUACUCUAGACAAUCCUUCUAACACACGCCAAUCGCGACGAAAUACGUAACAACGAGAUCGAAAUAGAAAACAAUUCGUAUGAAACACCCGAAGCAAUAACGUUGCUAUGCAAAGAUAAUCUUGGCUGAAGCUUUUCCUUAAGAACUUAGCAAUAACGUUGAUUUUUUUGGAAAAUGAUCUUUGUUGAAACUCUUUCCUUAAGAGAUAAGAAAUAACAUUAGAAAUAACGUUACUUUUGCUGAAAUAACAUUAGAAAGAACGUUCCUUAAGAGAUAACAUUAGAAAGAAUGUAAGGAAUCUUGGCUGAAACCCUUAGAAAGAACGCUACUAUUUUCCUUUCUUAAGAGAUUUAGAAGAUAAUUUUGAAUUAGGAAUGUUAUCCUUAACUAUUAGGUGGGCCCCACAUUUCUAGCUUAGUGUCACCUAAUUUCUUCAAGUGUGACACCUUUACAUCUCUUUCAAGAGUCAUAAAAUGAAAAGGGGGGUGCUGCCACGUUGGGGAGGGGUAAGUCUUAUCCCAAGAUUAUUAAUUAAUUACCAUCAUGCAACAACUUAGCUCAAAUCCCUGUCACACACAUGGAUACUAACAACAAAUGAGAUUACAUAUAAAAAGUGCAGAGAGCUAGAGAUACAACACGCGGAUAUAAUAUUAUGACUGGAAAAUAUGACUACGGCUAAGGCAAAUAGCUCAACAUAGCAAAAAUAUCCCUAUCAUGCCUCAGUAGAUAAGCAUAUAGCCUAGACAUGAUUUCUAGCAUGAAUAAAUACUCACGUAGUCAUACAAAUGGAGAACACACGGUAUUAAAUAAGCAUGAUAUUAAAACAAAGCAGAUAUGCCUAAGAUCUACACGGAUCAUGAAUAACCAUGGUGCACGCAUAUAUGCUCAUCACCUCAUAUAUACGUCACUGCCAACUCAUAAGAAAUAUCAUAGCCGACAAUGAAAUACCCUCAACCCAAGCCUAAGCAAGAUACUUACCUCAUCCGGGCUAGUCUUCAACCUCGAAUCGCGUCAAAAACCUCACUCUAGGCCUCCAACCGCGUAAAUCAAAGCAAAACAUCAUCCAAGAAAGUUAACAAUUCCAUAGCAAGCGAUCCCAAUCAAUAAAGCUUUGGUCUUUGAUGAUUUCCAAAAAGUCAAUGAAAGUCAACUCGGGCUUGCGUGCCUGAAAUCCAAAACCAAUACCAAAAUCCGAUGACCCAUAACUUGCCGAGUCCAAAUAUAUAAUUAGCUUCAAAAUUCGGGUCUAAAUCGAUGGUUAAAACCCAAAAAUACACUCGCUUAAAGUUUAGACAAAAAUCCCAAAUAUCCUUUCAAAAUUCAAUAUUUUAGGUGUAGUAAUCCAUAUAGAUUCUUGAAAUAUAAUCAUAAAUAGGUAGAAAUCACCUACCCUAUUGUCUUUUAUAAAACUCCCCAUGAAAAAUUUCUCCACUCCAAGUCUAGGGCUCAAAAUAUGAAAUAAUGGGUAAAAUCUCAAAGUUCCAACUCUUAACCUAGCAGCAGAUUUCGCAUUUGCGACCAAAACUUCGCAUUUGCGAUCACAAGUUCGCAAUUGCGACCACAUGUUCGCAAUUAUGACAAAGGUUUGCAAUUGUGACUAGAAGUUCGCAAAUGCAGAGUUUGCAAUUGCGGCAAACAGUUUGCAAAUGCAAAGUGGUAGCACCAGCAAUCCCAAACUCAAUCGAAAUGGUCUGAAACCACCCCGAAACAUAUUUGGAACCUCUCAGACACAAACCAUAUAUGCAUUUCAAUCAUAAAGAAAGCUACAAACCUGAUCGCUUGCUCAAAACACCAAAAAGAGGUUGUCAUGAGCUGAUGUUGGCCGUGGUCAAACUCCAAAUCCUUAACUUAACUAAUCUCUCAACAAAUGACCCAAAAUAUACUCGUCCCUUGGGACCCUGUCCAAUCAUACCGAUAAGUAAAGAUACCUUAUUAUAACUUGUCCAAUGUCUCAAAACAUGAAUAACAACAUCAAAACCAAGAAUCAAAGACCAUAUACAUCUCUUAAAUUUCAAACAUUUAAACUUCGUUGAAUGCGUCCUAAUCAUACUUAGACAUUCCAGAUGACAACCAAACUUUGCACACAAGUUACAAUCAACCAAUUGAACCCAUCAAAUGUCCUAAAACAUAGACCGAACCCCGAUAACAUCAAAAUUAACUUUCUGUCAAACUUAUAAACUCUCUAAUUCUUCAAAUUGCUGCCUUUCAAAAAAUAGAGCCAAAACCUUCUAGGAACAUCCAAAUUAAAAUAUGAACAUACACCCAAGUCCAAAUCACCAUAUGAACCUAUUAAAACUAUCAAAUAUUGAUUCUGAGGUCGUUUACUCAAAAGUCGAAUCUUGGUUAACGUUUCCGACUUAAAGUUUCUAAAUUGAGAAUCACUCUUCCAAAUAAUUCUAGGACCUCUCAAACAACAAAAACAAUCAUAUAAGUAAGUCAUAAUCCAUCAUAUGAAGCUACUCAAUAUAAUGACUCAACAUGUCAUUUUAUGUAUUUGAGACCCAUUUGCCUAUUUGAUUCUUCCUUUAUGCAUGUUUGUUGUUUUGAGUCUUGCGGGGAUAGUUGGUUUGGUUUUGAGAAGGCUUUGGAAUGAACUGGAACACUUAGUUCUAUCGUUGGAAGCUUAAGUUAUAAGAUUUGACCAAGUUUUGAAUUUUGUGUAAACGACUCUGAAUCGGUGUUAUAAUGGAUGUUCGUAUGGUGAUUUUGGACUUAGGCAUAUGUAUGGAUUUAGAUUUGAAGGUUUCUAGGUUGUUUUGGCUCUAACUGUCAAAAGUUAAAAAUUUGAAGGUUUGGAAAGUUCUUAUUUUUUACCAUGGAUUGACUUUAAAUCUAUCGGGUUCGGAUUGUUGUUUCAGGACUUGGGAUAGGUAUUCAUUUGGGACUUGUGUGCAUUGCUUGGGUUCAUUCCGGACUGGUUAGGCUAAAAUUGGAUGUUUGGUUGUGAAUGUUGAAGUUCUUGAACUUGAAGGAAUACAUUAUGUAUUUUUGUAUUUGAAUUUUUAAUUAUGGAUAUUAUUUAGAUGUUUUGAGCUUAUGAGCAAGUUCAUAUAUAGUUUAUAUACCUGUUGGUGUGAUUGGACGAGGUCCCGGAUGGCUCGAGUGAGUUUCAACCGCCCGGAGCAUUUUGAAAGUUGAAGAUUUUUGCUGGUGUCAGGUCCUUCUUCACGAUUAUGGAGGUUGGAUCCCGAUCGCUGAGUGCAUUUGAGGUGGGCAGGAAUUUUUUUCUUUGCAUUCGCAACACAGGGUUCGCGUUCAUGAUAGGUGAGGCAGCUUAGCUUUUGCGUUCAUGACCGGGGCAUCGCCUUUGUGCUGCAGUGAGGUAGGUCGGGGAUGGUUAGGUGCUUGGCCUUCGCAUUCUUGGGAAGGGGACCACAUUCGAGUAGGCCAGUGGAGUUUGUGUAUCACAAUCUUGGGCUGGGGGGCGCAUUUGCAAAGGGUUAAGUGGAGGUUAUGGAUUUUGUGCUUCGCGAAUGCGAGGUUGUUACCGCGUUCGCGAAGGAUAUCACGGGGUAUACUUAUAAGUGAUGUAAUUUUGGGACAAAGACCCAUUAUUUCAUAUUUCGAACCCAAGACUUGGAUAGGGGCAACGUUUGAAGAGGAUUUUUAUGCAAGUCAAGAGGGUAAGUGAUUAUACUUGAUUUUGAUGUUUAUCUUAUUUCACCCUGGAUUAUUACACAUAGAUUAUGGGAUUUGAAAGAGAAAUUGGGGGAUUUUAACUUUGAUUUUGGAUAGUGAAAAAUGUAGUUUGAACCCCAAUUCAGAGAUUUGGAUGAAACUUAAAUAUUUUGACUCGUAUUCGAAUGUGUAGUUAUGAUUUGUGACUUUUGUCGGAUUUUGAGAAGCGGGCCCAGGUAAAGGUUUUUGUUGACUUUGUACUAUUUUAUAAAGAUUGAAGCUUUAUUGUUUGGAAUUGAUUCCAAUAGCCUUGUUUGACGUUAUUGAGUUGUUUUCUUGCUAGAUUUGACCAGCUCAAAGGCCGAUUUGAGAGGCAAUAGCUUUUUUGAAUAUUGAUUCCCGCGCUUUGAGGUAAGUAUCUUGCCUAGGCUUGUCUUGAGGGUAUUUUCCCCAUAGACUAUGAUGCUUGCUAUAUGUUAGGGGUGACGCAGGUACGUGGUGACGAGCGUAUAUACGCACACCAUAGUUAUUCAUGAUCCGAGUAGACUUUAGGCUAUUAUGUACCUUGUUUUUCUAUCAGGCCUCCUUGUGACCGUGUUUUCUCUACCUGUAUGACUACUUGAGGUAUUAUUCAUGUUAAAAAGCAUGCCUAUGCUAUGUGCUUAUCCGUUUGAGACAUGAUAGGGCUAUUUUUCUACGUUGAGUUGUUUGCCUUUAUUGUAGUCUUAUUUUUCAGUCAUGAUAUUAUAGUUGUAUGUUAUAUUACCCUUUUUCUAUACUUCUAACAUGUUAUUAGUGUCCUUACUUGUGUGACACUUGUUUGAGUAUAUUUGUGGCACAUUGUAUAAUUUGUGCAAUAUAUUUAUUUCAAUUACUAUGAGAUGUUAGCAUAUUGAGAUUUGAGCGAAUUAAUGGCUGGACUAGGGCCAUAGAGCCGUGUUGAUAUUAAUAUUAAGGUGACGCAUACGCCAGGCCCCAUAUUUGGCUUAGUGGUAUUGAUAUUGAGGUAAAUCUUACGCUAGGCCAUUUGGGCUGAGUUAUGAUGAUUAUUGACUUUUGAUCCAAUCAGCACUUGGGCUAGGAUCCUCCCCUCUGGAGUCAGGUGAUAACCUAUGUUACUUUGGGCCUUGUGAGUGCAGAUGCUGGGUAUGUGCUUAAUGAGGGGCUUUAUGCCAGGCACCCGUACAGUGAUGAGAGUGUGCUUACUUGAUGAUUUAACUGUGAAGUCAUUGAUUUUGGCAUGCAGGCAUAGAGUCAUAUCUUCGUCAUGCUAAUUGUUACUUUAUAUAUUGAAAUUGAUGCUUUACCUAAUUUGUUUGGAAAGCAUGUCUAUUUUCCAAUUAAUGUUAUUAAGUUGAACUUUCUAUUCUUAAGAUGCUUUUUCAUUUUUGCUAUUAUAAUUAUGUUGUUACUGUCAUUGUUAGCUGUUAAAAAUGAGUAGUGGACUUUGCCAACCUUAUCGCUAUGUCCAAUCUAAGGUUAGACUUGCUACUUACAAAGUACAUGGGGUCGGUUGUAUUGAUGCUGCACUAUGCACUUUAUAUGCAGAUCUAGGUACUACUAAUAGAGUUGAUUGCUAGAAAAAGGUAUCAGUUCAUGUUGGAGAUUGCAAGGUAGCUUUGUUGUUCCAUUCGCAGGCCUUGUCCCUUUCCUUACUUUUGUUAUUACCAUUUAUGUUCUUUAGAUAGUAUUUUAUCGUUAUUCAGACCAUCGUACUUACUUAUUCUAUAAAGCUCAUAUACUCGUUGACACCAGGGUUUGGGUUGGUAUUUUAGUUAUAUCACUAUUCUGACUUCCUUCAUGUAUUGCUAUUCCGUUAUUUAGACUUUCAUUAUUGUUAUUAAGGUUUACUUCUGAAUAUUGAAUGUUAGCUUGCCUAGUAAGUGAUGUUAUGCGCCAUUACGGCUUCGAUGGGAUUUUGGGUCUUGACAAAUUGGUAUCAUAGAACCAGGUUGCUUUGGUUUCAUAAGUCAUGAGAAAGUCUAGUAGAGACUUGCGUAUCGAUACAGAGAUGUCUGAAUGAUUACUUUCUAUUCUCUCACAUAUAGUGAGGACACGUUCAUCGGGUUCAGCUAAGCAUGCACCGCUAUCCCAAGCCAGGGCCAUGAGAGACGUGGCCCGAGGUAGAGGUAGCGGUGGAGCAUGCACCGUAGCUAGAGCCACUGCUUGUGCAGCUACUGUGGAGCCACCACUAGCUUAUGUCGAAGAGAAAUUUCAUGAUUAUGUUGAGCUGGAGGUACCAGCUCAAGUUCCCCAUGGUUUAUUCGUUUCGCCAGUUGUUCAGGAAUCUUGGUUCAUAUGGUUGUUCAAGAGUUUGGCUCUGGCUAAAGAAUUUCCUAUUGUACGAGCUACUUCCCAUGCAGGCGGAGGAGCGCAGACUCCAGCUACUUGUACCCCAGAGCAGGUGGCCCAUGGUUAUCAGACUCCCUCAUUAUUACUGGUUGGGGGAGUUCAGCCUACUGUUGCCACAUAGCCUGAGGAGAGGCCCGCGAUGUCAGCUGAUGAGCUAAAGAGACUGGAUAAGUUCACGAAGUCGCAUCCUCCUCACUUCAGUGGUACACCUUCAGAGGAUGCCCACGGGUUUUUGGAUCAUUGUCAUGAUAUUCUACGCAAUUUAGGACAGAUCGAGUCCAAUGUAGUUGAUUUCACGGCCUUCUAGAUGCAGGGUCAAGCCAAAAGGUAGUGGUAGGUUUAUGCAUUGGGCAUACCAGCAGGAUCACCUCCUAUAACCUGGGCUCAAUUCUCCAGGGUCUUUUUGGAGAAUUUCGUGCCCCACACUAGGAGGGAGGAGCUAAGGAGGCGAGUACCUUCAUCAGGGUCUGGUGUUAGUUACCGAGUAUGAGAUGAAGUUCAUAGAGUUGUUCUAUCAUACUACAGUUUUGAUUCCCACUAAGGAGGAGAUAGUAAAGAGAUUCAUUGAUGGUAUUCACCAUGGUAUUCACAUUGUCUUAAUUACUUGAUCAAGGAACAGUGCUUUCGAACAUUACUUACAAGAAUCUCUCCUUCUGUCUCACCUUCUGAAGGGGUAGUAAGAAGGGGGGUUCAAUGCGAUUCUCAUUCAUGCCGGUUCAGGAGCUUAGGCCUAAAGGCUCAUAAAGGGUUGACUAAGGAGAAUGAUCAUAGGGUGACAAUUAAAAGCUCAAACAGUCCAAGGAAAGCCUAAAAUUAUGUUCCAAACCAAGCAUACUCAAAAUUACUCUUUGAAGCACAUUCGGGGCAAGUUCUUGACUAUCCCACUCAAACACUUGGACUUGAAACAAAAUUAUUCCUCACCUCUCAUGCAAAUAGACCGUGAAAGAAGAUAGAGUCUAAAAGACAUAAUAGCCUCAAUCAUGUUACAAGAUCUCUAUAGUCUACUCAACCACCUAAUGAUUCAAAAAGGUACCACAAGAGCCUCAAAGUCACUUUACUAGAAUUGCUACCUCAAAAAUGAUUAACACACUUGUCUCAACUCAUAAGCAUGUAGUUAAGCGUGUUGGUACCACAUGAGGCAAAAAUAACAUGUUUUCAUGGAAGAGCUCAAUUAGGACUCAUUAUGGAUAGACUGACCAAGUCUUUACAUUUCAUUCUGGUCAUGACUUCCUACACUUCAGAGUUGUUGGCCAAGAUCUACAUCAGGGAGAUUGUCCGCUUACAUGGUGUGCCUAUUUUUCUCAUCUCAGAUCGCGGCGCUCAGUUUACUUCAUGUUUCUGGAGAGCAGUUCAGUGUCAGUUGGGCACGUGGGUUGAGUUGAGCACCGCAUUUCACCCUCAGUCAAAUAGGAAAUUCGAGCGGACCAUUCAGAUUUUGGAGGAGAUGUUGAGAGCUUGUGUCAUAGAUUUCGAAGUCUAAUGUGAUUAGUUUCUUCCUUUAGAAGAGUUUGCAUACAAUAAUAGCUAUCAGUCGAGGAUCCAUAUGGCUCUGUAUUAUUCAUUAUAUGGAAGACGAUGUCGUUCUUUGGUUGGUUGGUUUGAGCCUAGGGAAGCUAGAUUAUUAAGCACAACUAUGGUUCGUGAUGCUCCAGAGAAUGUGAAGUUAAUUCAGGAGAGUCUUCAUAUGGUGGAGUCCAGGCAGAAGAGUUACGCUGAUAGGAAGGAUCGUGAUGUGGCAUUCAUGGUGAGUGAGAAGGUUAUACUUAGAUAUUUUUCUAUGAAGGGUGUGUUGAGGUUUGGGAAGAAGGACAAGUUGAUCCCUCGGUAUCUUGAUCCAUUCAAGGUGUUGUUGAGAGUUGGUGAGGUGGCCUACAGACAUGCUUUGCCACCCAUCUUGUUGGGAGUUCAUUCAGUGUUUCAUGUUUUCAUCAUUCGGAAGUAUUAUGAGGAUCAGUCACACGUGUUAGAUUUUAGUUCAGUGCAGUUGGAUGAGAAUCUUGCUCAUAAAGAAGAGUCGAUGGCCAUUUUUAAUAGGCAGGUUCAAAAGCUAAGGUCUAAAUUAGUUCGAGGACGACAUUUAUUUAAGAGGGGGAAUGUAAUGACUUGGCCGGUUGUUUUAUGUAUUUUAGCUUUGUUCCCAUAUGUGAUUCUUACUGUAUGCUUGUUUGUUAUUUUGAGACUUGUGGGAUAGCUGGUUUGGUUUCAUGAAGGCUUUGGAAUGAAUUGGAACACUUAGAUCCACGGUUGGAAGCUUUAGUUAUAAGAGUUGAUCAUGGUUAGCAUUUUGUGUAAAUGAUCUCGGAUCGGUGUUUUAAUGGUUCCAAUAGGUUUGUAUGGUAAUUUUGUAAUAAGGUGUAUGUCCAGAUUCGGAUUUGGAGGUUCUUAGGAUAUACGUUUUGGCUCUAAUUGUCAAAAGUUGGAAAUUUGAAAGUUUGGAAAGUUCUUAAGAUUUACCGUGGGUUGAAUUUGAGGCUAUCAGGUUUGGAUUGUUGUUCUGGGACUUGGUAUAGGUCCGUUUAGCUGUUUGGAACUUUUUUGCAAAGUUUGGGUUCAUUCCAUAUUGGUUAGGCUUGAAUCAGAUGCUUUGUUGUGAAUGUUGAAGUUCUAGAACUUUAAGAAAUGUAUUAUGUGUUUUGGUGUUCGAUUUCUUGUUAUGGGUGUUAUUUAGAUGAUUUGAGAUAAUGAGCGAGCUCUUAUAUGGUUUAAAUACUUAUUGGUGUGCUUGGAAGGGAUCCCGGGUGGCUCAAGUGAUUUUUAGACCGCCCGGAUCGUUUUGAAAGUUGCAGACUUUGCUGGUGUAAGGUCCUUCUUCACAAUCGUGGAGGUUGGAUCGCGAUCGAGGAGUGCAUUUGAGCGGGGCCGGAUCUUUCUUUUUCGCAUUCGCGAUGCAAGGGUCAUGUUCGUGAUAGGUGAGGUAGUUUGGCUUUCACGUUCAUGACCAGGGCAUCUCAUUUGCGCUGCAGUGAGGCAGGUCGGGGAUGAUCAAGUGCUUGGCCUUCACAUUCGUGGAAAGGGGACCGCAUUCGCGUAAGCUUGUGGAGUUUGUGUAUCGUGAUCAUGGGCUGGGGGCGCAUUUUCAAAGGGUUAACUGGAGGUUGUGGAUUUUUGUGCUUCGCGAAAGCGAGGCAGUGGCCGCAUUCGUGAAUGUACUGGGUAGACUUAUAAGUGAUGUAAUUUCUAGACUUAGACCCAUUAUUUCAUAUUUUGAACUUUAAACUUGGAGAGGAGCGUUGUUUGAAGAAGAUUUUCACACAAAGUAAGGUGUAAGUGUUUUCUACUUAAUUUUUAUGUUUUAUCUUGUUUUCUCAUUGAUUAUUACACAUAGAUUAUGGGAUUUGAAAGUGAAAUUUGGAGAUUUUGACUAUGCUUUUGAAAAGUGAAAAAUAGAGAUUUGAACCCCGAUUUGGAGUCGGGUUUGGAUGAAACUUAUAUAUUUGGACUUGUAUUUGAAUGGGUAGUCGGGAUUUGUGAAUUUUGUCAGGUUACGAGGAGCAAGGAAGGGUUGACUUUGUGAAUUUGAUAAAGAUUUGUGCUUUAUUGUUUGGAAUCGAUUCCUAUAGCCUUGUUUGAAGUUAUUGAGUUAUUUUUGGCUAGAUUUGACACGUUCAGAGGCCGAUUCAGGAGGCAGGCCUUUUUGGACAAUUGAAUCUCGCACUUUGAGGUAAGAAUCUUGCCUAGGCUUGGCUUGAGGGCAUUUUCCCUAUAGACUAAAAUUCUUGCUAUAUGUUGGGGGUGACGCACGUACGUGGUGUCGAUCGUAUAUGCGCACACCGUUGUUAUUCUUGAUCCAGGUAGACUUUAGGCUAUUAUGUAUCUUGUUUUGCUAUCAUGCCUCCUUGUUACCCUAUUUUUUCUACUUGUAUGACUAAUUGACCAAUUAUUCGCAUUAGAAAUCAUGUCUAGGCUAUGUGCUUAUCUGUUUGAGACCCGAUAGGGCUAUUUUGCUAUGUUGAGUUGUUUGCCUUGAUUGUAGUCAUAUUUUUCAAUAAUAAUAUUAUAUUUGUGUAUUAUAUUACCAUUUAUGUAUACUUCUUACAUGUUGUUAGUGUCCAUACUUGUGUGACACGGGUUUGAGUGGAUUUGUGGCUCAUUGGUAUAAUUUAUGUGGUAUAUUGAUUUCUAUUACUUUGAGAUGUUGGCAUUUUGACAUUUGAGCGGAUUAAUGACCUAACUAGGGCCAUAGAACCGUGUUGCUAUUAAUAGUUUCACGACCCAAAAUCCACUAAAGGUCGUGAUGGCGCCUAACAUCGCCGUCAGGCCAGCCAACGAUGAUUGAUCAACUUAAUUACCCAUUUUUUUAUUUUGAAAUCAUAAUUUUUAUUGAUUAAAUAGUAUGAAAUAGAAUUUACAUAGAUACAUUAACAAACAACCCGUAGAAACCCCCAAAACUCGGUGUCACAAGUGUAUGAGCAUUUUUUAAGGCGUACAAUAAUAAUACAACAUAUGUCUUGAAUGUAAUAAGACUAAAUAAAAUAAUUAGUAUAAUGGAGACUCAGUGGACUCUGAUGCGUAGCCUGGAAUGUAGCUCGCGUGAAGUCUGCUCAACAGGUGUGCCUAUGCGCCAAGGUGAUCAUCAAUGAACCUGUCAGAUCCUGCACAUUUAGUACAGAAGUACAGCAUGAGUACAUAAAUCAACGCGUACCCAGUAAGUAUCUGGCCUAACCCCGGAGAAGUAGUAACGAGGGGUCGACAUCAACACUUACUAAAUGUCCAAUAAAGCAAUAUAAUAAAACAUAAGUAGAUAUGAGAUAUACGGCAAUGAUGGGGUAAAUCUGUAAGUUACAUAAUCUUUCAAAUUCUUCUUUCAAGGUAUAAAUUUCUAAAUCUUGUAUUCUACCUUAACAUCUCGAAAAAAUUUCAAGUGUCAUUAUCAAAUAAGUAAGGAAUACCAUAUAAAAUACCGGGCAUCAGUGGAAAGCUUAGCUCGUGAAUAUUCGAUCUACUAGCAAAAUAACGCACGAUUCUGCCGAGGUCAUUUGGCCCGAUCGAGAAUAAUGUGUACACUUCCAUGGGUCGAGCGGCACAAACCAUAGAUGCAUAUAUAUACUGCCGAGGUGUUCGGCCUACUCCAUAAGAAAAGGAAGGAAGUUAACGAAUAACGAGACACGUGUUUACAAUAUAGCACAUGAGCAUAAAAUGAAUAUAAUCCUUACCAUUUCUUAAAUAACUCACCCAAAACUCAAAGUGUUAAGGCUUGGCCUAGUGUGCAUAUAUUUAUUUCUAAAUUGAUUUCAGUUAUAAAUUCAAUUAAUUAAGCCAGCAGAGUGAGUUCAAGUAAUUCGAAUAUUACAUGAUAAGAUCCUAAGUCUACCCCGACAUAAACACGCUUUAGCUAUGUACGGACUCUCAUCACCUCGUGCGUACGUAGCACCCACAACUAGUUGCACAUAAUAAUAANNNNNNNNNNNNNNNNNNNNNNNNNNNNNNNNNNNNNNNNNNNNNNNNNNNNNNNNNNNNNNNNNNNNNNNNNNNNNNNNNNNNNNNNNNNNNNNNNNNNNNNNNNNNNNNNNNNNNNNNNNNNNNNNNNNNNNNNNNNNNNNNNNNNNNNNNNNNNNNNNNNNNNNNNNNNNNNUGANGAGACNNNNAGAAACUCAUAACCACCUGCCGAAUCAAUAAUUCAUGGAGUCUCUCCUCCUGACAAGAACCAUUACCUCAUUUUGAACUCAAUAACGAUAUUUUCUCUUUAAUGUACCUUGUAUAAAUCUGAUUGCACAAAUUUCAGGGCCAAUAAUCUCGUCUCACCCAGUACAAGCUGCUCAGGCAAUAAGCCAUCUCAGACACUGCCAAAAAUCUUAUAUGAUGCCCACAACGCGCCAACAAGUUACAACUCGAAUGUGAUACAUAAGGAAGAACGAACUCUGGAGAAGGACUACCCAGCUCGCGUAACAAAUAAAACGGCCAAAUAAAUGUUGUGAACCUACCUCAGGGAUGAAAAACAAGACACACAAAAUAAAUGUAAGGAGCUAUGCUCAACAUCUCGUUGUUGCGGCAUGCAACCCGAUCCGACAUGACACUGUUGUGGUGUGCAACCUGAUCCAAACAUGACAAUGCUGCGGCAUGCAACCCGAUCCCAAUAAUAUACCUGUGGCGGUGUUCCAUCCGAUACGCACAUAACAAUCAAGAAGAAAAUACACACAUCAAUCUGUAAUGCUUAUAUUUAUGAAAUGCCCGUAUAUCGACCACAAGCAUGCCAAGCGCAUAAUACAAAUCCUAGGGAGACGACUAGCGCCAUAUGCUACGAAACCCAAGCACAACUAAGGUGCAAUUAUCACCUACAUCUCGAGAGUCACCUGCUCACAUAACACCACAAGCUACACGGGACCUUAACACGUGUGCGAAUAAUCAAGUUGCCUCACAACCCAUAUGGCACAAUAGAGAUUUACAUGGAAUAGUUGACGAUGGGAAUAACAUCCAAUGCCCGAUGACUCCUCCGUAAGUAUUGCUAUGACGAAUGAACACAUUCGACCUAACGUAGGGCACAAAUUCAUAUUUGGCCCACCAACGAACCUCAAACCGAUUUCGAUCAUACCACACUGUGCCAAUAAACUUCCAAGGAUCCACAAUGGCCCUAUUCAUGACACAUAAAAACAGUCAUCACAUCUGAAACAACUCACACGGUCCACAGCCCAAGGAAUAGAAUGCCUCUCAGGCAUAAACUCUCGCAUUAAUGAUAGUACCAUAAUCUUCAUACUUUGUUUCAAUCUUUAACAAUCAAGUGACUAACAUGUCACACUUAUACAUAUUUCCCGGUGGGAUACUCUCACAUGACCUUUCGCACCAGGUAGCAAAGUCUGCACAUCUAUACCACCAACCGUCCUAAUCUGUAAAGCAAUUCCAGAACCUGCAAAUCGAUGCACAAUGCCCCUUCCACAGAAUACCAUUCUCUGGUGACACUAAAGAAAAUGCCAGCUUACUCUGAACAUCUGAAUUCACCCAUGCUCAUCUGAUCUCGUGACAUUAUUAUCGACACCGAACCACAACCUUGAUCCUCAACUUUCAAAUUCCCAUACCGCUCACUGCACUUAUCAUGCCGCUAUGCGAUAAUACACGUAUUCACCAUAACCCUUGAACUACUAGUGGAAUAAUCACGUCAUUGUCUAGAAAUCUUUUACUUAGCUCAUUUCAGAAGAACCAAUGCAACACGCAACUGAAUUCCCAAACCGUAGGAAAUACAAACCUCAAGUCGUGACCUAAACCGCCAUGACUCUUCCGGAGUCCAUUUACACAACAAGGCCAAACAAAUAAAAUACCUCCCAAAUCAAUCAAGGUAUGGUGGUUGUCAAGCCCGCACGUACAACAACAAACCACAUGCAUAACUUCACCCCGAAGGAACUGAUCAUUACCACAAUCAUGCCGACUCAACCAUUACUAACCGACCCAACUUCUUUCAAUUUACUCUUGACCUGACUUAGAAAUAUAAUCACUCCAUUCACAACAUAACGAACUUAAUUUGCACUCACCCUGAGUGACCCGAAUCGCGAGACUACAUCGUUUCAACACUCAUGAAUCAUCUCAUACCCUCCUUAUGUGCUCAAUAGCAUCUCCGACCGGUACAUCCAUUCUGCAAGACCUUCUACGAAUCCGAAGCUAUUUCUUCCUUUCCUCCAAUACUGCACCGCAUACCCAAUGAUAACAUUGAACAUUCCAAGUCUCGUUUGCAAUUCACCGUGAAACCUCGAUCCUUAACCAUACAACAGACCCAAAAUCCUUAGGCACUACACUUAAUUCUUGAACCCAUUAGAACCGUCGUUGAGAGUCACCCCCUCUGACCUGGUCCUAAAUAUAACCAAACUUCAACACUCUGCUAGCACAUGAACACCCUCUUAAAGAAGCAAUCGGCUGAAUUCUUUUCCUUGUACAUUAUAUCCAAAGAAGCAUAAACUCUGAGUCUUCCAAAAUCCUGCACCUCAAUUGAUAAGGCGAAGUAUAGCACACAUUCAUCGAGUUCCUUGUUCGAAUUAAUCCACCAAUGCAUCGAUAACCAGAAACUGCACAAGCAGACAACCACGCGAUCCAACUGUAAACGGUGCCCCCCCCCCCACUUAGUGUUAAGCUACCACCACAUAAUGUAGAGCCCACAACGAUUCCUCCAUAUCAAUUACCAUGAUCUUGCACUGUUAACACGCCAAAAUUUCUCAAACUCUUUUGUUAAGCAUAUUUGACCCCCUGCCGGGUAGUAAGUAGAACUCCUCGUAGAAACUUUAUCAAAUUCACGCAAACCGCUAACUUGCUCGUAGGAAAUAACCUAACUAUGGAAUUCCUUACCGACAUCUUCCAACGACGCUGCACUAGGUACAACUACCACAUAAUCAGUAAAUUCUCUUGAGCCCAUGCUCGCCCACCGGCUGUAUAAGUCUGUUCCUUCCCUAUUGACAUCAACUGAAAGUUCAACAAUACAUUUCAAACUCAAAGCCAUGUUGCAUCCGAAACUAUAAUCAAAUCUUAACACCCCUCUUUAUUUCAAGCAAACACCUUUCUUCCAUAUUCAAUCUUUCUCCGUACAGUAACCAUGAUUCCAAUUAUAAUCCGUGGGCCUAGUCACUUUCCACCAUGCCUCCAAAAUCNNNNNNNNNNNNNNNNNNNNNNNNNNNNNNNNNNNNNNNNNNNNNNNNNNNNNNNNNNNNNNNNNNNNNNNNNNNNNNNNNNNNNNNNNNNNNNNNNNNNNNNNNNNNNNNNNNNNNNNNNNNNNNNNNNNNNNNNNNNNNNNNNNNNNNNNNNNNNNNNNNNNNNNNNNNNNNNNNNNNNNNNNCAAAUCGCUCAAAUCUUCCUCAAGGUACGUGGCUAUCCUACCACAGAAUCCCUAUGCUACUCUGUCACUCCCACUUCGGUCAAACCAUCUCCAUUAAGCAACUUCUCAACCUCUACUUUAAACCAUCUCCUUUAAAUAACACCCUGUCCCGAAGGCAAAAAUCAAAGGAGAUCAUAACACCGGCGAACCGUAAUGCAUUCAAACAAGGAUGACGACACCGCAUCACAAUGAAAAUUCCACCACGCUCAAAAAUACCAAGUCUCGUUACUCUAUCGACCAAAAUUUGAACAUCCAUAGUCCGAUUGCCUUUCCUUUACUGGAAUUAAAUGAUGAACCUCUAAAUCAUGCGCUGAGAAAUCCUCCUUUCGAGGCAUUCAUUGCCGCGAUCCAUAAAUAAGCACUCUACCAUUACACCAACACAGUGGUAACAACUCAUGAAUAUCAUAGCAACCUGUGCAUAGCCUCAAAACUAUAGGAAGUAUAGAUACUGAACUGAAAUGACAGAACACCCUUCCGUAAGGGGGUGAUAACAGCCUGCCCGAACAUGCAGGAAAAAUAUCCUGCACCACGUCUGUAGUACUACUACAACUCCUUGAUGCCCAACUGAUAAUAAGCGCUUCACGUCGCAUGAGAUUGAGCAGGAAGGGAAUAAAGGCACAAGCCUCAAUCGAAUCAAAUCGCACGAUGAGGAAUCAAGAAGGGAAGUGCUUCUAAUAGCCCUGUAGCCUCUCGAAGAUAAGUACAGACAUCUUCGUACCGAUCCGCAAGACUCUACUUGACUCGCUCAUAACUCGUGAGACCUAAGUGAACCUAACUCUCUGAUACCAAGUUGUUACGACCUAAAAUCCACUAAAGGUCGUGAUGGCGCCUAACAUCGCCGUCAGGCCAACCAACGAUAAUUGAUCAACUUAAUUACCUAUUUUUGUAUUUUGAAAUCAUAUUUUUUAUUAAUUAAAUAGUAUGAAAUAAAAUUUACACAACUACAUUAACGAACAAUCGGUAGAGACCCCCAAAACCAGGUGUCACAAGUGCUCGAGCAUUUUCUAAGGAGUACAAUACUAAGACAACAUCUGUCCUGAAUGUAAUAAGACAGAAUAAAAUAAUUAGUACAAUGGAGACUCAGUGGACUCUGAUGCGUAGCCUGGAAUAUAGCUCACGUGAAGUCUCCUCAAUAGGUGUGCCUACGCGCCAAGGUGAUCAUCAAUGAACCUGUCAGAUCCUACACAUUUAGUGCAGAAGUGCAGCAUGAGUACGUAAAUCAACGCGUACCCAGUAAGUAUCUAGCCUAACCCCGGAGAAGUAGUGAUGAGGGGUCGACAUCGACACUUGCUAGAGGUCCAAUAGAGCAAUAUAAUAAAACAUAAGGAGAUAUGAGGCAUACGGCAAUAAUGGGGUAAAUCUGUAAGUUACAUAAUCUUCCAAAUUCUUCUUUUAAGGCAUAAAUUUCUAAAUCUUGUAUUCUACCUUAACAGCUCGGUAAAAUGUCAAGUGUCAUAAUCAAAUAAGUAAGGAAUACCAUAUAAAAUGUUGGGCAUCAGUCUAAAGUUUAGCUCGUGAAUAUUUAGUCUACUAGCGAUAUAACGCAUGAUUCUACUGAGGUCGUUCGGUCCGAUCCAGAAUAAUGUGUACACUGCCAAGGAUCGAGCGGCACAAACCAUAGAUGUAUCUAUAUACUGCCGAGGCGUUCGGCCCGCUCCACAAGAAAAGGAAGGAAGUUACCGAAUUACGAGACACAUGUUUACAAUACAGCACAUGAGCAUAAAAUGAAUAUAAUCUUUACCAUUUCUCAAAUAACUCGCUCAAAACGUAAAGUGUCAAGGCUUGGCCUAGUGUGCAUAUAUUUAUUUCUAAAUCUAUUUCAGCUAUAACUUCAAUUAAUUAAGCUAGCAGAGUGAGUUCAAGUAAUUCAAAUAUUACAUGAUAAGAUCCUAAGUCUACCCCGACAUAAACAUGCUUUAGCUAUGUACGGACUCUCGUCACUUCGUGCGUACAUAGCACCCACAACUAGUUGCACACAACAAUAAAUAUCACCUAGGGGUAGUUUUCCCCUCACAAGUUUAGACAGGAGACUUACAUCGCUCCGAAGUUCCAUAACUGACUCCAAAGCCUCUCUAACACCUCAAACUGAUGCACGUCAAUCCAAAACUAGUCAAACAAUGUGCAAACCAAUCAAAAUAUACUCUAAUAUCCAUAAUUAAUCAAUUUAAACAAUUUCUAACUCCGCUCGAAAAAUCGAUAAUGUCAACCCUCGGGCCCACGUGCCCGGAUUUCGAACAUUUUUGAAGAUAAACCUUACCCAUAACAUUACUAACUCUAAUAUAUAAUAUAUUCUUAAUUUCAUUUCCAAAAUCAUGGUCAAAAUCCAAAUUAUCAGUUCUAGGUCUUCUACCAAAAUCCCACAAUUUUCCUAAAUUUUACUCCUUAAAUCCACAUAUAAAUCUUACAUUUAGCUCACAACAAGUGGAAAAUUACUUACCAUGUGUUACAUGAUGAAAACUCCUAAAUAUCGCCCAAGAACCGAGCUUCAAAAAUCCCAAAUGAAAAUGACUAAAUGACCAAGUUCGAUCCCCUUAUGUUCUGCCCAGUUUUCGCUUCUGCGUACACAUUUUGUCACGCCCCAAACUCAGUGAGCGCGACCGGCGCUCAAUCGAGUGAACCCGGCCGAGCAAGCCUAUUAGAUUUUCUUCUAUCCAAACUCAUCCAUGAAUAAAGAGGAGAUGCACUUUAUUAAUCAAAUACUGAAAAUAUUUCAUUAACAACCCCCAUUUCAUUCCAUUAGCAGCUUCGUUCAUAAUUUCCAAAUUAUUACAAGUUUAUAGAUAUAAUGAAAAACAUGUUUUCCAAAUACCAACAUUUCUAAUUCAAUUCCCAACAUUUGGCUACCACCCACAACCUGUCUACGGAGCCUCUAAGUACAACACAAGAGUAGUAUGGAAGUGUCGGCAACAAGGCCCCGGCUAUACCUCAAAACACAAUGUACCACUCAAAUGACACCAGGCCCGGAAUAGAGUAGGGCUCACCAAAACCUGCUGAAUAGAGAGUGACUGCUAACGAGUACCAAAGCUGCCUGUUGAUGAAUCACCUGCAUCUAUUGAAGAUGCAUCCCCUCCCCCCCAAAAGGGACGUUAGUACAUAUGGAAUAGUAAUAGUAUGUAAAGCUAACUGUCCUUUUUCAAAAUAGAAUGCCAAUAUAAGAAAAGGAAAACCAUAGAAGCAGCAAGACAAAAUCAACAAUAUCCAUAUGCCCAGUUAAAACAUAACAAUUUUCAAAAUACGAAAUUAAUAUAUAUUUUUGGUUGGGAGAUCUUUAGCACCAAAAUACCACCAUUCACAGUACCAAUAUUUAUAAUACCAAAACCACCGUUCACAGUACCGAUAUUCACAAUACCAAUACCACCGUACCUUUAGCACGGAGUCAGAUCACGACCCGAUCGGUUAGGCCAUCUCAUUAGAGACAUCAACCACAAUCACUCUCAAUACCAAUACCACCGUACUUUUAGCACGGAGUCCGAUCACGACCCGAUCGGCUAAGCCAUCUUAUUGGAAGACAUCAACCACAAUCACAAUCUCUAUACAAAUAUACCACUGUGAAUCUAGCAUGGAGUCCGAUUACGACCCCAUCGUCUAGGCCGUCUUAUUUGAAGACAUCAACCAAAAUUACAAUUUCAAUUAUAAUUUCCAGCACAAUCACCACCAUGUGUGCAGCAUGGCGUCCGAUCAAGACCCGAUCGGCUAGGCUGUCUCAUGUGUGACAUCAUCCUUUUCUAUCAUCAAUCUCAUCCCAAAUAAGGGGAAUAACUUUGUCAUAUCAAUCUCAUCCCAAUUAAGGGGGGAAACAUUUUUGAUUUGCAUACAAAGAAAACAUAAAUACAGAUUUCAUCUACUCAUGACAUUUCAUAUCGUAUAUAGCUUCAUUGUUGCUUUUAACCACUUACAACAUCAUUAUUUCAUUGGCUCUCUGGGCCAUACAUAUGAUUCUUCUUUCAUGGCACAAUGACCGUAUUUCAUAUUCCACACUUUUAUUUCUUCCCUAUUAUGGAUCAUCAUCAUAAAUAUCAACAAAUAGAAUAUUCCGAAAAUCACAACUUUAGGUUCAUUAGUCAUGAAGGUUUUAAACACAAUGUAUUUCUUUCCAAGAAAUGGAGUAAAAUGAUUGGCAAUUGAAGCACAAGUUAAAAUCAUAAACAAGUAACAUAUCAUUUAUUCUUGAAACACUUUUCCCCAAAAAAGGCAAUACACAUUAUCAACUCACGAAUAUGUAAGAACGCAAAACACAUCGAAAAUACUUACAAAGCAUGGCAUUAGCUAAAAAAUCCACACAUGGGCAUCACUUGAGUUCAUAAUCUUUUAGGCAAUUCCAUUGGCCACAAGUAUAACUUUCAUUCUUGGCACAGUGGCUACACUUUAUAUCUUCAACUCACCUCUUUCACUUUCAAGUAUCUUUGUAGAUUAUCAACAACAAGGCAUUUCCAAUCAAGACUUCAGUUACACAUAUGAGUAAUUAAUAGUCUUAAGCAUAUCGAGUUUUUCUCACACAAGUUAUUAUCAUAACUUUCAUUUGAAAUACGACUUAAAGCCACAACAUUUUAAUGCACGUAUUAUUCUUGAACACAUUCCCAAAGGAUAACAUAAUGUGAUAGGAACAUUCGGAACAUGUUUUGAAUACAUAAUUCUCGACACUUUGCUUAUUCAGGACAAUCAAAUUUAUUGGGAACAUCUCGGAACAUAGAAUAAGGAACUUGAGACAACCAUACAUGAAACUUACGGGAAUAUCAUGGAAUUCAAUUAUAAGAGAGUAGUUUAGCAAACAUACCUCAUGUUGAGCUUUCCUUAAAUUGCUACAUUGUUCCGGAAACUCUAGCAAUCCCAAUCUAUUUUGAGACAUAACAAAAUUGAACACAAAUUAAGAAGAUAUUCAUGGUUUCAGCUCAUUUGAGCAUUUUAUCAAACAUUUAGUAGGCAUGAAUCUAUACAUCUCGUAACCGUAGAAUUAGUACAUCCAAAUACUACCAUUUACCAAUAAUUUAUCCCACCAUCAUUCUUAAACAAUUCUUAACUUCCAACAUCACAUACAUGACCAUCCAUCCACACCCAACCAAUAAAAUUUUAUCAAAUAAUCACCUUUCAAUCUCUACAAUGGUUAUAUAUUUAAAUUGGGAACUUAUGGCUUCCAAUCACCAUACCAUAAGUUUUAACACAUAUUUCAUACAUAAAUAAUCACCAUAGAUUAAUUAGAGUUGGUAGACAUACCUCUUAUAGUGAAACUCUUGAGAAUCCCAACUUGUAGUGUUCUUGACCAAUUUGGGAUUUAAAUGGAAAUCUAUGGAUCUUCAAGAUUAAUCCUUGUUAAUACAAGUGUUUAGGAGUAGUAAUCAACUCAAAAUUACUCCAAAAACAUUACCUUGGUUCAUGGGAGGGAGAUGUUGGACGGAUUCCCCUUGAUAUGCAAGCCCUAGCUCAAAGAAAUGACUUAGCUCUCUCUCUCUACCCGGCCUUGGGGGUAUUUAAUGGGUUCCUACAUGCGCGGCUGCACACCUGGGCAAGUGGCCAUGCAUCUGGCUGUGCACACAAGGCAAAAACUCCCAAAUAUGCGCGGUCGCACAUCUGGGCGUGCAUAUGACAUAGGUCCGGUAAAAUAGCCAUAAAUUUUUGUAUACAUAUCCAAAUGACCAACGAUUCAAUGCGUUGGAAACUAAACUCACAGGGCUUCAAUUUGAUAGGUCGAUCACCACCUAAUUCAUUAUAUUGAGGGAGUUAUAUUCAUUUGAAGUCGGAUAUUUUGCCAAUUGAAACAUACUUUCCACUUAAUAUAUCCAACUUGUUCCACACAAGUUCUUGCCAUUCACAAAACUUCUUAGUAUGUUCACGCUCUCCACUGAUUUUGGUCAUUUCAACUUCUUCAUCAGCCUAUUUAUUUUUCAUUCUUUGUAUUGUUCCUUCUCUCUUCACUUAUGGUCACGCUUCUAUUGACGCCUUCAUUUAUUCAUUUUGUUCUAUUUUUCUCUCUCGACUUUCAUGCUCUUACUGGAUUUACCUGUUGCAAGUGAGUUUUCUUUUUAAUUUUUCUGUUGAGUUUUGGGUUUUCUUUUUCCUAAUUGAUUGGAUAUUUCUUUGAAGUGUUAUUUUUGGUAGUUGGGAUUUUACAAUCAUGCACAUGUUUUCAAAUUUGCAUAUUUCUUGUCAUAUGCAACUGAUGAGCCACCUCUAGAAUAAUGGUACGACAAAGGGUACUUUUGGUUAUACAAAUAUAUUUUAUGGGCUUUUUAGAAUUUUGGUUCAACUUUAUUACAGACACGUGUUUUAUUCGUCGGGUACAACUGAAUUUCACUGCAUUGAUUUUCACGCUCUCCAUUGAUUUUGGCCAUUUCAUCUUCUUCAUCAGCCUAUUUNUUUUUC
rnacentral:lncRNA from 1 species